rnacentral:lncRNA from 1 species
UUUUUUUUUUACAAGGUUAUUAACUCUGUGUCUUUCUCUCUAUUUGUGUGUUUCAGGUACUAUCUCUGAUUACUCUACUCAGGCUGAGCUGAUCCCUGUUGCAUGCAUACUAGAUCAAAAGGACAUCAGAACCUGCUUUUCAACGAGAACAUCAACCGUAUUGCUCGUGAAUUAAGAGAACAGACAGGCACAGACAUUAUGGCCGACGAUCAGAACCCAAAAUUGCCAAACAACAUUGGUGCAGGCUAUGCUCCACGCAAUGACAAUCAGCGCAAUGGCAUUGUGCCUCCAACAGUACAGAAUAAUAACUUCGAGAUCAAAAGUGGUCUCAUUGCCAUGGUUCAUGGCAACAAGUUUCACGGCCUCCCCAUGGAGGAUCCACUCGAUCACCUGGACGAGUUUGAUGGGCUCUGCAGCCUAACUAAGAUCAAUGGAGUCAGUGAAGAUGGCUUCAAGUGGCGUUUGUUUCCAUUUUCUCUUGGAGACAAAGCCCACCAGUGGGAAAAAUCACUUCCUCAAGGCUCCAUCACCUCCUGGAAUGACUGCAAGAAAGCCUUCCGGACUAAAUUCUUCUCCAACUCCAGGACUGCAAGACUCCGGAAUGAGAUUUCUGGCUUCACUCAGAAGAAUGCUGAGACUUUCUGUGAAGCAUGGGAGCGUUUCAGAGGAUAUUAGAAUCAAUGUCCUCACCAUGGUUUCUCCAAAGCCUCACUCUUGAGAACCCUCUACAGAGGAGUUCUCCCUAAGAUCCGGAUGCUUCUGGAUACAGCAUCCAACGGGAAUUUCCUGAACAAGGAAGUUGAAGAAGGAUGGGAGCUGGUAGAGAAUUUAGCUCAGUCUGAUGGAAACUACAAUGAAGAUUAUGACAGAACCAUCAAAGGAAGUUCAGACUUAGAGGAGAAGCACCGCAAGGACAUGAAGGCCAUGAAUGACAAGCUGGACAAGCUACUCCUUGUGCAAUAGAAGCAAGUCCAUUUUCUCUGUGAAGAUGAGACGUUCCAAGUCUAGGAUGGGGAGACUCUUCAGUCAGAAGAAGUAAGCUAUGUGCAAAACCAAGGCGGCUACAACAAGGGCUACAACUACUAUAAGCAGAACAAUCCCAAUCUGUCUUACAGAAAUACCAACGUUGCAAACCCGCAUAAUCAAGUCUACCCUCCACAACAGCAGACCCAACCCAAACCAUUCGUCCCAUACAACCAAGGUCAAGGAUUUGUUCCUAAGCAACAGUUUCAGGGAGGUUAUCAAACACAGCAUCCACCACCUGGGUUUGUACCACAGCAACAACAAACCCCUAGCGCUUCUGACUCCGAACUGAGGCAAAUGCUCCAACAACUCCUUCAAGGACGAACAAUAGGCUCCAUGGAGAUCGCAAAGAAGCUGGCCGAGAUGAACAAUAAGAUAGACUGUAGUUAUAACGAUCUCAACAUCAAGGUAGAAGCACUAACCUCAAAGGUCAGAUACAUGGAAGGCCAAACUGGGUCAACCUCUGCUCCCAAGAUUACUGGGCUACCAGGGAAGUCAAUUCAGAAUCCCAAGGAGUAUACUGCUAACGCCAUCACUAUCCGCUAUGAUCGAGAGCUGCCAACUCGACAUACCAUUAACUCAAUCACUGCAGGCAGUGUAGUUUAAGAGGGGGAGGAUUUCAAUCAAGAUGACAUUGUGGCUGACCAAAUACUAGAAGAGCCCAUACUUGACAAGCAGUCUACUCGAUCACAAGCUUCCCCAGUCGCUUCCACAGUUGAACAACCAUCUGCUGCAAAGACCGAGGAUACAGUAUUUGUGCCACCUCCCAAGAAAUUGGGAGAUCCUGGUUCGUUUUCCUUACCUUGCUCUAUAGGUCCUUUAGCCUUUAGUAACUGCCUAUGUGAUCUAGGUGGUUUUAUCAGUCUCAUGCCUCUCUCUAUGGCCAAGAGACUAGGUUUCAGCAAGUACAAAUCUUUCAACAACUCCUUGAUCCUGGCCGAUGGGUCUGUUAGACUACCUCACAGGCUAUUAGAAGAUUUGCCUGUUAAGAUCGGAAAUGUUGAAGUCCCCACAGACUUCAUAGUGCUCGAAAUGGAUGAAGAUCCAAUAAACCCUUUAAUCUUCGGAAGGCCCUUCUUAGCUACAGCUAGAGCAGUCAUAGAUGUCAAGAAGGGGAAGAUUGAUCUUAAUCUUGGAAAAGAUUUUAAGAUGAAGUUUGACAUUAAUGAUGCUAUGAAGAAACACACUCUACAUGACCAGCAUUCAAUCACUGAGGACAGUGAAGUUCAGGAAGGGGAGGCUUCUAAACGGAUUGAAGUCUCAGUUAUUGAACUAAACCAUUCAGCUGAAUCCCGCCAUCAAACUCAGUCUGCCUUGGAAGAGAAAGCUGCUAUAAUCGAGAGAAUGGUAAAGCGAUUCAAGCCAAGUCCUUCACCUUCACUUGCUCUCCCAUGGACGUUCAGGAAAACUUGGAAAGACAAAUAUGAAUCUCUUGCAGAGAAACAGAUUGACGAGAUGGAAGCAGUGAUGCCAUUAAUAGAAGUCCUCAAGCUGAUUCCGGACCCUCAUAGAGAUGUGAGAAACUUGAUAUUGGAAAGGCUCAACAUAUAUCAAGAUUCAGGUGACAAAUAUGAUACCAAUCCAAUUCAAGCCACUGAUGAGAGGAUUAUUCAAGAAAAGUUGGAAGAUCCUGGAUCUUUCACUCUACCAUGCUCCAUUAGGCAAUUAACUUUCAGUAAUUGUCUAUGUGAUCUAGGAGCCUCAGUCAGCCUAAUGCCACUCUCUGUGGCAAUGAGGUUAGGAUUCGUCCAGUACAAGCCUUGUGACAUUACCUUGAUUCUUGCUGAUAGGACUACAAGGAGACCUUUUAGCCUGCUAGAGGAUGUGCCAAUGAUGAUUAAUGGAGUAGAGGUGCCUACUGAUUUUAUUGUGCUUGAGAUGGAUGAAGAAUCUAAGGAUCCUCUGAUCUUGGGACGACCUUUCUUGGCCUCAGUGGGAGCAGUAAUAGAUGUCAGAUAUGGUAAGAUUGAUCUCAACCUUGGGAAGCACAUCAGAUUGCAGUUUGACAUCAACAAAACUCCAACAAGGGAAACAACAGAGAGAAAGACCUUGGAGAUUCAGAGAGCAGUUCUAGGAGAAGGAUUUGAGGCCGCAAAAGUGAAGGAACCAGUUCUAGUCCAAACUCAACCUUCGAAUUCAAUCGCUCGAUCGAGUAUACCUUCAGUGCUUAAUUGGCGAGAGUUCAAAAAGAAGUCUGAUCUCCAAGAAAGAACCAUACAGGAGCUAGCCUACACCGUCAAAGAGCUUAGAAACAUAUUGAGUCGGGUUCAAAGGGAAGUUCAACCUCAGCCCAACGUUCACAUUGCUUCAAGAGAGGAUGCUGAGUAUAAUGAUAAGAUCGGUGAAGAAGAAGACUUCUUAAGUCUUCUCUGUCACACUUUCUCUGCGUAAUAUGUGUGAGGAGUCAAGCUAGAGACUUUAAACAAGCUCACUUGGGAGGAAGUCCCAUGAUUAUCUCUGUAAAUAAUUUUUCCUUUCUUGUUAUUUUUGAUUUGUUUUGGUUGUAUUUGUGGUUCUCAGGAAUGGAGAAACAAUCUGGAGAUAGAGUAAAAAUUCAAAAAUUUUACUCUACCAAGGACAUGGGGAUCGAGUAUAUCAGCCCAGUGGAGUCCAAAAAUUUGAAACUUUUUUGUUGCACCCGGAGACUCCGCCAUCGAGUAGGAGGGUCGAGUAUGUGUGUUUUUGCUCACAAAAAUUCUAAUUCAUCACCACAUACUCAAUCACAAGGAGAACUAGACGAUGAGAGUGUGCAACAGAGCACCCUACCAACGUGGAGAUCGAGUAUAAUGGUCAGUAUGGUGCAAUUUGAUUAUUUUGGAGCUGAAAUUUAGAAGGAGGAUCAAGAGUAAAACAAGCUCGGAGGUACAGUAAUCAACUCUAAUGAGUUGCGAUUUUGCUAAUGGUGGUUAAGGAGAUUCUCCACUUGAGUCAAUGGAGGCAUCCCAUCAUGUCUCCUACAUCCCAUUAUGUCUCCCACCAAGCUAAAGCCACCAACUUACCCACCUCUUUCCCACAUGUUUCUAAUGAGUGCUCCACUCCCCUCCACAUGAUUUCAAGCCUAAAGUCUCAUUCAUUCUCCUCCACAUCUUCAAGGACACACCACUCAUACCAUUCCCCUAUAAAUCCAACACUUCCAAGGAGAAAUAACCACACCAACUCAUCUCUCUCUCACUACAAAGCUCUACCACUCUCAGCUCACUUCUCUCUCUAAAAUCACCAAGGCAGCUCAACCGUCCGCCUUUCACUCACCUUUACUCGAUCACAAGCUCUCUCCCACCGCCAUUCACUCACCUCGUUUACUCGACCACGCUGUCCCAUAACCGCUUCCAUCAGCUACAUCUAAGGUUUACUCAAUCUUUUGUCUCACCCAAGACUUUAACUCUUUCUUCCAUCUUGUUUUUGGAUCGUUUGAACUCACUAACCUACUAAUUUGUAGUUUUGAGUUUGAUUCGUUCAGUUCGAAAAAUGAGUUCAUUCAAUGACCAGGUGAGCUACACUUCUAGCCAAGAUCACAAUUACAACGUUAAUGAGAACGAGUCAUGGUCUACAUCUCUUCCAGAAAGAGAAGGUCAUGAGUACUCUCGGCUCAGAGACGACAUCGCAAGAGGCAAGAAAACCAUGGAGGAGAUAUCCAGUUCGUUGAAGGACGUUGCAACGAAGCCUUGGAAGACAGACAAGAAAAAAAUCUCAAUGGAAGAGUACUGUGAGCUCUUCAGGCGGCAUAACUUCGUCGGGACUAGGUACCCGCAUCCAGGGACGAUGGUGGAGCUCGGUAUCUAUGACGAUAUCGAGUAUCUUUAUGAGCAAAGCAGUCUAUUCACCCUCAUGAACCGUCCCUACAGCGCUUACAAGGAGGAAACAAUCCAGUUUCUCUCCUCCUUCCAAGUUGAGAUCUUUUCUGAGAAGAAGAAGAAGAGAGAAAGAGAGUACGGGCUCGGCUACUUGACCUUCACCAUCCAUGGCCAAGAGUACAUCUUCCCCCUGAAGCAGCUGGAAUCUCUCUUCGAGUUUAAGAGCGGAGUAGGCACUGGCCACCGUGUUGCCAGAAAAGAGUUAAUUGGACUCUGGGAGACAAUUGGAGAUGACGUCAAGUUCUUCUCUUCCCGCUCCAAGAGCAACACCAUCAGGAGCCCAGUCCUCCGCUACUUCCACCGCAGCCUCGCCAGUGUCCUCUUUGCAAGGGAGAUAACUGGUACGAUCGUCAACGGGGAGAUGGAAGUGAUGGUGAUGGCACUGCAGGAAACCCUGGGCGAAACCAAAAAUAAUACCGUGUUGGUAGGUGACAAGUCAACCUCUUCUACUGUUUUCUUCUUACUCGGCCACCUAUGGAGCUACAGAUCAUGGGCGGUGACGAAUGCCAAGAAAACUGCUAAAGGAAAAUUGUGUAUGGGUGGGCUGAUAACACCUAUAUUGUUAGCAUGUGGAGUGCCUUUAGAGUCAGAAGAAGUCCUUCCUAAGUGGGUUGACAUCGAAUACUUGAGGAAGACCACGUCAUUGGAUUGGGAGAUGCUGGAUGGAAGGUAUGCCUGGAUAUUUGAUCUUCCGGAAGCAGAAGGGGCGAGAUUUCUCCUCCCUCACCAGGCAUUCACCACGAUCACGGAGAGAAGCAAUAUUGAUUUCAAACCACCUGUUCAGAUGCUCUAUGGCGUGAACGAACUUGUUUAACCUACUGAAGAAGAAGGAACCAAUGCUGGAGAAAAUGAAGCUGCUGAAGAAGAAGAGGACCUGGAUAUAGAGGAAUAUAACACCAGGAGGUUCCAUUUUGCUGAACACAUAUCGCCAUCAAGACAGAGCAAGAGCCUCAAUGAGAGUCAUGAGAAGAUCAGCAAGCUCCAAGCCUGGUGCAAGUUCCAAGACAAGUUCAUUGGUAAAUGCUUCAAGAUGUACAAAUCCAUGCAGAAGAAGUUGAAUCGCUCCUCUACUAGCACUUUUGCUCCAAGAGUAGACCCUCCUGAAGAGAUACCCUCCAGACGCUAUGAUUCAGAUGCACCAAGGGACUCAACCUAUGAACCGGUUCAAGACGUCUACACAAGGGAGAAGAAGGAAGCAAGCACUGGUUCACUCAGGUAGCAAGGCGAGGCUCCUCAACGCCAGGCGACCACUAAACCGCCGCACUGACCGCCAAGCCGACCCUGUGAUCGAGUAUCCUGCACCAGAGGGGGAAGAGCAACAACAAGGACCCAGCAUUCCAUGGGAAUACACCAGAGAGGAGAUGGACGACUACAUCUCCAGGACCUUCAACUGAGGUACCACACCCAACCAUCAUUGUAAAUACCAUUUUCUGUUUUUGAUUUUAUAGUGUCUCUCUUGAAAUCUCCUUCAGAUUUUUACUACACAAGGGACUGUGUAGUUUAAGUUUGGGGGAGAAUUCAAGACGUAUUUAACAUGUUUUCUUUGAGUUUUGUUUUCAAAUUUUGCAUUUCACACUUGAGUCAGCAUUCAUCUAAAGCAUAGAAAAAACCAAAAAAAUUUGAAAAUUUUCUGAAAAUGUAUUCCACAAAAACAGAGUGUUCAUCUAGUUGCAUCACAUUUAGGAUCGAGUCUAGUAUUUUUCAUAUAGGAUUGUUGCAUAUGCAUAGGGGAUUAUGAUGAAAUAGCCUUGUAAGCAUGUUGGUUCAGUAGAUAGACUCAAUGCCCUCGUUGCUAGUUGGCUGAUGCGUAGUCAAUGAAAUUGAAGUAAAACUGCACCAUGUCUUGAAUGCUCUACUCGAUCACACUGUCAUGAUUUGAUACCAUUCCCUAUCAAUUUGAACCCGAAUCUGAUUUACAAUUAUCAUGUCUUAGCAUCAAAUUUGAACUCAUGGAUACCAUAUACAUACUUGGGUUUUCUUUCAACUUUUCACCAUCCUUGCUAACCCAAGUAGCUGCUUCCAUCAUAGGAGCAGUUUCCCUAGUCCUUAACCAAACCUUUCUUUUAAAAGCCCUGUAAUAUCUCGUGUGUGACUGUGAGGGCUGAUUCAGGAUUGAGCUUGGUAGAAAGUGUUAGGUUUGAACCGACAAGAGUAGUGUCUCAUGUAGUUCUAGUUCACGUUUUCUGGACUAGAUAGGACUAGGUGGGAGUCUAUUUUUGGGUGGGGGUUGAGUAUAUGAGUAAAAGAAGGAAAAGGUUGAUGUUUUUAGGAGAAGGAAGUUGAGAAACAAGUUACUCUAGUAAUGGGUUUUGAGGAACUAAAAGUCGAAUCGAUAGGCUCUGUAACAAAAGAAAGCAAAGAUUUAGAAAAGUCUUUAUCAUAAGAAGAUAACAAGAUGUGAGACCCCGUCCUGGACGUCUCGGCGUCCGGCGACCAUGGUCACACGUUCGUGCCUCUUCCCGGCCGAACCUCCAUAUUUUUCGCGAUUUAACAUAGAAUUGCCUUUACGAGGCUUACUUCUGUAAUCGCUUUCUUAGUACCCAGCGGAAGUAUUUCUACCCUUGGUUUAAUUCCAACCAAACCUUGUACCGGUUUGAUCAUCUUUGUCCCUUAGACUUUAGAUCGAUCGUUAACUCGGCCAAGUCAUGCAAUUUGUUCGUUAACCAUUCUAAGUCUAACGAUUGCAUAUUCUUUGUAUCCCUAAUCCAACGGCCAAUUCCCAAACGUCUAUCUUAACUAAUAAGUUAGAUGUGUUUACAUACCUUGGCCUACAUGCGGAUUUGAUUCCUCUUCGAUCCGUCUAUUGAUCCUUCUCUUAGCCCUCUCGUCGCCUUAUUCCAUUCGUACAACGAUUCUUAACCAAUCGUGUAUUGAUGGACCAAUCUCUAUCGUUACUUAGCCAUUCAUCCAACCAACCCCACUGGUCUAAGUCCCUACGAUAGAGAUUGGGGAUCGUACGUUUUUCUUGGUUCAUGGUGGCCGAAUCAAGCUCUUGGCUCAUUGGUCCAUCUAUCCUCCAAACGUACGCCCCUUCGGUUUCAUGGUGGACGAUCAAGCCCUCGGCUUAUCAAACCAUCCAUGUUUCCGAUCCGGUCGUUUAUCACUACGACCGCCCACGGUCUACUAACCGUUUACCCAUCCUGUCCAUGGUGGUAAUAACGCCUUCGGUUUACCGAUCCAUCCAUGCGAUCCGAACACUAUCAUUAUCAUACCCAAGGGUCCGUGGAUUCACCCAUCGGAUUAUCGUAGGCUAGCCCAUGAAAUCAUUCGUCCGUCGGCCUUUGGUUUGCUCGUGGGUCCAACAUCCGUUUUGUCCACUGGUUCUCACCGUGGACUUUCCCGUUGGUUAUCCGUCGAGUUACCAUUGGUGUUACCGAUUCCUAAUCGGUUUCACCAUUGGCCAUGGCGAUUGAUACAUGAAGGCGGCCGCGAUAUUAGAUCCUUACAUGGUGAACCACGUCACAUACCCAUUCUCGGUGCUUACUCCCUUUACCGGUGAGAUUGCAUCCAUGGGCGACCCUUGGGUGUGUUCGGUUGCACUUAUCCUCGUGCUUCUUCGAACACCUUUCCCUUAUACGCCUUCCCGAUUAACUUCCCGUUAACCAUAUCAUCUAUCGGACUAUCUUUGGAUUCGUCAAUACUUCCAUAUUGACAAUCUUAGAUUUGCCGAUCCAUUUCCUUUUCGUGUCCUUCCCUCGACGAUAUGAUUCAUAGAACGGACGAUCCAUCGACCCCAUAAUCGAGCUAUCGACCCGAACCAUCAAUCAAGUCGUCGAACCCUUCGGCGGUUCCCAUCGAAUCCUCGAUCAUGUAAUCCGCCAUGUUCCCUCGACAAGAUCUCCGAUACGUACCAUCGGUCAUCCCGCCGAUCGGUACGAUCGAUCAAUCCGCCGAUCUAAACCUUGAUCCGUUUAUCUGAUCGUACACCUAUCCGGUCAUACGUCGAUCCGACUUGUUGACACGACAAUCGAUCCGCCUAUCCCGGUCGGUCGAUCCGUCUGUGCGACGGUCUAUCCAGAUCCGUCUUCUUCUCCGAUCCGAUCCAUCCGUACGACGAUCAGUUUGUCCGAUCCGAUCCGUCUCUAAGACAAUCGGUCCAUCCCAUCCAUCCCUCAAUACAUUCUAUCGAACCGUUGGAUCGGGAGGUAGCAUGCGCAUCAGUUUGGUCGAGGCUCCGAGAAUCCAUUCCGAUUCCGGAGAUACUCGCCGAGCCGCACCCCCUUUCCGACCAACACUUCGUAGAGUGUUUUGGGACCCCGUUUGGGUUGUGAUGGUGAUUGUGAAGUGUAUGUGGAUGAUCCUAAAGCCCUUGGACGUCCUCCCUUAUAUAGGGGCCGAAUGGGUGUGUUUCCGAAACAUCACCUCCGUUCAUUACACCCUUCCGGAAGAUUGCGUCUUUCCGGUCGUAACCGUUUGCCUUAUCCACCCUUUGGCCAACGGUAACCAUUCGUCGGUAACCGCUCAACCUUACACCUCUUCAUCCCGAGCUACCACAGUCCACCAGCUCGAGUGUUAGCUGACCGGACCACCCAGCUAGGUCAGUACUCGAUCAGUUCACCGAGCUCGGUUGAGCUGUCGGUCAGCUCACCCAGCUGAGCUAGCUAGUCCUCCAGCUGGUUUAGCUCACCUAGCUGAGAUAGCUAGUUCGUCCAGCUUGUCCAGCUCACCUAGCUGGAUUAACUCGGACUCUUUUGUCCGUUCUUUCCGGCUAAGUCUUUCGGUCCGUUUCUCGGCCUUGACUUCGCCAUUCCUAAUCUUUUCAAGAUCAUUUCUCCAUGAUCACUAGAUUAUCCCGAAAUCGUCUAAGUCAUCUACCCCUUUCAUGACUUAAACGUUUCAUUCCUUCCUUGGGUUAACUUAUUCAUUGGUCUUUCUCGACCAUGAUCUAGUUUUCCCUAAAACAAACCGGCCCCCUUUAGGAUCGCGGGACGCGGGUGUUACACAAGAGCCAUAGUUGUCAAAGAAAAACCAAACCCACUAGAUCCAUCGAGUAAAAGAAAACUUCUCCUUAAAACAGAGUCAGAGAAAAAGAAAGAGUGAUAUGAUCAAAGAUAAAAAUGAGAAAAAAUGCCUUGAAUGCAAAGGGUAGAACUAGGAUCAUCAUCUGAGCUUGAGGGUAGUACCAUCUGCUGGUGUAAACACGGUUUAUGUUAUUGGGUAGAUGAGAUACUAUUCUUGUAUGCAUAGGUUGGGUCUUACCGUUAGCAUUCUCCUAAAGCUCAGUCCAAUUUUUUUGAGAGUCCCCUGUUACUAAACUUGAACCACCUUAAAGGGACUAUCUUUGUCUCCUGACCUUCACCUUAAGCCAAAUGAGUUCAUUGAUGGUGCAUUGCUUGAUUCACGUUCUGAAACUAAUGAAUGUUAAAGGGAUUGGUCGAUUUGAAAGCAUGUGUAGGUCGAGUAUAAGAGUCGGAUUAAACUAUAACAAGGCAUGGCUAACGUUUUUGAGUAUAGAUCAAUCAUAUCGCAUCCUAGAACUACCAACUUGGACCUUGAUUUUAUCUAUUUUACCAUAUGCUUUGGUUCUGAAUCCCCACCUUCAAACCUCUCCUUCAUCUUAUGCUUACUUGUUUGCUUGAGGGCAAGCAAAGACUAAGUUUGGGGGAGUUGAUAUGUCUAUAAUUUGCAUGUUUUAUACAUCCAUUUAUCACCAUUUUGAGUCUAGUUUCGUUCAUCUUUCAUAGCAUUCAUCAUCAUUUCGCAUAAUUUGCAUAUUUAAGUGUGUCUAGCAUUAGUCUUGCAUGCAUUUUGCAUUCUGGAGUUGUUUCAGGUGUUUCGGAGCUAUUGGUGUUAAGAAAGAGGAAAAAUAGAGCUGAAAGUCACAUUUGGACCAUUCUACUCGAUCACCAGUAGCAAAGAGGGAAGCAGUCAGCUCAGCAGACCAUCAGGACCCUUCUAUUCGAUCGCAGAGGAAGAGGAGCAGUCCAUCCUGCCAGUUCACAGUUCUACUCGAUCACAGAGGAAGAGGAGCAGUCCAUCCUGACAGUCUACCCACAUACUCGAUCGCAAGGUUAAAGAAGCAGUCCAGAUCAGUCCGUCAACCAACCUACUCGAACACAGGAGAGAAGAAGCAGUCCAGAUCCUGCCACCAACCAUUCUACUCGAUCACCACCUCGACCCUCUGAUCAAUCUGCACUCAACCAAACAACCUGAGCAAAGGAAAGAGAAGAGGAGAGAAGGAACCACUUGAUUGCGGGUUUCGAUUCACGCUCGACCAUGAAGCCCACUUUGAGCCCAUAUACUCGACCGCAACGUUCCAUGGGCCUGUUAAGCGGACUCGAAGCCCACUUACUUAUCCUUGUCGAUUUUGCUAUAAAUAAGUCUCUAAGGGUUUCCCCUGAGAUAUCGAUUUUUCAUUCUCUUUUCAAUUACGUUUUAGACUCGCAACCUAGUUUCGUUCAGUAGCCGCUUUUGCUUCUGAAACUCUGUAUUUUCGUUUCUUCUAAGUUAUUGAGAUUUCGCUUUUGUUUCCUUGUUCAUUUCUGUUUUAUUUCCUUUAAUCUUAGAAGUUAUGCAAUCUUCAAUCGUUUCUGUGUCUUUGAGCAUUUUGUUUGAGUAGUGACUAGGAUUUCUGAGGAUGGGAUAGAGUAGUUGUUAGACCCAUGGUCGAUUCUGAUGGUUAAGUGUAGUUUUAUUGAAUCCCUUCUGGAUUAGUUGUGUUUACUGCUUAUUUCUUUCUGAUCAACUGGAAUUCGAUCAAAAGCAUUCCCGCACCCAAAAGGUGUUCGAUGGAAUGCUUGAUCUACUAAUUCCAGUGAUAAUCGUCUCUAUCCCAAGGGAUUGGCCGUUUAGAGCGGUUAUUGACUUUAACAGUCGGUUCUUAUUGCCUGCAUAGUUAGAUUCCGUUAAUGGGAAUUAGUUUGGGCUAGCUUUGCUUGAGGAUUUGUUGCACGGGAGUGAAUAAGUCUGUUGUUGAACCUGUUGUCCAGGGAUAGCUUCAUUGAGAAUUGUUAACCAUCUGAAUUGAUUAUGGAGUCCACACUAUUCGAUUACCCCAUCCUUAGGAGUUUCUUAUCCAAUUGAUUUAUCUGUCUACUUACUUGCUUCUACUUUGUUACCUGCUGUUCAAGUUUUUAACAAUUUAACUCUGUGACACUGGUUUACUCGAUCGCAGCCUCCCUUCUGGCAGUGAGCCUUGUGAUCGAGUAUAGCAGUCCAUUUCUGCAAAUUCACUGUUUUCUGCAUCAAUCACUAGAACUGUUAGAAAAACAACCAAUUCAUGCUUGGCUUGACUUAGUGCUUUCUGAUCAUAUCUUAUUUGUUUGCAUCACACCUGAUUGGAUUGAUACCUAAAAUACUACAACGACAGGAUAGUGUUUUAGGAUAAUUGAUCGUAAAAUCCUAUUAUCACUCCUCUGUAGAGAGUGCUCAGGAGUGAGGCUUUGGAGAAACCGUGGUGAGGACAUUGAUUCUGAUAUCCUCUGAAACGCUCCCAUGCUUCACGGAAAGUCUCAGCAUUCUUCUGAGUGAAGCCAGAAAUCUCAUUCCGGAGUCUUGCAGUCCUGGAGUUGGAGAAGAAUUUAGUCAGGAAGGCUUUCUUGCAAUCAUUCCAGGAGGUGGUGGAGCCUUGAGGAAGUGAUUUUUCCCACUGGUGAGCUUUGUCUCCAAGAGAAAAUGGAAACAAACGCAACUUGAAGCCAUCCUCACUGACUCCAUUGAUCUUAGUUAGGCUGCUUAGCCUAUCAAACUCGUCCAGAUGAUCGAGUGGAUCCUCCAUAGGGAGGCCGUGAAAUUUAUUUCCCUGAACCAUGGAAAUGAGACCACUCUUGAUCUCGAAGUUAUUGUUCUGCUCUGGUGGAGGCACAAUGCCAUUGCGCUGAUUGUCAUUGCAUGGAGCAUCGCCUGCACCAAUGUUGUUUGGCAAUUCUGCGUUCUGAUCGUCGGCCAUAAUAUCUGUGCCUGUCUGUUCUCUCAACUCACGAGCAAUACGGUCGAUGUUCUCGUUGAAAAGCAGGUUCUGAUGUCCUUUAGAUCGAGUAUGCAUGCAACAGGUAAUAGCUCAACUUGAGCAGAGUAAUCAGAGAUAGUACCUGAAACACACAAACAUAGAGAAAGACACAGCGUUAGUAACCUUGUAAAAAAAACGAACUUGAUCUUAACGUUUCAAAAAAUCUCAAAUAUAGCAAAGAUAACACCCAAAUGGCAACGGCGCCAAAUUGAUAAUAGGGUUUUUACGAUCAAUUAUCCUAAAACACUAUCCUGUCGUUGUAGUAUUUUAGGUGUCAAUCCAAUCAGGUGUGAUGCAAACAAAUGAGAUAUGAUCAGAAAGCACUAAGUCAAGCCAAGCAUGAAUUGGUUGUUUUCCUAACAGUCCUAGUGAUUGGUACAGAAAGUAGUAAAAAGACACAAAAAUGACUAAUAUACUCUAUCACAAGGCUCACUGCCAGAAGGAGGAUGUGAUAGAGUAAAAGGGUCCAAAAACAGACAAUUAUCAAAACUCAAUAGCAAGUAACAGAGAAGGUGAAUGCAGCAGGUAAGUAAACAGAUAAAUCAAUUGGAUAAGAAACUCCUAAGGAUGGGGUAAUCGAAUAGUGUGGACUCCAUAAUCAAUUUCGAUGGUUAACAAUUCUCAAUGAAGCUAUCCCUAGACAACAGGUUCAACAACAGAUUUAUUCACUCCCGUGCAACAAAUCCUCAAGCAAAGCUAGCCCAGACUAAUUCCCAUUAACGGAAUCUAACUAUGCAGGCAAUAAGAACCGACUGUUAAAGUCAAUAACCGCUCUAAACGGCCAAUCCCUUGGGAUAGAGACGAUUAUCACUGGAAUUAGUAGAUCAAGCAUUCCAUCGAACACCUUUUGGGUGCGGGAAUGCUUCCGAUCGAAUUCCAGUUGAUCAGAAAGGAAUAAGCAGUAAACACAACUAAUCCAGAAGGGAUUCAAUAAAACUACACUUAACCAUCAGAAUCGACCAUGGGUCUCACAACUACUCUAUCCCAUCCUCAAAAAUCCUAGUCACUACUCAGACAACAUGCUCAAAGACACGAAAACGAUUGAUGAUUGCAUAACUUCUAAGAUUAGAGGAAAUAAAACAGAAACGAACAAGGAAACGAAAGCGAAAUCUCAAUAACUUAGAAGAAACAAAAAUACAGAGUUUCAUAAGCAAAAGCGGCUACUGAACGAAACUAGGUUGCGAGUCUAAAACGUAAUUGAAAAGAGAAUGAAAAAUCGAUAUCUCAGGGGAAACCCUUAGAGACUUAUUUAUAGCAAAAUCGAAAAGGAUAAGUAAGUGGGCUUCGAGUCCGCUUAACAGGCCCAUGGAACGUUGUGGUCGAGUAUAUGGGCUCAAAGUGGGCUUCAUGGUCGAGCGUGAAUCGAAACCCGCGAUCAAGUGGUUCCUUCUCUCCUCUUCUCUUUCCUUUGCUCAGGUUGUUUGGUUGAGUACGGAUUGAUCAGAGGGUCGAGGUGGUGAUCGAGUAGAAUGGUUGGUGGCAGGAUCUGGACUGCUUCUUCUCUCCUGUGAUCGAGUAGGUUGGUUGACGGACUGAUCUGGACUGCUUCUUUAACCCUGCGAUCGAGUAUGUGGGUAGACUGUCAGGAUGGACUGCUCCUCUUCCUCUGUGAUCGAGUAGAACUGUGGUGAAGAACUCUAUAGAUUAAUCCUAACAGGUAAUCGAUUUACUAAUUCAUCUAAAUCCCUAAUGAGAAUCCCUAACCUAACAAGAAAACUACUCAAUCAUGGAGAUUGAAACAAACAACAUGAUUGAAGUAGAAAUCAAUAAUGAAUAUAACAAGAAAAUAGGGUUUAGAAAGAUCUUCUCUAAAGGGAGUCUCCACAGGGUUUUGCUCCCAAAUACAAAAGAGAAAAGGAGAAUAGUCUCUCCAAGCUUAGGUCUAAACAAUGAUCUUAAAAUUAUAUAUAUAAGAGCAUCUCCAACCCACCUCUAUAUUUGCUUCUAAACUCUAUUUUAGAGGCAAAUUUACUUCAACCAACCUCUAUUCUCACCUCUAAAAUAGAGAUCUCUAUUUUUUUCUCUAUAUAUAGAGGUGAGAAUAGAGAAUCUCUAUUUUUCCCUCUAUAAAUAGAGUUAAACUUUUUAGAGGAAAAAAAUAGAGGAACACAUUGGAGUAAAAAUAGAGAAAACUUACCUCUAUUAUAGAGAUAGAGAUAAAAAUAGGGAAAUACAUUGGAGAUGGUCUAAGUCUUAAAAACGUGUUGGGCCUUCUUUAAAACUAAGAGAAAGUUCUGGACCGAAUCUGCAAAUCUUCAUAACUUCAAUAAGUUGCGUUUUUGAAUUACCGUCAGCUCUUGGUGUCGACCGACACCAGGGGUGGUGUCGAUCGACACCUACACGUAUUUUCGUCUCCAGAUUUCUUUUGCAGCAUAAAUUCUCUGUUUUCCUCCAGAAUGCUCCAUUAUCUCCAAAUGAAUCCCAAACGUGUAGAAACCUGAAAAGACUUAAAAAGACACUAGAAAUAACAAAAAGACUCUAAAAACAAUACAUAUAUCACUGUUAAAACCGGUAAAAAUCGAGGUAUAUCAACUCCCCCAGACUUAGCUUUUGCUUGCCCUCAAACAAAACACAAAAACCAAACCUGUGGAAGAAGUUUGAAAACAUAGAAACUCCCAAUUUCUCUAGCCUAUUACCUUGAUUAUCCAAACCAAAUCCAAAUGCCUAGCAGAUCGCAUCAAAUCCUAACCACCAUGUAAUUCUCCGCAAGCAUUCUCAACAUUCUAAAUUCUAAACCAAAUUCCACAACUAUAUCAUAUAGCCCUCAUUGCAUAAAUUUCCUCAAUAAAAUCAGUACUCAAGAACUGAUAAUAGGAUUUUACGAUCAAUUAUCCUAAAACACUAUCCUGUCGUUGUAGUAUUUUAGGUGUCAAUCCAAUCAGGUGUGAUGCAAAUAAAUGAGAUAUGAUCAGAAAGCACUAAGUCAAGCCAAGCAUGAAUUGGUUGUUUUUCUAACAGUUCUAGUGAUUGAUGUAGAAAACAGUAAAUUUGCAGAAAUGGACUGCUAUACUCGAUCACAAGGCUCACUGCCAGAAGGGAGGCUGUGAUCAAGUAAACCAGUGGUCACAGAGUAAAAUAGUUAAAAACUUAAACAGCAGGUAACCAGCAGAAGCAAGUAAGUAGACAGAUAAAUCAAUUGGAUAAGAAACUCCUAAGGAUGGGGUAAUUGAAUAGUGUGGACUCCAUAAUCAAUUCAGAUGGUUAACAAUUCUCAAUGAAGCUAUCCCUAGACAACAGGUUCAAUAACAGACUUAUUCACUCCCGUGCAACAAAUCCUCAAGCAAAGCUAGCCGAGACUAAUUCCCAUUAACGGAAUCUAACUAUGCAGGUAAUAAGAACCGACUGUUAAAGUCAAUAACCUCUCUAAACGGCCAAUCCCUUGGGAUAGAGACGAUUAUCACUAGAAUUAGUAGAUCAAGCAUUCCAUCGAACACCUUCUGGGUGCGGGAAUGCUUUUGAUCGAAUUCCAGUUGAUCAGAAAGGAAUAAGCUGUAAACACAACUAAUCCAGAAGGGAUUCAAUAAAACUACACUUAACCAUCAGAAUCGACUAAGGGUCUCACAUCUAUUCUAUCCCAUCAUCAGAAAUCCUAGUCACUACUCAGACAUCAUGCUCAAAGCCACAUAAACGAUUGAUGGUUGCAUAACUUCAAAGAUUAAAGGAAAUGAACAAGGAAAUGAAAGCAAAAUCUCAAUAACUUAGAAGAAAUGAAAAUACAAAGUUGCAGAAGCAAAAGCGGCUACUAAAACAAUACUAGGAUUCGAGACUAAAAACGUGAAUGAAAAAAUGAAAAAUAAGUGAAUGUCUCAGGGGAAACCCUUAGAGACUUAUUUAUAGUAAAAUCGACAAAGUUAAGUAAGUGGGCUUCGAGUCCGCUUAAAAGGCCCAUCGGAACGUGGAGGUCGAGUAUAUGGGCUCAAAGUGGGCUUCAUGGUCGAGCGUGAAUCGAAGCCGCGAUCAAGUGGUUCCUUCUCUCCUCUUCUCUUUCCUAUGCUCAGGUUGUCUGGUUGAGUGCGGAUUGAUCAGAGGGUCAAGGUGGUGAUCGAGUAGAAUGGUUGAUGGCAUGAUCUCGACUGCUUCUUCUCUCUUGUGAUCGAGUAUGUGGGUUGACUGUCAAGAUGGACUGCUCCUCUUCCUCUGUGAUCGAGUAGAACUGUGAACUGGCAGGUUGGACUGCUCCUCUUCCUCUGCGAUCGAGUAGAAGGGUGAACUGGCAGGAUGGACUACUCCUCUUCCUCUGCGAUCGAGUAGAAGGGUCCUGAUGGUCUGCUGAGCUGACUGCUUCCCUCUCUGCUACUGGUGAUCGAGUAGAAUGGUCCAAAUGUGAUUUUCAGCUCUAUUUUUCCUCUUUCUGAACACCAAUAGCUCUGAAACACCUGAAACAACUCCAAAAUGCAAAAUGUAUGUAAGACUAAUGCUAGACACACUUAAACAUGCAAAAUGUGCGAAAUGAUGAUGAAUGCUGUGGAAGAUGAAUGAAACUAGACUCAAAAUGGUGAUAAAUGGAUGUGUAAAACAUGCAAAUUAUAGACAUAUCAAAAAUCCAACUCUCCUUAUAUAGAAAAAAUAUGUAAGGGCACUCACUCGAGUAUUUAUUGAAAAAGAAAGUUAAGCAUCAAUCUAUUGAUCUGACUGUUAUGACCUCUCGAUUUUUGUGUACAUGCAGAAACAAGACCUACGAAAUAUAGGUUAUUCAAGUAUCACUUAACACCUAGUAGGCGAACUUAAUUUCGAACUCGAAAUUCGAAGACAAUCAAUAAAUGGUAUCACACCUUUUUAUCUCCUAGGUAAAGCAAACAUUUCUCAAUAGAGAUUUCCCUAAUCGAACACAUUUGAAGUAUCGCAAAGUUUUCUUGUAAGCCGAGCUCUAACCUUGCAACCGAGAGACCGAGGAAAUAUUCCAAUGUUUUUUCUUUAAAAAAGGCAAGUAGGUCUGAUCAGCCUAUCUCUCCUAUAAUCCUGAACCACUUCGAUUAGGAGGACUUUGCAAAGCCUCCAGGUAAAAUCGAUGGUUUCCACCAAGAUUAAAUAUUUCUUCUUAAAGAAAUUUUAAUCGAAAACCCCCUUGGGCAAAUUAUUCAAAACAGUAAUAGAAGCCCCCUUGGGCAGAAAAUUUGGAAAAGAAACAAACGGCCCCAUGGCCAACAAAGCGAAUGUCAUGUCUUUAAAUUAAAGGGACAAUCCCCACAUAAGGUGAAUGCAAUCACCAUCAUUCAUUCACAGGUGAACCGCCUUCUUCUAUUACUUGACUUGAGACAAGAGCACCCCCAACGUCAUCGUCUUGAGUCGCGAGAACCACUUCAGGGUUAAGCGAGCUAGCAUCGUGAGGAGUUUCGUUCCUCGAUUCAACAUCGUCUCCCAUAAUCGAGGAGAUGACAAGCCCCUGAUCAGAGAGCCCCUGAGCUCGCCCCGAGGAGAUUCUGUCAACAUUGGUUCCGAACUCAUUAAAAUGAGCGCGAGGAGAACCUGUUAACACCAUCUCGUCCAAAGACGAACUAAUGUUUGGUUCGGUCAAUGGAGGGGAAUCAGCGAAUUCAGAAGCAAACUGCUGCAAAUUCAAAUAUGGCUGAGGAGCGGUAUUUAGCUUAGCUACACUCUCAGCUAGCUCAGCACCAACCGUCUCUUUCUCUUAUGCCAAAUUGACUUUUCCGUACUCUAUCUCUUUGAUCAAAUCGAGAUUGCUUUUCAUUUCAUCGCGUUCGGAGUUAAGCUUGUUCCAAGCAUUGUCUGCAGCGAUAAAUUCCUGCACAGCAAGAAGAAACUUUUGCCCAGCUCCCUUAACCUCCUUCCGAACAUCAUGAGAUAUUUUGCGAACAUCGCGAUCUUUCAGUUCGGAAAGAGACUCAUUUUUGCGUUCGAGCUCCUCAGCAGCUGCUUUAACCUUGUUAAGCUCUGAUCUCAGAAGCUCAAUCUCGCCUUUUGAGAAGUUAUGAUCAGCAAAGGCAGUUUCUAGCUUUUACUCUGUCUCAAUCAAAUUAUUCCUUGUCUCCUCGUCGGAUCUUUCGAGUCUCUCUAUCUCUUCCCAGUGAGCCGAGUCGAGGCCAGCAGAUUUCUGCACAAGCCGACUGGAAGAUUGCAGUUUUUCAAUCUCUCCUUCAGCGGCAGCAACUUUCUUGGAAACUUUGGCGAGCUCCUCUUCGUAAAAGUUGACAAUGCCAUUCACAUCCAAAGUUGCCUAAUAAAAGAAGUUUCAUCUUUUAAAAAAUAUAUAUAUAUAUUUUCUUUCAAAAUCGGCUGUUUAAGGAUGCAAACAAUCAAACCUGGGAAGAAUGAAAUGAAUGACUGAUGUACAUCUUCUUGAUAUCAGGCUUCCACCAAUCAAAGGAUGGAAGCUUCUUCCCAACACGGGUGUGGAAGCACCUACACAUAUUCCCGAUCUUCUCUUUAUCUGGAAUAAAGUUAGUUGUGUGAGAAUUGAGUUUUCUUUAAAGAAAGAAUCUAUUAAUCUCAAACAACAAAAUGAUAGUUAAAGGUUACCGGCUUGAGACGAAGCUCUGGCAACCAGUCCUGAGUUCGGAGAUGAUCAAACCCUAGAGGUAUUGCCUCGGGGGCGUCUAGGGGGUAGCAUCCCUGAACCCAGCGGUUCCUUCAAAACAGUUCCUGAAUCAGGAUUUGCAUCCUGAGCUUCAGCAGGUUCAGGAAUUGGCAGUUUCGAAGGAGCGGCUCUGCCCUUCCUUGUGCUCUUGGGACGUCCCUGGGGCAGGGGUCCAAGUUCCUCGGCCUUCCUCUUCUUCAUAAGAGAAGUGUCACUUGCAAGGCCUUCCUCCUCAACGAUUGCAGCGAACAUGUUGUCUGCUGCUGGGAUGGAGGGAGAAGCAUUGUUCACAGCAACCGCCAUUGACUUUGAACCUUCGAGAGAUCCAUCGUCAACCAGGAGAGUUUUCCGGUAGACCUUGUCGUCUCCGGUGGAAGUUGCAUUUUUCUUGUCUCUCCCAACUAGAGAAAUCUGAUCUUUGAUCUUCUUGUUUACUUCUUUGAUCUUUCUCCUAUCUCGGGCAUUCAGACUCGAGAUAUCAAUCCCAGCAGGAGGAGGGUCGACGGGGUUAGUAAGGCCUAUUCUGACAGAAAAUCCGGCACAGUGAAUCCUUUCCAAAUUAAUGGAAUUCCAAUUAACUGGCCUCUCCAAGACAGCCUUGUAGAAGUUGAGAAAAUCGAUGGAUGGGACCGGUCGAAUUUGGGGACCUGCGAGAAAACAAGGAAAUGUUAAAACGCAGUUUGAAAUAACAUAGGAAAUUUAUUUAGUUAAGUCCUAGUUUCUACCCAAAUUCAAUGACCAGUGGACUCGAAGGAGUUCAGAAGAGCUCUGAAUAGAAAAAUUAUUUAUGCGGAAGAAGAACCAAAACUUCCUCCAGGCGUUGUCCUUUAAGGGCAGGCUGUCAAUAAGAUUCCGAUCCGCGAUCGGAUAAAGGGCAUAAUACCCAGAAGUUCGGGAUUCGCGAGCCUGGAAAAGUUCCAAGAGGUCGCAAAGUCCCAACGAAUAGCCAGCCUCCGCCGCAACAGUAAAGGUACACAAAAGAUACCGGAGAAUGUUGGGCGACAUCUGAGAGAAGGCAAUUCCCAGAUGGUUGAGGUAGGUGAGAAGUAUCUCGGGAAGGGGAAAGAAUAAGCCGCACCCUCUGGACUGCUUCUUCAACCCUGCGAUCGAGUAUGUGGGUUGACUGUUAGGAUGGACUGCUCCUCUUCCUCUGUGAUCGAGUAGAACUGUGAACUGGCAGGAUGGACUGCUCCUCUUCCUUUGCGAUCGAGUAGAAGGGUGAACUGGCAGGAUGGACUGCUCCUCUUCCUCUGCGAUCGAGUAGAAGGGUCCUGAUGGUCUGCUGAGCUGACUGCUUCCCUCUCUGCUACUAGUAAUCGAGUAGAAUGGUCCAAAUGUGAUUUUCAGCUCUAUUUUUCCUCUUUCUGAACACCAAUAGCUCCGAAACACCUGAAACAACUCCAGAAUGCAAAAUGUAUGUAAGACUAAUGCUAUACACACUUAAACAUGCAAAAUGUGCGAAAUGAUGAUGAAUGCUGUGGAAGAUGAAUGAAAAUAGACUCAAAAUGGCGAUAAAUGGAUGUGUAAAACAUGCAAAUUAUAGACAUAUCAAAAAUCUAACUCUCCUUAUAUAGAAAAAAUAUGUAACGGCACUCACUCGAGUAUUUAUUGAAAAAGAAAGUUAAACGCCAAUCUAUUGAUCUGACUGUUAUGACCUCUCGAUUUUCGUGUACAUGCACAAACAAGACCUACGAAAUAUAGGUUAUUCAAGUAUCACUUAACACCUAGUAGGCGAACUUAAUUUCGAACUCGAAAUUCGAAGACAAUCAAUAAAUGGUAUCACACCUUUUUAUCUCCUAGGGAAAGCAAACAGUUCUCACUAGAGAUUUCCCUAAUCGAACACAUUUGAAGUAUCGCAAAGUUUUCUUGUAAGCCGAGCUCUAACCUUGCAACCGAGAGACCGAGGAAAUAUUCCAAUGUUUUUUCUUUAAAAAAGGCAAGUAGGUCUGAUCAGCAUAUCUCUCCUAUAUUCCUGAACCACUUCGAUUAGGAGGACUUUGCAAAGCCUCCAGGUAAAAUCGAUGGUUUCCACCAAGAUUAAAUAUUUCUUCCUAAAGAAAUUUUAAUCGAAAACCCCCUUGGGUAAAUUAUUCAAAACAGUAAUAGAAGCCCCCUUGGGCAGAAAAUUUGGAAAAGAAACAAACGGCCCCAUGGCCAACAAAGCGAAUGUCAUGUCUUUAAAUUAAAGGGACAAUCCCCACAUAAGGUGAAUACAAUCACCAUCAUUCAUUCAUAGGUGAACCGCCUUCUUCUCUUACUUGACUUGAGACAAGAGCACCCCCAACGUCAUCGUCUUGAGUCGCGAGAACCACUUCAGGGUUAAGCGAGCUAGCAUCGUGAGGAGUUUCGUUCCUCGAUUCAACAUCGUCUCCCAUAAUCGAGGAGAUGACAAGCCCCUGAUCAGAGAGCCCCUGAGCUCGUCCCGAGGAGAUUCUGUCGACAUUGGUUCCGAACUCAUUAAAAUGAGCGCGAGGAGAACCUAUUAACACCAUCUCGUCCAAAGACGAACCAAUGUUUGGUUCGGUCAAUGGAGGGGAAUCAGCGAAUUCAGAAGCUAACUGCUGCAAAUUCAAAUAUGGCUGAGGAGCGGUAUUUAGCUUAGCUACACUCUCAACUAGCUCAGUGAUAUGUCUAUAUUUUACUUGUUUUGAGCAUCCAUUUAGCAUCACUUUAUCAUCAUUUCGUCAUUGUUUCAUACCAUUCUUCAUCAUUUGUCAUCACUUUGCAUGAUUAGGAUAGUUUUGCAUGCAUGUUGCAUAUUUGAGUUGUUUUCAGGUGAUUUGGAGCUGUUGGUGAGCAAAUUGGAAGAAGUGGACCAGAACCCAUCAGUAUGCUCGACCACGAGGUCGAGCACCAUCAUCAUGACCUUCCAAAUGCACUCGACCACGACCAAGUCGAGCACCAAGUCGAGCACCAAGUCGAUCACCAAGUCGAGUACCCUCUCCUUCACCAACUCGACCUACCACUCGACCUCAUGGUCGAGUACCAGCUCCUUCACCAAGUAGAUCACGACUCCAGAUCACGACUCGAGCACGCAGUCGAGUAUCCUCCACCAACUUACUCGACCAAGCACUCGACUGCACGCUUCAGAGGCUUCUCAGAUCCCAACUCAACCACACACUGAGCAUAAGGAAGAGAAGAAGAUGAAGCGGGACUCGAGUGCAUACUCGACCUAGUCACUCGAUCGCAUCACGACCAGAUCAAGAAACCGCAAAGGAGCCAGCUUUGCUCGACCUCUUCACUCGAUUGCACGAAGCCGAAUGUCUCCGUAAACCGCCUUAAUACUUUGUCGUCUUGUGAUUUAGGGUUUCCUAGUAUUUGCUAUAAAUAGGUUGUUUCUCAUAAUUUUCAGACUAAGUUUUAUUCUGUCUAAGUUUUAUUCUGCAGAACAAUUAGUGCUUUCUUCAUAUUUGUAAUCCAGAUUUCUCUUAAUCUAUUGAGUAUUUGCUUUUGAUUUCUUCUACAAAGUUGUUCAUCUUGUUGAGAUCUUGCUAAUAUGAAGUUUUUAUGUAUUUCUGGGUUUGUGUUCUUGGUUAUGAAUUUUGAGUAGUGAUUAGGGUUCUUGAGGAUGGGUUAGAGUAGUUUAGAAUCCUUGAUCUGCUAGGUGGUUGAGUUUGAUUGGUAGAUCCCUUCUGGAUUAGUUGUUCUUAAUGCUGAUUGCUUUCUGAUCAACUGGAAUCUGAGCCCAGACAUUUCCGCACCCAAAAGGUGUUCGAUGAAAUGUCUGAACCACUAAUUCCAGAGAUUCGUGGCUCUGUACCAAGGUAUUAGUUACAGGGAGCGUUUUGGCUUUAACUUGUUGAUUCAUAAUGCCUGUUAGGUUAGCUCUCGUCAAUGGUGAUUGAGUCUGGGACUAGCUUUGCUUGAGGAUCUCUGUUGCGGUAGCACUUUGAUUUGGUUAUUGAACUUGUUGUCUAGGGAUAGUUUGUUGAGCAUGUUAACCACCUGUUAGAUUAAGGAGACUUCACUACUCGAUUACCCCAUCCUCGGGAAUUUCUCUUCCAAUUGAUUUCUUUGUUCACAUCGCUAUUGAUUGCUUGAUCUCGUUACUUGUUGCUUAGUUUUUGCAUUUUUACUUAUUUCACUUGAAGUACUCGACCACACCCAGCGGUUUGGAAACGAACUGUGCAGUCGAGUACAUUUGUUGCAGUUUCUGUUUGGUACUCGACCUGGCACUCGACCACAUCCAGUGCUUGGCAUCAAGCUGUGUGAUCGAGUGUGUUAUCUGUUUCUGUUAGAAUUAUUGUUUUCUGCAUGAUCACUGGAACUGUUAACAACAUCAAAACCUGUUAUUGCUUGGCUUGACUCUGUGAAAUCUGAUUGCAUCUUGAUUGCUAGCAUCACACCCAUUUGGAUUGACACCUUAAAUACUGCAAUGACAUGAUAGUACUUUAAGGAUAAUUGAUCUUAGUUAAAAUCCUACUAUCACUCAGCACCAACCGUUUCUUUCUCUUCAGCCAAAUUGACUUUUCCGUCCUCUAUCUCUUUGAUCAAAUCGAGAUUGCUUUUCAUUUCAUCGCGUUCGGAGUUAAGCUUAUUCCAAGCUUUGUCUGCAGCGAUAAAUUCCUGCACAGCAAGAAGAAACUUUUGCCCAGCUCCCUUAACCUCCUUCCGAACAUCAUGAGAUAUUUUGCGAACAUCGCGAUCUUUCAGUUCGGAAAGAGACUCAUUUUUGCGUUCGAGCUCCUCAGCAGCUGCUUUAACCUUGUUAAGCUCUGAUCUCAGAAGCUCAAUCUCGCCUUUUGAGAAGUUAUGAUCAGCAAAGGCAGUUUCUAGCUUUUACUCUGUCUCAAUCAAAUUAUUCCUUGUCUCCUCGUCGGAUCUUUCGAGUCUCUCUAUCUCUUCCCGGUGAGCCGAUUCGAGGCCAGCAGAUUCCUGCACAAGCCGACUGGAAGAUUGCAGUUUUUCAAUCUCUCCUUCAGCGGCAGCAACUUUCUUGGAAACUUUGGCGAGCUCCUCUUCGUAAAAGUUGACAAUGCCAUUCACAUCCAAAGUUGCCUAAUAAAAGAAGUUUCAUCUUUUGAAAAAAAUAUAUAUAUAUUUUCUUUCAAAAUCGGCUGUUUAAGGAUGCAAACAAUCAAACCUGGGAAGAAUGAAAUGAAUGACUGAUGUACAUCUUCUUGAUAUCAGGCUUCCACCAAUCAUAGGAUGGAAGCUUCUUCCCAACACGGGUGUGGAAGCACCUACACAUAUUCCCGAUCUUCUCUUUAUCUGGAAUAAAGUUAGUUGUGUGAGAAUUGAGUUUUCUUUAAAGAAAGAAUCUAUUAAUCUCAAACAACAAAAUGAUAGUUAAAGGUUACCGGCUUGAGACGAAGCUCUGGCAACCAGUCCUGAGUUCGGAGAUGAUCAAACCCUAGAGGUAUUACCUCGGGGGCGUCUAGGGGGUAGCAUCCCUGAACCCAGCGGUUCCUUCAAAACAGUUCCUGAAUCAGGAUUUGCAUCCUGAGCUUCAGCAGGUUCAGGAAUUGGCAGUUUCGAAGGAGCGGCUCUGCCCUUCCUUGUGCUCUUGGGACGUCCCUGGGGCAGGGGACGGGGUUAGUAAGGCCCAUUCUGACAGAAAAUCCGGCACCGUGAAUCCUUUCCAUAUUAAUGGAAUUCCAAUUAACUGGCCUCUCCAAGAUGGCCUUGUAGAAGUUGAGAAUAUCGAUGGAUGGGACCGGUCGAAUUUGGGGACCUGCGAGAAAACAAGGAAAUGUUAAAACACAGUUUGAAAUAACAUAGGAAAUUUAUUUAGUUAAGUCCUAGUUUCUACCCAAAUUCAAUGACCAGUGGACUCGAAGGAGUUCAGAAGAGCUCUGAAUAGAAAAGUUAUUUAUGCGGAAGAAGAACCAAAACUUCCUCCAGGCGUUGUCCUUUAAGGGCAGGCUGUCAAUAAGAUUUCGAUCCGCGAUCGGAUAAAGGGCAUAAUACCCAAAAGUUCGGGAUUCGCGAGCCUGGAAAAGUUCCAAGAGGUCGCAAAGUCCUAGCGAAUAGCCAGCCUCCGCCCCAACAGUAAAGGUACACAAAAGAUACCGGAGCAUGUUGGGCGACAUCUGAGAGAAGGCAAUUCCCAGAUGGUUGAGGUAGGUGAGAAGUAUCUCGGGAAGGGGAAAGAAUAAGUCGCACCCUUUGAAAUAAAUUUCAUAGGCGCAGCAGUAACCAUCUCGCCCCGACUCAGGAGACUCGAAGGGCUCUGGAACUAUCAUCUCCACCUUAGGAGGGAUGUGACAUAGUCUGCGAAGAUCGUCGAGAGAAUCAACAGUCGAUUCACUCUAAGGGUGAAGAUCAAACUCAUCUCCGGUAUGGAUUUGAGGUUCGGAUCCUUCACCCAUGAGAGCUUCGAGGUCACCAACCUCAUACUCGUGAAAUUCGGAAGAAAGGUUCGACAUUUUACAAAAAGGAUUUUCUUUUUUUUUUUUUACCGAAAGGAAACAAUGACUUCUGUAAUAAGAAUGAAAGUUUUCUAGGUAAAGAAGAUAAGAUGGAAAAGUGAUUUUACCUCUUAGAACCCUAAAGUAUGAUGGAAAACCGCCUCGAGAAUAUUGGGAAGUGGGACAGUUUUCCCCGUGGUAUUAAUAUAAAAUUAAGAAAUUAAUGAUGACGGUUGUCAGGGAUAUCAAAUCAUCUGAUUAUCCGAGAUCGGCGUAAUAGCGUAAUACAUGGAAUAAUUCCGGAAUGCUAAAGAUCUCGAGUCAUUAAUUACUGUUUACUUAAGUCUUCCAAGCCGAGCAUUCAGCUCACAAAACUUGGGGGGCUAAAUGUUGGGGUCGGAUCCCACACAUCUUCGGUAGGAUCGACUUGGAUCUGUCCACGUCAUUAUUACAUAAUAAUCCUCUUGGAUUUCUAGAUGUUUCAUUGCGAGAAUCGAGCUCGACCUGUCGGAAGUUCGAUUCAGUUUAUUAAAGAGCUCGAUCUUUACCUGUACGGAGUUCGCUCUUAUUCAACAUACAGUUCCCAUAAAGGAAGGCCGAAGCGAGGAGAAUAUUUUUCGAGGUUCGCGGCAGCGUCAAGACGCAGGAGUUCGGAGCCAACAAGAAAGAGUUCGGAAGAUCCACGCGAAGCCCAAGAUAGUUCAAAUUCAAGCCGUUUCGGUCAAAUUGUAACCUACAUGAUUAAUGCGGAUCAAUGCGAUUAUGAGCAGUAAAUGACCGCAUUGAUCAUGUGUUCUCUAUAAAAACAACCUCAAACGCAUGUGUUUGAAAAAAGAACAACUUUUUACCUCUUACCAUUAAGCAAUACAACAUAGUCUAUCUUUUACAAUUUCGCAAGGCUUUUUACUAUUUUAUUCUUGCCAAGCUCUUUCGCUUUAUUUAGUUUCUUGGUUACUUUCCUUUUCAAAUCCUUAUUUUUGUUUGUUGAUUUUAGAGUUUUUCUCCACAAAAAUACUUAAAGACAAUCGAGUGUGAAUCCUACAUCCACACAGAUAUUCCUCAGAAUUUGGACGAAGAUGACACUAAAAAUUGGGAUGAUUUGAUCGGAGAGGAUGUAAAGGAGAUUGAUGAUACCUGGAUAGUAAAGAAGCUGGAAUCCAAGAAGUUCGAUGACCCUCAGAAAAGACUGCAGCUUUGUUGCUUGCUCCUUGUCGAUGAUGUUCUAUGUCCUUGGUAAAACCCCAUAUAAUUCAUUUAUAUACUUACUAUACUACUCAAUCACAAAGUCAUUAUGUAUGCAAUUAUUGACAGGAAUAAAGCAAGAAAGAUUUCUAGACUGCAUGUUCAUCUCGUUAGUGAUGUCAGGAAAUUCCUUGAUUAUCCGUGGGGAAGAAAGGCAUUCUCACUAACAAUGAGAAGUAUUAAACAAGAGGGGCUGAGGGUUUGUGCCAGAAGACCCUUGCUAUACAUGGGUUCUUUCAUGGAAUGCAACUAGCGAUGCUGAAAUGCAUUCCAAAUAUCCAAACUCGUGCCCUCGUUGUGCCCAGAGGAAAGUAGAAGAAAGAAGAUUCCUCGGACGAGGAGGUUGAUGAUAACACCGAGAUGAGCCAUCCUGCCCAAGAUAUCCNNNNNNNNNNNNNNNNNNNNNNNNNNNNNNNNNNNNNNNNNNNNNNNNNNNNNNNNNNNNNNNNNNNNNNNNNNNNNNNNNNNNNNNNNNNNNNNNNNNNCUCUGACCUAAAUUUGCGGGCGUCUUCCGUCUUUUCACACCGAGAUGAAGCCAUCAAUCAUAUCAAUGUCUAAAAUCCGCAAACUGUGCCUAAAGGGGAAGGUAAUCCGGCUUUGAAAACCAUAUAUAUGAUAGAUAUAGGCACAGUUUGCCGAUUUCAUACAUUGAUAUGGUUAAUGGCUUCAUAACGGUGUUAUCAUCAACCUUCUCGUCCGAGGAAUCUUCUUUCUUUUGUUUUUCUCUGGCCACAAUGAGGGCACGAGUUUGGAUAUUUGGAAUGCAUUUCAGCAUUGCUAGUUGCAUUCCAUGAAGGAACCCCUGUAUAGCAAGGGUCUUCUGGCACAAACCCUCAGCCCCUCUUGCUUUAAUACUUCUCAUUGGCAGUGAGAAUGCCUCUCUUCCCCACGGAUAAUCAAGGAAUUUCUUGACAUAACUAACGAGUUGAACAUGCAGUCUAGAAAUCUUUCUGCCUUUAUUCCUGUCAAUAAUUGUGAUAAGGUUCAAAUUAACUCCUAGAACUACUCUCUCAAAUAAGAGAUCGUGUGUAGCACUUUAGGGUCGAAUUCCACAAAGCUCUCGUGUUCACACAAUAGACUAACAGGUUUUGAAUUAAGCUAAACAGAAAAUAUUGUAAAUUAAAAAUAAAGCAAGCAAGUAAAAUUGGUUGUAGAUUCAGAUGAAGAAAACGUUAGACUUAGGGAUUUCUCAGGAAAUAAACUAAUAGUAAAUCUAGAAAAUUAAUUAGGAUUAUUUAAUGAACCGUUCUAGAACUCAAAUCACUAAUGAAUAGCUAACCACCUCUCGAUGCGAUAACUAACAAGCCUAAUAUCAGUAAUUCCACCUCUCGAUGUGAAUUCCUAGAUCUAGACUAGCAUUAAAUUCAGGUUUGAUAUGUUCACCUUAGUAGAUAGGCCGAUUCUUAUUACACACCUCUAAACCAGGCUCAUCUAAGGUACUUCUAGUAACAGGUUCCCUCUCGGAUCAAAUACCUAUUAUCCUAUGAUCAAAUUCUAGGUGAUCAAGCUAGAAUUAGCAUUAAGAACAACCUAAGGUGAAGAACUCUAUAGAUUAAUCCUAACAGGUAAUCGAUUUACUAAUUCAUCUAAAUCCCUAAUGAGAAUCCCUAACCUAACAAGAAAACUACUCAAUCAUGGAGAUUGAAGCAAACAACAUGAUUGAAGUAUAAAUCAAUAAUGAAUAUAACAAGAAAAUAGGGUUUAGAAAGAUCUUCUCUAAAGGGAGUCUCCACAGGGUUUUGCUCCCAAAUACAAAAGAGAAAAGGAGAAUAGUCUCUCCAAGCUUAGGUCUAAACAAUGAUCUUAAAAUUAUAUAUAUAAGAGCAUCUCCAACUCACCUCUAUAUUUGCUUCUAAACUCUAUUUUAGAGGCAAAUUUACUUCAACCCACCUCUAUUCUCACCUCUAAAAUAGAGAUCUCUAUUUUUUUCUCUAUAUAUAGAGGUGAGAAUAGAGAAUCUCUAUUUUUCUCUCUAUAAAUAGAGUUAAACUUUUUAGAGGAAAAAAAUAGAGGAAUACAUUGGAGUAAAAAUAGAGAAAACUUACCUCUAUUAUAGAGAUAGAGAUAAAAAUAGAGAAAUACAUUGGAGAUUGUCUAAGUCUUAAAAACGUGUUGGGCCUUCUUUAAAACUAAGAGAAAGUUUUGGACCGAAUCUGCAAAUCUUCAUAACUUCAAUAAGUUGCGUUUUUGAAUUGCCGUCAGAUCUUGGUGUCGACCGACACCAGGGGUGGUGUCGAUCGACACCUACACGUAUUUUCGUCUCCAGAUUUCUUCUGCAGCAUAAAUUCUCUGUUUUCCUCCAGAAUGCUUCAUUAUCUCCAAAUGAAUCUCAAACGUGUAGAAACCUGAAAAGACUCAAAAAGACACUAGAAACAACAAAAAGACUCUAAAAACAAUACAUAUAUCACGGUUAAAACCGGUAAAAAUCGAGGUAUAUCAACUCCCCCAGACUUAGCUUUUGCUUGCCCUCAAGCAAAACACAAAAACCGAACCCGUGGAAGAAGUUUGAAAACAUAUAAACUCCCAAUUUCUCUAGCCUAUUACCUUGAUUAUCCAAACCAAAUCCAAAUGCCUAGCAGAUCGCAUCAAAUCCUAACCACCAUGUAAUUCUCCGCAAGCAUUCUCAACAUUCCAAAUUCUAAACCAAAUUCCACAACUAUAUCCUAUAGCCCUCAUUGCAUAAAUUUCCUCAGUAAAAUCAGUACUCAAGAACUGAUAAUAGGAUUUUAUGAUCAAUUAUCCUAAAACACUAUCCUGUCGUUGUAGUAUUUUAGGUGUCAAUCCAAUCAGAUGUGAUGCAAACAAAUGAGAUAUGAUCAGAAAGCACUAAGUCAAGCCAAGCAUGAAUUGGUUGUUUUUCUAACAGUUCUAGUGAUUGAUGCAGAAAACAGUAAAUUUGCAGAAAUGGACUGCUAUACUCGAUCACAAGGCUCACUGCCAGAAGGGAGGCUGUGAUCAAGUAAACCAGUGGUCACAGAGUAAAAAUAGUUAAAAACUUAAACAGCAGGUAACCAGCAGAAGCAAGUAAGUAGACAGAUAAAUCAAUUAGAUAAGAAACUCCUAAGGAUGGGGUAAUCGAAUAGUGUGGACUCCAUAAUCAAUUCAGAUGGUUAACAAUUCUCAAUGAAGCUAUCCCUAGACAACAGGUUCAAUAACAGAUUUAUUCACUCCCGUGCAACAAAUCCUCAAGCAAAGCUAGACCAGACUAAUUCCCAUUAACGGAAUCUAACUAUGCAGGUAAUAAGAACCGACUGUUAAAGUCAAUAACCGCUCUAAACGGCCAAUCCCUUGGGAUAGAGACGAUUAUCACUGGAAUUAGUAGAUCAAGCAUUCCAUCGAACACCUUCUGGGUGCGGGAAUGCUUUUGAUCGAAUUCGAGUUGAUCAGAAAGGAAGAAGCUGUAAACAAAACUAAUCCAGAAGGGAUUCAAUAAAACUACACUUAACCAUCAGAAUCGACUAAGAGUCUCACAUCUACUUUAUCCCAACCUCAGAAAUCCUAGUCACUACUCAGACAACAUGCUCAAAGACAUAGAAACGAUUGAUGAUUGCAUAACUUCAAAGAUUAAAGGAAAUGAAACAGAAAUCAACAAGAGAAUGAAAACGAAAUCUCAAUAACUUAGAAGAAACGAAAAAAUACAAAGUUGCAGAAGCAAAAGCGGCUACUAAAACAAUACUAGAUUGCGAGUCUAAAACGUGAAUGAAAAGUGAAUGUCUCAGGGGAAACCCUUAGAGACUUAUAUAUAGUAAAAAUGACAAGGAUAAGUAAGUGGGCUUCGAGUCCGCUUAACAGGCCCAUGGAACGUGGAGGUCGAGUAUAUGGGCUCAAAGUGGGCUUCAUGGUGGAGCGUGAAUCGAAGCCGCGAUCAAGUGGUUCCUUCUCUCCUCUUCUCUUUCCUAUGCUCAGGUUGUCUGGUUGAGUGCAGAUUGAUCGGAGGGUCGAGGUGGUGAUCGAGUAGAAUGGUUGAUGGCGUGAUCUGGACUGCUUCUUCUCUCCUGUGAUCGAGUAGGUUGGUUGAUGGCACGAUCUGGACUGCUUCUUCAACCCUGCGAUCGAGUAUGUGGGUAGAUUGUCAUGAUGGACUGCUCCUCUUCCUCUGUGAUCGAGUAGAACUGUGAACUGGCAGGAUGGAAUGCUCCUCUUCCUCUGCGAUCGAGUAGAACAGUCUGGAUGGACUGCUGAGCUGACUGCUUCCCUCUCUGCUACUGGUGAUCGAGUAGAUGGUCCAAAUGUGACUUUCAGCUCUAUUUUUGCUCUUUAUGAACACCAAUAGCUCCGAAGCACCUGAAACAACUCAAGAAUGCAAAAUGCAUGCAAGACUAAUGCUAGACACACUUAAACAUGCAAAUUAUGCGAAAUGAUGAUGAAUGCUAUGAAAGAUGAAUGAAACUAGACUCAAAAUGGUGAUAAAUGGAUGUAUAAAACAUGCAAAUUAUAGACAUAUCAAGAACCUUCUAGACUCAUUCCCGUACUAUACCAUGAUAAAUCAACCUUUUUCAAUAUUUCCUUGGUACUCUUUCUCUCCCCAGACUUAUUCUUUUUCAAACCAUUUUUUUUUUUUUAGCUUCAAAGGUGUAGGCGAAGAAUGGUAUCAUCGGAAAUUUUCCUAACCUCGCUUCCAACCUUCGUGUGAUCAUUCCUCUUGAAGUAAAAUAAUGAGAUCACGGGAAAUUUUCCUAUCUCUUUAUUCCAAAAGAAAAUCAUCUCAAUCUUUUUUUUUUUUUUUUUUUUUUUUUAGAAUAAGGGAGAGGAGCACCAUUCUUUUUCCACAUUAGUCUCAUUUAUCAGGUAUGAACGAGGAGUCAAGUUCUACGAAUACUAACCGUAUUAACGAGGUGAAAAGCAUAAACUUUGCUCAGGCUUUAGCGAAUUAUGUUGGAAACGUGGAUGUCCUCUGGUCUAUUGAUUAACUCUCUGGAUUUUCCAUUAGUCGGAUUGAUUUGAAUCUGCAGCAUUAAACUAACCAGGCAAUAAUCUAGAGAAAAAGAUCAUAAUUUCCAACAAAAAUUUUGACUCAAUACAACGACUCAAAAGAGAAAGAAAAAUAAGAAAAAGACUCAAAAAUAAAAGCGUAGUUAGUAACUGCCUCGCCCAGACUUAAAUGACACUGUCCUCAGUGGCAUUCAAACCCGAAGUUAGCGAAAAUAAAAAUAAAGAAAAACAAAAACGAAAAUAAAAAUAAAAGAAAAACGAAAUCAUACCAGUGGGUUGCCUCCUACUAAGCACUUAUUUUCAGUCAUUAGCUUGACUAUGACGAGGUUCAGGCAUAAGGUGGAUCGGAAGGUGGCAGUAAAUACCGAAGAGAAAAGCCUCUCAUCAUCCAUGAAGGUGUAUAAGCAGUUGGUGCAUGAGAUCUACCAAGGAAGUGAGGAAUGUCAGCAAGGCGGGGCUUAGGUAUGGGUGGUCUACGCCGUUUCCUGCACAAUCAUCAAAAGAAGAAACAUGCGCUCGACGAGAAACUCGUGGCUUGCUUAACCGUAAAACAGUUUUGAAAAAUGUAAAAGUCUUAUUGAUAAAAUCAGAAGGUUUAGGAGGAGGAGAUGAGUACCUUACCCGUUUAGGAGGUGGAUGAAGUGGGAGAGGUGCAGUGACAACAGUGCCCGAACUUGCAGCAGUGAUUUCAGCUAGGAAAACAGCUUUGUCCGACAACCCUGGUUCUGCCCGUGUGGGGUGUCGCUCGACACAGGUGUCGACCGAAAAUGGUGGUUGUGUCGACCGACACUGGGGGUGUGGUCGACAAUGGUCCGUCACGUAGAGUCUGGUAUCGACCGAUACCAUGGUGGUGUCGAUCGACACUGAGCCUGUAGCUCGAAUUUCUGCACUGUUUCUACGACGUGGUUCAGAAAUCUGCAGCAACUUAUCCCCGAUCUGUGCCUCAUCCUACAUCCUAUUGCUGAACAGAUUGUCACCACUCCAAUCUUCAAGCUUAGAAGCUUGCAACUUCACUUGCUCAAUAGAAUCCAACUCUUUGACAAACCCAGUAGUAAUGUCUGUGGAUAUGGAGCAAUCUAGCACAAGGCUUUCUGGAUCAGGUAAAUUCUCUAGGAUGCUACACUGAAUCAUGGCACUGACUAAUUUGGAGAUAGCCACUGACUACCUCUUGUUCGGCUUCUUCUCUGGAUCCUCAUACACCAAGAUAGCACUGAUGUCUUUGAAAAGCAAGCUUGCGUCCUCAGCACUGACACCUUUAGUAAUCAUCUUCUUGACAUAUCUUUGAAGUGGAACUUUGAGCUUACAGUGAUCAUCAAAGGGUAAUGUACUGAAAAGCCAUUCCAGCUUCCAUCUGCAUUGCUAUUCCCGUAUCUCUUGCUCGGACUUCUUAGGCUGUGGUGGAAACACAAGAGCAUAUGGUGCAGUUCGUGUCCAGUGUCGAUCGACACUACUGUCUAGCGUCGACUCCUCUGUGUCGAGCUCACUCGAUUAUGCUUCGUCAAACAUCGAUUCUGCUUCCGUACCGGAGGUAUGUUGAUCGACACCCAUGUGGUGUCGGUCGACACUAAGACUGCGUGUCGAGGGAUCUUGUAAAUCAGUGUCGAGGUAAGUCGAUUCUGCUUCGUCACAGCGUAGUUUUUCGGAUAUCUGUACUGGUGUCGGUCGACACCAAUUGGUAUCGGUCGACACUGCCUCUGCAACCAAAAAAUCAGCAUCAUUCUCCUCAAUUUCAGCGAACUCAUCUUCACUUUCCAUUAAAACAACGUGGCAAGCAGUUGUGAGAUUGUUCUCAAUCCUUGGGAAUCGCUCUAGAGUUCUCUCCAAACUCUCCUGAAUCUGUCCCAGCAUGGAUUCUAUCUUACUCACAUAAGUGGGUGGAGGGAGGGCUUGGUAAGGAGAAGAACCGUAGUUCUUGGUGAAAUUUCUCAGAAAAGCCAUCUUUGUCUGCUGCCAAGUUGUAAAAGAUCCUGGAAUCAACUCCUGAAGCCAAGAAGCUGCUUCCCCAGCAAGAGAGUAUGAGAAAAGCUUACGAUGUAGAUAGUCCUCUGAAACAACCCAUGCCUUGAUGAUUGAAACCAAAUCUUCAAAUAAACUAAUAGUAAAUCUAGCAAAUUAAUUAGGAUUAUCUAAUGAACCGUUCUAGAACACAAAUCACUAAUGAAUAGCUAACCACCUCUCGAUGCGAUAACUAACAAGCCUAAUAUCAGUAAUUCCACCUCUCGAUGUGAAUUCCUAGAUCUAGACUAGCAUUAAAUUCAGGUUUGAUAUGUUCACCUUAGUAGAUAGGCCGAUUCUUAUUACACACCUGUAAACCAAUUAUAUACAUAGUGACUAUGUGAUUGAGUAGUAUAGUAAAUAUAUAAAUGAAUUAUAUGAGGUUUUACCAGGGACAUAGAACAGCAUCGACAAGGAGCAAGCAACAAAGCUGCAGUCUUUUCUGAGGGUCAUUGAACUUCUUGGAUUCCAGCUUCUUUACUAUCUAGGAAUCAUCAAUCUCCUUUACAUCAUCUCCGAUCAAAUCAUCCCAAUUUGUAGUGUCAUCUUCGUCCAAAUUCUGAGGAAUCUUUGGAAUUUCAGAACAAUAUAGGCCCAUAGCAGCCGAGAACUCCUGAAUUAAGAAUCUUAUAGGCGUUACACCGAAAUCCAUCCAAAUCUCGUGCUUCUUCACCGUCACUGGCUGGCGCGAUAGCAUGUAAUGAGCGAACUGGACCAAAAAAGCUACUUAACGACCGUGCUCAAGCAGAUACCAGAACUGAGAAUUACAAAGCUGUGACCAUUCUUUCUCGUGCUUCUUCAACGCCUCCUUCACAGUGCCCAGAUAUUUCAAGACAAAAUAGAUGUUUAUUUUCCUCUUGUCGUCGGGUUCACCACUCAUACAGAACAUCCUAAUAGGUAGAGCGAGAUUCGCCAUGGUUUUAAUUUGAUAUCAAAUGAGAAAAUAUGGGAAUUGUGCGAAAAAAAGCUGUAAUGGCGGUUCAGAACUUCGUGUUUUCUGCAAUGGCGGUUCGGAUUUUGGUCUGAAAUGAAGAAAUAGUGUUUUGUGUUAAGUUAUUAUUAAUAGUUCGAUGAAGAAUAUAAUUGACUACAUCAGAGACCUAUAUCCAGUUUUGGAUAUAUUGAAUAUUAAGUAUAUAGAUGAACCAUUUAAUUGACUAUAUUAGAGAGCUAUAUCGAGUUUCUAGUUAGCUGAAUACAACUACAAAACCCUAGUAUAAAUUCCAAGGCUUAUGUAGGAAUAACGAUGUAUAUGUUAAACAUAAUCAACUAUAUGACGUAACUAUAUCCACUUACUUAAAAGUUAGUAUUUCUCCAAGGCCUAUGUAGAAAUAUCGAUGUAUAUGUUAAACAUAAUAAACUAUAUGACAUAACUAUAUCCACUUACUUAAUAGUUAGUGGUGUAACAGAAAUGUUAGUUUCAAAACUGGAUAUAUUCAAUAUAAUGUAUAUAGAUGAGACAUAUAAUUGACUGCAUCAGAGAGAGAUAUUCAGUUUUUUUUUUUAAUGUGAUACCGAUAAACUGAAUAUAUCUCUCUGAUUGAAAAAGAUAUAUUCGUUUUUGGUUCAAUGUGAUACCGAGUGAACGUAUUUUAUUCAGAUACCUUAUAAUGAUGAAACACAUUUUAUUCUUUUUUUUUCUUAAAAUAUGUCAUCGAUGGUAAGCUUUAAAUUGAACAUGCAUUUUACAUAAUCUUAUACGAGCAAACCAUACAUUCCACUCCUGAGGAAUGACAACAAAGUCAUUUCUCAACUAUUAUAUAAUAUGGAAAUAAAAAAAAAGGAAAAUGAAACAAAUAAUUAUUAUCAUAUUCACAAACAACAAAUAGAAAAAUACAUCACCAAUAUGGGAAAUUAUCAUAUUCAUAUAUAUAUAUAUAUAUAACGCAAUAACUAUCACUAUCGAGGAAGGCAUCAAUGAAAAAAAAAAAACAACAAAAUAACAUGCAUUUCACGUAUCCACAUCAUCAUCAAACCACAUACAUUCGUUUUCUACACUCAUUUUUAUUCUAGUUUUUAUUAUUAAUAAAUAUAUAUAAAUAAGACAUACACUUAACACUCAUAUUUAUGUUAUUCAUGAAAUAUGUAACAUAUAGGAAUGCUCGGCUUAACUUUAAACUAAAAAACUAUCCAAAUAUGUUCGUUUACGAAUAAGACACAAACUUGUCCUUACCAUAGCAAUUCGGAUUGAUUUUAAAAAAAAUCAGUUGACAUUUUUGUUUAGGACUAGCAAAAGUGGUAAUCCGGUUCAACAACAAUUCCCAAUAUGUAACGGUUUAGGUUAACCGGUUAAAAAUUAAAUCAAAUUAGUACCAAACCAAACAAAAAUUCUAAGUCUCGAUUAAAUUAAUUUUGGUAUUUUCUCAAUUAAAUUAAUUAGACGGAUUAAAUAAUUAAACCAAACCAAAAUCUAAUAAUUUCAUAACACCACAAUUCAAUCCACAAUCACAUAUUCACAUGAUUUCUGUUAAAUCAACGAUCCCACUUCUCGGUAGUACGAUUAAUUAGUAUUAACUAAAUCCUUUCGGUUUUGAGAUUAAAGCAUACGAAUCUAAUAUUUGUACAGUAACUAAACAUGUAAUAAAAUACAACAAUACCAGAAAGAUGAUUGUCGAAAACUUUGAUGAUCUCUCCUUAACUCAAAACUCGGCCGGUAGUUGAUAGAAUUAAGGUCUAGCUUACAAGGUCUAUGGACCCUUGUGCCUCCUCAAAAUCUAGGUUAUGAGGAGAGGAACCCAUGAACACUUAUAAUACCAACACUCUCUCCUCUAUCUUAUCGAUGUGGGACCUUAUCAGUAGUACGACGGUUUUGAUGACGAUUAGAUCUCAUGAUAAAACUGUUUGGUUUGGUUUGAUGAAGAUUAGAGUCUCAUAAUAAAACUGAUUUUUCUUUUGAUUCGCAACAUUCAAAAUCAAAAGUCGAAUUUGAUUCGCAACACAAACCAGAGAAGAAGAGAAAAAAGACGAAUCUUGAUGUCUAUGAUCGAUGAUGAGAAUGAGAAAAUGACUUGACUUAUAUAGUCAAGCUCCACGUCUAUGUAUUUAUGAGGACAUCUCACCUUAAAUGACAAAUUUAUGAGAGUUUGAUUUUCACGUUAAAGUCAGAAAACGUUUUUGUCGUAAUUGAUUUUGUGCUGUUACAAAACUCCAUCAAUAAGGUAGAUAUUUUUAUUAUUUAAUCAUUAAUUUUAAUCACAAUGAGUUUGGGAAAAUAAAAUAAAUAUAGGGAGAGUUACUAGAUUAACCCAAAUUAUGAGUUUAAUUACUAGAGUGUCUUAAAAAAUUUAGGGGUUAAAUGAGUUAUUUUUGUGACCAUAAUAACCUUUCUCUUUUUGUUAGGAAUAAAAAAGGUCAAAAUUACCCUUAAAUAAAUAAUAAAAACGUGGGCAAAAGGUAUUAGGAAAAAAAAGUUUAUUUAAAAAGUCUGAUGGAUAAGUUGUGAUAGAUUUAAUUUCCAUGAUAGACUUAUUAGUCUACGGCAUAUUUUUUGCGACAAAUUUUUUUUCUCCCACAGACUUACUUGAAAUAGGUUACGACAGAUAUUUAAUUUGUAACAUAUUUUUUCUUACGACAAACUUAUUUUAUGCUGACACCACAGACUUUUGUAAUUUUGACAUAUUUAUUAAAAUAUGUGACAAAUUUAUUGUUUCAGUAGUGUCAGACUUAUAUUUUAUUAUAAAAAUCUGCCACAAUGUAGCAGAUUUGUUAAUAAAAAAAUAAUUACUAGUUUGACUUAUUAGUGAUAGCAGAUUUAUUUUAUGUUAUGACAGUUUUUUUUUGUUUUAACAAAAAUCUGGAGUGUGAUAGCAGAUUUUUUAUUUCAAAAUAAAAAUUGCUAGAAUGACAUAUACUCUAAACCGAAAUGUUUUAUGUUAUGACAGAUUUUUUUUUAUAUUAUGACAGAUUUGAGAUAGGAUAUAAAAAAAAAUCUGUCAUAUUAUGACAGUUUUAUCGAUGAAGAUAGAAUUUUAAUCUGCAUAAUAAGAGAAUAACAUACAUAUUCUUACCGCGACAGAUUAUUUAUAUUAAAUGGCUCAUGUGUGGAUGUCUCCUCGUUAAUAUAUGUUUAAGUUUUUUUUUUCGUUUUAGAUAUAUAUAUUUAUUUUUUUUCAAUUUCUAUUUUUUUUUCGUUUUGUAUUUUUUAUUUCAUUUUAUAUUUUUCAAUUUUUGAUUUUGUUUUAUAUUUUUUUCCCUAUAUUUUUAUAGUUUUAAUUUUUUUUGUUUUGUAUUGUUUUUCGUUUGUUUUUCAAUUUUUUUUGUUUUAAAUAUUUUUUUCGUUUUGUAUAUUUUUAUUUAAUAUAAUUAUUAUAUGUUAAUUAGUUUAUUUUAAUGGAUUGAAAAUAAAAUGGGUAUCCCUUAUAUAUUAAUAGAGAAGCACUCUAAAAAAUAAAUCUUACUUUGACGUGUUAUUAACUAAACUGCCAUGCUGACAUGUCGUUUUCAGAGUGAUUUUCUAUCCAUUUAAAUUAUUACCCAAAUUUUACUAGACUAUUUACAGAUUUUGUCAUUAGUCUUAAUACAUACAUAUAUCACACAAAUUAAAAAAACGAAAUUAUAAGUAAAAACAAAUAAUUAGGCAACUAAGUUUCAUAUUUAUAUUUAACAACAAUUCACGAGAGUUUUGUUUAUUUAUAUUAAUGAUCUAUUUUUUAAUAAUUAAAAAAUAUACACUUUUUGUUUAUCUUAUAUUAAUAAAUCUUUAUAUUUAUAUUUUUCUUUAUAUAGAUUUAUAUAAAUUUUCUCAAGCAGAUGGGCAAACAAUCUUUGUAUUUAAUUUAUAUUUAUAUUUAUGUUUAUAUUUAAAUGUUAAAAUAUAUACAUUUGGUUCAAGAAUCUCGAAUUCAAAACUACAAAAUCUCUACAUAUUUCAGAAAUUUAUUUAUCUAUUGUACUUAAAUACAUAAGAUAAUCUCUUUUCAAUAUAUAUUACAAAUAAUGAAAAUCCGAUUUUUUUGGAGGGAUUCUAACUUUUUGAAGAAAAACUAACCACAUUUAUUUAUAAACUAAAAUCUGGUCACAUUAUAACCAUUUCGUAGUUCAUAAUCUAAAAAUCUUAAUUUGGAACACUAUAAAAUCUUAACUUCGAAACUAUCAAAUCUCAUCUUUGAUAAAUUUUUGGAUUUCUUAUACUUGAAUCUCGAUAUCUUUUUUUUUAUCAUUCUCGACAUCUUUAAAAGAUAUAGAAAGACAUAUUGGCAUAAAUGGUAAUAUUUCGUCAAUACUUUCUUUAUCACGUAUUCACGUUGAAGCUUUAUUCAAGGUUCAAAUAUUUCACGGGUAAAACGUAUUCAUAUACGAAAUAGUCCCAAAUUUGAAUAAAAAGAAAAAAAAAAUUAUUACAUGUUUCGUUUUACACUAACGGAUCUUGGAUCCCGGAUAAAAAUUAUAAUCAUAAUAAUUUUACUUAAAUCACUUUAUCCCGCACAUAGUGCAGGUUGUUAUCUAGUUAUCCUAGUAAACCACAAUAUUUGGGUGUUAAUCUAGAUAUUUUUCCCAAGAUUUGGGUCAAACUAGGUAAAUUUCAGAUAAAUAUAUGGAUUGUAUGUCCAUUUCCUAAAUCUCAAAUUUCAACUCUAACCUAUGUAUGUUUAGAUCUAUAUAUCUUCUAACUUUCAAAUUAUACAAUUUGACUUUAAGUCAAAAUUCCAAGCUAUUCAAGCUAGUUAUUUUGGACCUCAAUUUUUCAUUCAAACAAACUAUGUUUUGGACAUUCCAAUACACUAUCAUAUAGUGCUUGCAACAGCGAUUUUAUCGUGCCCAAGAACUAGUCACUCCGAUGAACCUUUUCACAGAAAAAUUCAUGGUAAAAAUGGUCACAACCACUUCGCCUUUAUGUUUUUCUUCCUAGAGAUUUAUCAGAUUACUCCUAGCUUUGCCAUACCAAAAUUCCAUCGGUCCAAAAUCUCACGCCGGUUGCUCAUCCUGAUUGAAAAAAAGGUGUUGACGUGUUGUUACUUGUUAGUGGUGACAAGGGUGUUAUGGUUCUGCAAAAAUGUAUCGUAUUACUCAUAAAUAGACUAAUGAAUUGCUGCAAGGGUGUUAUGGUGACAAGGAUUUUUUUUGCAUCGCAACUCGCAAGCAGUGUUCGGAAGAGUCCAACCCAUUCAUUGUAUAGAGCUUUGCUUCGUCGAUCGUAUGAAGGAGCAUCAAUGUUAUUCUCCUUAUUAAAACGUUGUUCUAACCAGCAAAAUUGUCAUUAUGCAUGUGUAAGAACACUACAAGAAAACAUAGCAAAUUCCGACAAACCAAAUAGUCGGAAAUUCGUCGGAAAUGGAUGUUUCCGACGAAUUUCCGACUACACCAAGUUUGUCGGAAUUCUCUGGUCGGAAAACAAUAUUCGUCGGAAAUUCGUCGGAAAUUUCUGUCGAGAUGAUUUGUCGGAAAAUUCGUCGGAAAUAUUUGUCGGAAAAUCGUCGGAAAUAUUCGUCGAAAGCCCGUCGGAAAGGUGUCGGAAAUGUCCGUCGGAAUAGCGACGGAAAAUUGCCGACGAUAUCCCGACGGCAUAUUCCGACGCCAUUCCGAGGAGAUUCCGACAAACGACGCCGCAAGAUCGAGUACGAUUCCGACGAUUUUCCGACCACAAAUCGUCGGAAGUUCGUCGGAACGUUCCGACGAAUUUCCGACGAAUGGAUGUUUCCGACGAAUUUCCGACAAAAUAUAAUAUAAUAAUAUAUUUAAUAGUUUCCGACGAAUUUCCGACAAAUCGUAUUUUUUUAUUAUUUUCCGAUGAAUUUCCGACGAAAUAUUAUAUUUUAUUAAAAAAAAAUAUAUUUAUAUUUUAUUGUUAAUUAAUAUAAUUAAUUAAAUUAAAUAAUAUUAAUUUAAUUUAAUUGUAAUAAUUCAAUAAAACAAACACAAAUAUUAUAUAAAAACAUAAUUAAAAAAAAAAACAUAAUUAAACAUUAAUAAGUUCUUAAACAACUAAAAUUAUUACAAACGCGAAUAUUAUAUAUUAUCAAAUAGAGUGUCAACGUUAUUUGUUUCAUUUUGAUUUCCGGGUUGAUCUUGGCGAGAAGGCGGAACGAUGUCGGGAUGAAGACGGGCCAUCAUAUCCAUCCAAAACUUACAAUCUUUUAAUUGAGUCUUCAACUCGAUGAUUUCGGCUGCGUUUUCUUGACAAUUCACGUGUGCAUGUGAAUACGACGAACUUCCGCCCAUGUCUUCGUCAUACGGAAUGGAACCGUAUCCAAAUCUACGUCCUUUUUUAACUUCAACUUGCUAUUAUAAUGAAAAUGUUGUUAGGAAAUAAAACAUAUUAUCUAAAUUAUAAUAUUUUAAUUACUAUUACUUACCGAUCGGAAAAUAUCGUUUUUUUCUGCUUGGGUGAGUUGAUAAUCAUCGGGCGUGUCUGAUUGUUGACUCAAUUGUGUGAGUUUCUCUUUCUCCAUCUCCCGACAUCGACGAGCUAUUGCCUCAGCUUUUUUAUCAACAAAUGUCCCGUCCGAUUUCCGUUUGUGAGUCUCCUCCAUGAAUGUCACCAUAUCGGGAUACUCACCGGUUUCGGGAUUACGCUUGCAUUUAAAAUAUUUAUUAGUUAAAAAUUUAUAAUAAAAUUUAUUAUAAUGCAAAUUGAAAUGUAAAAAAUUUAAAUUUUUAUUUACCAUUUUUUCCUUUUUCCGGACAUAUGGCAUUGAUCCACAAGUAUGUUUAGCCAUGCCAUAGCCUCCGCGUUCACUCUUGCGAUUUUGAGAAUUAGUUUCACUACGGGACUUAUUUUGCUCUUGUAACCAAUAUGCAAUAAGCCCUUGCCAAACGUUUUCUCGCAUCCAUUUUGGCUUUUCUUUCCCGUUAAGCCAUUUCUUUUUCCAUCCAUAAACAUAAUCCAAUAAACGUACCCCACAUAUCUCCUCAAAUUUUUCUUGUACUUCGCCCGUAAGACCAUAAUCCCAAUUAAAUUUUUGCUACAAUGUUAAACAAUUUAAAAUAUAUAUAUUUUUAGUGUUGUAAAAUUUUAAAAUUUAAUUUUUUUAGCUACAAUUAUAAACAAAGUAAAUAAAGCAUAAAUUUUAUUUAAAUAAACUAACCGCAAAUGCCUUAAACCAACGUUUCUUUGUGUCUCCGGAGACCGACGUAAUAUUCAGAGCGGGAUCGGGGAAAUCGCUCUCCAUGAUUUUCUUGAUAAUCUUUGUGAAUCCUUUAUCGAAUCGAUACCUAUAAUUACCAAAUUAUUUAAUUAAGAUUAUCUACGUAAAACUAUAAAUUAAAUAAUACAAUUUCUUACCAAGUUGUUCCGUGCAUACGGCUUGGGUCGAUCUUUUUCAAUUUAUCUCGACCCGGAGCACGGAGGAAUUGGUCUAGCGUCAUAGAAUCGAGUGGAUUUGCAUCAUCAUUCCGUGUAGGCAUCGCCAAUGGUUCCGUCUCCGGAACUUCCGUGUCCUCCAUGGGAAAAUCCUCCGGUGGUUGGGUUUCGGAACCAAGAUUCAAAUCCGGAGCAAACCCACGUUCAUUGCAAUACGACAUAUAUCCACUCCACGAUCCAUUAUCCAUCUCCUUAAUCAAAUAAAAAAUUUAUAAUUAGUCUUUUGAAUUUUAUAAACAAAAUUAUGAAGAAAAUAAAACUAAACAUCUUACCUUAACGUUUGUUUAUCACAGAGAGAUUUUAGAGAGAUUUUAGAGUGAUUUUGUAGAGAGAUUUUAGAGAGAUAUUGUAGAGAGAUUUAUAAGAGUGAUAAGUGCGUAAGAGGCAAAAAUCUGUGAGUCGUAUAUAUAUAAGAAUUUCCGACGACCAUAUUUGUCGGAAAUUCGUCGGAAACAAUGCAGCGGGAAUUUCAAACCAAGUAACUUUCCCUCUACAUUUACGAGAUUCGCGAGAAAUUAAUGUAACCAAUUUCCGACGAAUUUUCCGACAAAUUUUUAAAUUUCGUCGGAAAUUUCGUCGGAAAUUGGUUACAUUAAUCUCGCGAAUCCCGCAUCGNNNNNNNNNNNNNNNNNNNNNNNNNNNNNNNNNNNNNNNNNNNNNNNNNNNNNNNNNNNNNNNNNNNNNNNNNNNNNNNNNNNNNNNNNNNNNNNNNNNNNNNNNNNNNNNNNNNNNNNNNNNNNNNNNNNNNNNNNNNNNNNNNNNNNNNNNNNNNNNNNNNNNNNNNNNNNNNNNNNNNNNNNNAAGACGCUUGCGGUAGCUCCGGGGGAAAUUAAAUUUACGCGGUAACAUUUUCCGUGGACAUUUACGAGACUUUUUAAAUGUCGUCGGAAAUUUCGUCGGAAAUUGGUUACAUUAACUUCUUUGACGCCCGGGAACAGUAAACGGCAAUAAAUUUAAGACCCAAUCUCCGACGGAAUUUGGACAUUAAAUCUCCCGAGUCUCGUAAAUGUUCCCGCUUCAGUAUUUCUGAAAGAAAAGUAAAAAAAAUAAAUUAAUUCAAUAUAGCCUAAUUCCGACGAUUUUCCGAUGGAGAAAAUAAUGUCGUCGGAAAAUUCUUCGGCAACAGGGUAUAUUUAUUUAAAUAAUUUUAAUUAUUUUGUGUCAAGUAUUUCUUUAAUUAAAUAUACCCUGUUUUGUAUCAAGAUAUAUUUAAGCGGUACAAAUUUAAUCUCAAACGUUUCAUACGACAGUUCCGAUGAAAGUAUGAAUAAAAUAAAAUAUUAGAAUGGUUUAAUUAUUAUAAAAUAGAAACAGAUUUUUUUAACAAAUAAAUUAUAAUGCAUAUAAUAUGAUAAAUUUAAAAGCAUUUAAACAGAUUUUAUAAAAUAUAUAUAUAUAAAACUAAAGACGAUAUAUUUGAUUUACUCAGAAUCGGAAGAAUAAUCUGAACUAGCAGAAUCAUUUUGAUCUUCAAACUCUUCUCCAUCCUCUUCGUCUUCCGCAUUUUCCCAUAUCUCUUCGAGUUCUAUGUUCUCAAUAUCAACGAGGGGAAUGUCACCGACAGAUUGAUCUACUUGCGUAAUUUCGUUUACUGCAAUUUGUUGUAGCGGUUCCUUUUCUUUCACCCCAUCAACUCUGCUUCUUGGAUUUAUUUGAUGAGCCGUAAUCCAUGGAUAUUGUCGAACACCUACUUGUGGAUAUGGUAUGUAGCAAACCUGUGCUGCCUGAGAUGCAAGUAUAAACGGAUCGUACUUUCUUAACUGCUUAGUCGAGUUGAUCUCUGUGACACCAUACUUUGUAAGUCUAACACCUCUUCCAACUCUAGGAUCAUACCAGUCACACUUGAAGAGUAUACAUUUCAAAUUUAUGACUCCCGGAUAUUCAACCUCUAAUAUAUCAGUAAUUUCACCAUAGUAGUCUAUCGAAUCUGUACGAACAACGACCCCAUAAUUCACUGUUUUUCUGUUAGUAAUCCCUGGACGUUUUAUGAAAACGUAGCCUCGAGUGCAAUACAUCGGGUAUGCCAUUGCCCUUGAUAGAGGACCUCCAACCAACUCUUCAAACCAUGUUGGAUAGUGUUCCUGCCUACUUGCGGCUGAUUUGAUCUGCAAAACAUACAAGCAAAUGUACGAUUUUAAUAAAUAGUAACCAUGUUCAUAAUAUAUGUAAAAUCAACGGUGAAAACUUACAUAAUAUUUUAACCAAUUAGCAUAUUGUGUCUGCUUCAUUUCCUCUUUUCGAGCCUCUGUCAUGUUUGGAUACGCUCCAGACACUUGAUCAUCAAAGAUCCUACAGACAUUUGUUUUUUUGUAUAAGUAAUUAUUUUGCAAAUAAUAUAUGCGUAUUAUUAAGGUAUGAAUUUUGUUUCUUACUUCUCGAAUGGUAUGACAUCGUCACAGUUCCGGAGUAUGUAAGUAUGAAUGUGAUUAAAUUCUUGAUCUGUAAACCAUACUUCUCUUUUCUUCCCACUCAGUCUCCCGAUUUGAGAAAAGAUAUCUGGGACAGAUGUAUGGUAAAAAGGCCGCACACCCCCAUCAUCGUACCUACCUGGUUUUCUUGCUUUUGUUUGGACAUUUGGAGCAAAAUAGUAGGCCGAAAAAUGAGAAGUCUCCUCGUUUAUGCUUUGAGCUACUAUUGAUCCCUCAACUUUGCUAAGAUUUUUUACUUUUUUCUUCAAAUGGAACAUAUAACGCUCAAAAGGAUACAUCCACCGGUACUGAACUGGACCGCCUAGUGCUGCUUCACGAGGUAGAUGGAUAGGCAAGUGCUCCAUGACAUCAAAGAAUGAUGGGGGAAAUAAUUUCUCCAAAUUGCAAAUGAUAAUCGGGAUAUUAUCUUCAAGUGUAUGUAGUCCUUCGACUGUUAGAGAUCUUGAACACAAAUCUCUAAAAAAUGCACCUAUCCCUGCAAUUUAAUUAAUAACUGUAAACAAAAAAAGAAUAUAUACAUGAAUAAUAACAUAUUAAAAUAAUUGAAAGAUAAGUUGUUUGUACCUGCAAUUGCUUCAUGGACAACAUUUGGUAGGAGUUGUGUAAACGCAAAUGGUAGUAAACGCUGCAUGAAGACGUGACAGUCAUGACUUUUCAUCCCAGCUAAUCUACCACUGUGAUCAUCAACACAAUAUGAUAGAUUUGAUGCAUAGCCAUCAGGAAAUUUAACAUCAUCAAUUAUCCACUGAAAAAACUUGGUCUUCUUGCUUGCAUCUAAUCUCCAUAUAGGAAUAGGACCUACUCCGUCUGCAAGCAAAUGGAGAUCCUCGCGCGCACAAAUAUCGGGUAAAUCCAUUCUGGAUUUGACAUUAUCUUUAGUCUUACCCGGGACAUUUAAAAUGGUGUUAAUUAUAUUGUCAAAGAAAUUCUUCUCAAUAUGCAUAACGUCAAGACAGUGGCGGAGUAGAUGAUUUGUCCAGUACGGCAACUCCCAGAAGAUACUUUUUUUAUGCCAAUUAUGAUGUUCUCCAUAUCCAUCAAUUCGGACAUGGCCAUUACCGCCUACCGAUGAUGUACAGUCAACAUCAAAAUCACGAAAUUGAUUCAAUAUAUAAUCACCAUCAUACUCAGGUGGCGGUGGAUCACGGAUACUCUUGUUCUUGCGGAACAACGUCUUACUACGACGAUAUGGAUGAUUUCGUCUUAGAAAACGACGAUGACAAUCAAACCAACUUGAUUUCCGGCCAUGUCUUAGUUGGAAGGCAUCUGUAUUAUCUUGACAAUAUGGACACGACAGUCUUCCAUGAGUUGUCCAACCCGAUAACAUGCCAUAUGCGGGAAAGUCACUAAUAGUCCACAUCAAUACAGCACGCAUGUUAAAAUUUGUCUUUGUGGAGACAUCAUAUACCCAAACCCCUUGGUACCAUAACAUUUUUAACUCUUCUAUAAGCGGCUGUAGGAACACAUCAAGUGAACGACGAGGGUGGUUUGGACCAGGAAUCAAAAUGGUUAAGAAAAGAAAUUCUCUUUUCAUGCAAAGGGAAGGUGGGAGAUUGUAAGGGGUGACUAUUACUGGCCACAAAGAAUAUUUUCUACCUGACUUUCCAAAUGGAUUGAAUCCAUCCGUGCAUAAACCAAGAUAGACAUUCCUUGGUUCAUUAGCAAAGACUGGAUAUGUAGAACAAAAAUGUUUCCAGGCCGAUGCAUCCGAUGGAUGUGAAAUCUCCCCGGUGAACUCAUGUUCAGCGUGCCAUCGCAUACCCUCCGCUGUCCGAUCUGACUGAUACAACCUCUUCAACCUAUCAGCCAAGGGCAAAUACCACAUACGCUUAUAUGGUAUUUUGUUUCGCCCACCAGUAACCUGAAACCUUUCAGCACCACAGAAACGACAUUGAGACAUAUUUACAUUAUCUCCCCAAAAAAUCAUACAAUUUUCUCUACACACGUCAAUCAUUUGGAAUGGUAAACCUAGCCCAGAUACCAAUUUUUGGAUUGCGUUGUAUGAAACUGGCGAUAAAUUAUCUUCCGGUAGAUAAUCGUGGAUAAAAUCAGCCCACGCAUCAACACAAUCUUCACUUAAAUUGUAGUCUGUUUUGAUGUUCAUCAUACGUGUUGCGGCGGAUAAAGGAGAAUGACCCUCUCUGCAUCCUGCAUAUAUCGGAUGAUUUGCAGCAUCUAACAUAUCGAAAAAUCCCUGUGUUUCUAAGUUGGGUUCCUCCGCAACAUUAGUAUUUUCUACGUUAUCAUGAAAUUCACCACUACCACUUCCAAUUACAUUAUCUUCUUCCUGGUGAAUAUGCUCAUCGCUAAUUAUAACGUUUUCAUCUCUUCUUUCACGACUACUACUAGGACCCGAUCUAAAAUCCUCCCCGUGAGAAAACCAUAUAUAAUAUCCCGGUGUAAAACCUCCCCAAUAUAAAUGAUUCCAAACAAUGUCUUUUGCAAGAAAAUGAUCAUUACAACAUUUGACACAAGGACAUGCCAUAAUACCUUCGAUACGCGUCAUUUCUUGAUUAGAUGCAAACUGCAUGAAUUCCAUUAAACCUUCCUUGUACUCCUGCCUCAUAGCUCCGGUCUCAUCAUCUAAUCGAUUAUACAUCCACUCUCUAAUUUUAUAAAUAUUAUGAGAAGACAUUUUUUUUUCGAAGAUAUUUUUGUGUUUCUGUUUUUUUUUUUUCAACUUUUUUCUUGUGUCUAUGAUUCUUUCGUUGUCUAGUAUAUAUAUAAAACUUUUCCGACUAACAUUUUGUCAGAAAUUCGUCGGAAAUUCUAAAGUGGUUACCUUUAAUAUUUCCGACGAAUUUCCGACAAAAUGUCGUCGGAAAGUUUGUCGGAAAUUCGUCGGAAAAUCUACAGUGGUUACCUUUAAUAUUUCCGACGAAUUUCCGACAAAAUGUCGGCGGACAUUUUGUCGGAAAUUUCGUCGGAAAUAUUAAAGGUAACAACUUUAGAUUUUCCGACUACUUUUCCGACUAAUUUUUUCGAUCAAGUUGUCAGGAUUACGUCGGAACAUGUGCAGUGAAUAAUCACGUGUUUCCUCGUUGUUUCCGACAAAUUUUCCGACAAGUUUCCGAGCAGUUUCCGAUGACAUUGGAUUGUCGGAAUUUUCCAUGGUUUCCGACAAAUAUUUCCGACGAAAUUCCGACGAAUUUUUAAUCGUCGGAAAAGUUUUUAUGUUUCCGACGAAUUUCCGACGAAAUAUUAUUUUCUUGGAAGUUUGUCGGAAAUUCCCCGGAAAUCCGUCGGAAUAAUUCCGACUAAAAAUUUCGUCGGAAAUGUUCGUCGGAAAUUGCUAUGUUUUCUUGUAGUGGAAAAGUAAUAAAGCAAUGGUAAGAAAAGUAAUAAAGCAAUGGUAAAAAAGAACCAAAAAAAAAAAGAAUCUCUGGAACUACAUAGACGAAGAUAUGUGCAUGUGACGAAACACCAAUUUCACAAGAUACAACAAACUAUAUAAACUCGAAAGAGUGAAAUAAAUUAUUUUUUAAAGCAAAUCUUUAAGGGUAAUAAACGAAUCAUUCAGUACAUAGGAGAUCCAAGAAGAAACUCCUUGCACAUAUCAUAGAAUAUAAAUAGAAGCAAUUAGAUAGGUCAUCUUCACAAUCACCAAUCAUUCAUUUCCAACAAAUUAGAAGCUAGAGAGAGAUUUCCAUCAAUAAAUUUUUUGUUUAUUUUUCGUGUUCAUUGACAUUUUUACAAAAUGGCAGUAAAUAUGGAAGGUGGAAACACACACUUUUACGAUGAAAUCGAACCCUUUUGUCGAUGGAGAAGAAUGGAAGACAUCGACAUUCUUGAGCUACAUCUUCCUUCAGGUACAUUAAUUAUUCGGAUAUCAUUAUAAUUUCGAAAAAUUACAUUUUUAACCUUCAAAGUGUCAUCGGUAGCACUUUAUAUCUCGAAAGAAUUUCACUAACACUAUAAACCAUUAAAAUAAUUUACUAACAUUCUAAACCUCGAAACUAGCUUUCCUGUUUGCAUCGUCGUAUUUAUUACGGAAAAAUAAGGAGGAAUUAAUUUAUGUUUAUAUUUCUUUUCGUAGGUUAUACUAUAUAUAAUUAGUAUUUCAAUAAUGAAUGCUAAUUUUUGUUUCGUAUAAUAAAAUAUAAAAACUAUUAAAAGAAUCACUUGGAUAUUAGAAACAAAGAAGAAACUUAGUUGUUAUUCACUAAAUUAUAAGUCUGCAUUGCAAUUAGCUUGAUAUAUAUUUUAACCGAAAUAUAGCCCAACACAAGAUAUUUGUUAAAAGCUUUGAUUAUACUUUGCUUCCACAAAUCUACUUUGUUUCUCUUCUCCAAAUAUUGUAAAGUAUACUUUGAUAUCACAUUGCGAGCUAGUUUGAUUCUCAAACUUUCUUCCGCUCCACGUUGUUUAAAGGGAUCUCUUGUUUAAAUGUCCAAACGGACAAUUUGGCCAGUAGUGCUAGGUCUAGGAAUUUAGAUGAAUCAUAUGUAAACUAAUUUUUCCCGGUUUGGAUCACUAGACCGGUUGUUUAAUUCAAUUUGUGGUUAAAAAAAAGAACCAAAGAAUAUAAGUUAUUUAAUUAUCAACGAAAAGUGGAAUUGAUGUUUAUAUAGGUUUGAAGAAAGAGCAUCUUAAAAUACAGAUCAACCACAGUGGUGUACUAACAAUAACAGGAGGCUGUCAUGUGGACCAGACCAAAUCAAUCAGGUUCAUGAAAGAAACAAAAGUUGCGAAAAAUUGUAAAAGAAAUGAGAUUCGCGCGAAGUUCUCAAAGGGAGUUUUGUAUGUGACAAUGCCAAAGACAAGCCCUAUAACAGCUGGUCCCUCGGUCGCUUUGAAGGGAGCCACAUCACAAACUCGAGACCCUAAAACAGAUGAGGAUAUGAGAAAUGUAGCAAACUGUUCAAGUGAAUUUUAUAUCAAGUUUGGCUCAUUGAAGCAAAGACUAUGGAGGAAGACAGUAGUGGAGGGUGUGGCCGCUGUGGUGGUUGUGGUUGCUGCAGUUUUAGGAGUGGUUAAAGCGUACCAAUAUUUUAUGGCAUCACCUGUGUGAUCAAGUUUCAAUAAGACCAUGGAUGUGCAUUGUUUCCGAUUGGUAUGAUGUAAUACAUUGGUUUAUUAUUUUUCACAUUACAGAAGUUAUUCUUCAUGAAAACUAAAUAAGUAUAAAUCAUUCUUCUUGAGUUAUUAUAUAAGUGACGGAAAGAAACAAUUAUAUUUAGUAUAGUAAUUAUAAAAGUUAUAAAAGAAAACGGAAAAAUCACAUUUUUAACCCUCAAUGUGUCACUGGGUAUCACUUUAAACCUCGAGAGAUUUACACUAACAUAAUAAACCACCAAAAUAAUUUUACUAACACUUUAAACCUCCAAACUAGUUUUCAUGUUUGCACCGCCAUAAAAUAUGAUGGAAUAAUUAAUUUAUGUUGGUUUAAUAUAAAUUUAUUUAAUUUAAUUUAAAUUUUAAUUAAUUUUAUUAUUUAUUAUAAUUUUUCGAUUACUAAGAAACGUAAAAAAAAAUUAGAUUCCUCCGAUACGAAGAAUGCUUUAUUUUCUCACAAAAUUUUGACAUUCUUUAGUUUUUAUUAUUGUAUUCAAGCUUCUCUUGUACCUCAUAUUUUACAUUAUUUGAUUUAUAUUAUUAUACUAUAAACUUCUCUUGUGCUUAAAUCUAAAGUUUCAGAGGUUUAAUUUCGAAAUUUCAUGAUCGAACGGUAAGUAAACAAAGAAGGUGAUGUUUUUUUUAAUUGUUUUUUUUAUAGAUUUUUAUUAAUUGUAAUAAAUAAUAAAAUUAAUUUAAAUUAAAUAAAUGUAUACUAAACAAAUAGAAAUUAAAUUUUCUAUCAUUUUUUAUGGUGGGACAAACAGAAAAGCUAGUUUGGAGGUUUAAAGUGUUAGUAAAAGUUUUUUUUUGUGGUUUAUAGUGCUAGUGAAAUACUUUCGAGUUGCUAUCCUUUUGAGUGUUAAAAAUGUGUUUUUCCCGAAAGAAAACUCUCUCUCGACGGUGAUUUCAAUGGCGACUCUAGGGUUUUGAAACCCGACCAUGAGCAGAUGUAAUUCGGUGGUUUUCGGUUGCGAUAAUGAGUUGAUAUGGUGGUUCUUGGUGAGAAGGAUUGAGGUUGUUGUCCUUUCACGAGGUCUGAGUUGGGCUAGAUCAGGGCAGGAUAGGCUUUCUAUCUUUUGGUGUUGAAGAGGUUGUAUCGAUGGAUUGAUCUAUUUAUGGAUUCACAAAUCUAAAACUUUCUUCUGGUUCGUGGAAGGCGGUUUCGCAAACGUGAGUUGGUGCUUUGGGGAACUGAAUGUUCAGAUUUUGAUUGAGGUACUCUACUCUCAUCAGAGGGAUUGGUGCAGAUCUUCGAGGAAUUUGAUUCGGUUUUGGUUAAAGGAAGAUACGAUUCUCCUUUAUACGAUGGCAAGGAGAUAUGUUUAUUAGAUGGAUACCAUUGAGGAUUCACACAGAUAUCACUUGGAUUUGGGUACAAGAUAUAUCAAAUAUCUUAUUUUUAAUUAGCAUUUUUGAAAUCUUUUGGUGGAGUUAUGGUAGUCGGAUCUUCUAGAUAUGGAUUUGGUAUUCCUAGUUAGUGAUGGCGAUUAGCCUCUCUUCACAAAUUGAUCUUGUUUCCUUUUUUUUACUUGUCCUUAAAGUGAGAGACCAUUCUCUUUCCUUUAUGUCUUUGGUGUGGGCAUCAAGCCUUUUGGAGAUUAGGGGAUAUUUAGUAUUGAUGAGGGAGGAUUCUUUUGGGAUGGAGAGUUGUAUAAAAAGGGGAGUCUUGCUUUCAUUCAAAACCACAAUCUGUCAAGCUUUGGUUUUCAUAUCGCUGGUUCUGGGUUUAUUUUUCUUCCGAGAUUAUCAUUUUGGUGUGGGUUUUUUUCAUUGUUUAAUGUUCUCAAAAUGUCUCAGAGUGCUUUCAUGGGAAAGAAAAUGGGAGAGAGAAGGGUUGGGGCCAUGUUUCCAAAGAGAAGAAUAAAAAUUUCACACUUUGACAAUUCAGCUUUGAUUGUGGGAUACUCAAAGACUUUAAUUGGGCGGUGUAUAAAUCCUCGGAAGGCGAUGUUGUUCAUGGUACCACGUAUCUAGCAGCUUGAAGGAAAGAAUGUAGGGGCUGAUUUGGGGUUGGGUCGGUUCCAGUUUGACUUUGAGACGGAGGAAGAUAUUGUGGAGGUUUUGAAGAUGGAGCCUUUUCACUUUGAUCAUUUGAUGGUGUCUCUGUUGAGAUGGUCGCCCUUGGUUGAUCCCAAUUAUCCAUCGGCCAUUACCUUCUGGAUUAGAGUUCUUGGAGUCCUAAUUGAAUUCUUGACUGACACAAUCUUUCGAGACAUUGGAAAGGAUCUGGGUAAAGUAGAAGCAAUGGAUUUUGAUGGCGGUUGAGUUGAAGUAACGAUUGAUGGUUUCAAACCAUUGUGCAUCGAAACGGAGAUAGAGUUCGCAAUGUUGAGGAAACCACCAUGUCUGUGCGGUAUUAGCGACUUUUUAGGUUUUGUAAGUUGUGUAUGAGUCUGUGCCAUGAUGAGGCAUAUUGUGAUUUUAAUGCAGCCUUAGGUACUGAUCAGUUGCUUCCGGUUGAAGAGGUGAAUGACGAUCGAUAUUUGCAAAGUUUUAAAGUAGCGGUAACUCAGGUGACAAGGCAGGAAACAAGACAUGAAGGGAUGGUCUCAGGUGCGUUUAAAGGGAAGAAUGUUGCGGAUGCUCGUAAAGAUGAUCGGAAACGGUCUCAAUCGGGGAAUCAUAAUGGUGCUUCCUCUUCAAGGCCGAAGUUUGCAAGUUAUGUUCAAUAUAACGAUUAUCAGUUCUCAAAGGCUGGUGGAGAUGGUGCGCAGGAGCAUCAAAAUGUGGUUAAAGAGAGGGCUGGAAUGGAGUCGCAAGGGGAGCAAGCCAAACCUGUCGAUGUUGUACCACCAAAACAAGUAAGGAAUGCUGUUUUUAAUUCACUAGCUUCUCAUGAUGUAGCUGUAGCUGGUUUGGAAGUGGAGUCGUUAAGCGGCACGGAGAUUAAUCCAGAGGAAGGAGAAAUUACAACAGCUAGGUUGAAGGAGAACGAGAUGGAAGAUGCUGGUAUUUUGUCCAAUGCAAAUAUUGCAGCAGGUUUGUCUGACGAAACUCUUAAUAUGGACCAAGAGGAGUCGGUUUUACCAAUGUCAAAUGAGGAAGUGGAUGGUGAUGAUUUGAUGGUAACAUCUCGUCGUCUGACGGACCUUUCCAAGACUGAUGAGGUUGAGGAAACUGCAGAUGAGCCGCGGAAUGCAUCUGAGCUAGUCGAGGACACUAAUUCGGAUAUGAUGGUUUCAAAAGUUGAUGUGGAGAGCCAGAUUUGGAUAGGGAUGGGGAUUUGGAGACAUCUCGAAAUCUGAAAGGGAGUUUGGUGCUCAUGGGUGUUAGUUCAAAGAUGAGAAAUGCUCAACUUUUGGCGUCACCACAGAGAAGGGUUGUAGCCAUAGGAAGCUUGCAAUUGAAGGAAGAUAAUAAUUCGACAAACCAAGGUACGGUGAACGGUUUAACGGGUGGAAACAAACCACCAAAACCAAAUUGUCAAGGUCUCGGGAAUAAAGCAACUAUCGGAUAUCUUCGUGAUGUGUGGAAGAAACAUCGGCCGGAUUUUUUAUUUCUCUCGGAAACGAAACAAUCCUCUUUAUUUUUGGAAAAACUUGUUAGUCAUUUUGGUUAUAAAAACUUAAAAACGGUUCAUCCUAUUGGUUGUUGUGGUUGUUUAGCGCUUUUUUAUAAUAAUGACUUCAAUGUUUCUAUUAUUUUUUAUAUUGAGGCUAUUUAAAUGAAAAACAAUUAAUCUUACUUUUGUUUAUAGUGAUCUGAUACCAAAAAUAGAGACCAAGUUUCGUAAUGGUUAACACGGAUCAGUUUAUCUCGGAAUACACCUUGGUUUUUGAUAGGAGAUUUCAAUGAUUAAAAAAAAAACCAUGAAAAAAGAGGUGGCAAAUUAAGACAUGCUUCUUCUUUUAUCCCUUCUAUUAUAAUGAUAAAUGAUUUUGGACUUAGGUAAUUUCCACAUCUGGAAGAUUGGUUAUCGUGGCAGGGAUGACAUGAUAAAAAACCAAUACGGUGUCGUUUGGAUAGAGCGCUAGAAAAUGAAGAUUGGCAUGAGUAUUUACCAAUGAUAGUUUCUGAUCAUUCACUGGUUAAAGCUACGAUUUCAUAUAAGAUACCACGUUGUAACCAAUGUUUUAGGUUUGAUAAAAGAUGGAUUGGAAAAAAAGGGUUACUAGAGACAAUAUCAAGUGGGUGGAAUCUCGAUUCGGGUGCCGAAGAGGGACAAUUUGUGGAAAAAAUGACUAAUUGUAGAAAGGCUAUUUCACAAUGGCAGAAAGAGUAAACUCCAUAUGUACGGAAAACAAUAGAGGACCUGAAAUCCAAACUAGAAGCGGCUCAGAGAGACGAUACGAGAACACGAGAGGAGAUUACGGAACUAACACUACGGUUGAAAGAGGCUUACCGAGAUGAAGAAAUCUAUUGGUAUUAAAAAGUAGAAGUAAUUGGAUGCAAUUAGGGGAUAAUAAUUCAAAAAAAUUUCUUGCUCUAAUAAAACAGAGACUUUCCAGGAAUCGAAUUAGCGGUCUACAUGAUGAAAAUGGGAUAUGGUCUGCAGAGGAUAAAUAUAUUCAAAACAUUAGCAAUCUCUUAUUUUAAGAAUUUGUUUACUACAACUAAUCCUCAUGCUUUUGAGGAGUCCUUAGCAGAGGUUAAAACAAUGAUAACGGAUCAGAUUAAUGAAUUUUUAACGGCUACUGCGACGGAAUGUAUGGCCUACCCAGCCUAGAGGACCAUCUUCGCUAUCCGCCAAAUGUUCAGGUGGCAGCUGUGUGCAAAUGAUGUCGUCUAAUGUCGCCUUGUAUGCCCGCCUCCUCUUUUCUUUUUCCACAUCUGACUUGGUCAUUACUUCUGCAAACGCCAACUCGUCCAAGAUAGGAACCACCUUGAACUCGUAUUUCUAGUGUCACCAUCCAUCCACUCCGGCAUCUCGUACAUUAGCUCUGUCUUUUCACAUGUUCGAUAUAUGUUCAGAUCGCCUAUCACUUUGGCUUUAGCUGCUUCAAUUCCAUCUCCUUCUCAGAAGUGUAUGAACUUGGCUUCUCCGUCAUUUGCCGCCAUGAACCUCCAUACGCCACCGUCAUCUUUGUUCCACCCCCCCCCCCCAACAACCACACAUACCAUGCCGUUCACCAAGUCAUUUGUGACCACCAUCUCGAACACCUGUAUUACACACAACUAACCGGUAGUUGACUACAUCAUAUAGUUAAAAAUAUCCAACUACAUGAGCAAUAACUAAGUCACUUACCGCUUCCAUACCUUUCUACGCAAUUUGUUAAGCAGAUCCGUCUUCUUUUGAAGUUAUGUCUUUUUUUUUCUUUUACCUUAUGUGGCUCUACGUUUUAUCACAAUCGUCGUCCCACUAUUUAUUAGGUCUCCACACCCCUAGGUUACGUGUUUAAAUUUUCACAUCCCGCCCAAAUUAUUUCUCCCCAGUUUUAAAUUCUUGUGAGCUCAAAUUAACUGUUGUUGCAUUUAAUGAGCAUCACUUCCAUCUGAUUGUAGCUAGAUAACUAUCAGUUCAACUAUUGGGCAUUUAUGAUAUGUUAGAAUGUUCUUUCACUUGCUCGAAAGGCCAGGUUGGUUAUUCCCACGCGCAUGCCAGAAAGAUGGUCUGGUUUUUUGGUAAUAAGUGCCAAAAUCAAACCCAUUUUCACCUCUCUUUUUUCGUUGUUACCGACAACCAACUGAUAUAGGUCAAAUUAACUCCUAGAACUACUCUCUCAAAUAAGAGAUCAAUUGUAGCACUUAAGGGUCGAAAUCCACAAAGUUCUCGUUGUUCACACAAUAAACAAUUCAGCAAUCGAAUUAAGCUAAAUAGAGAAUAAAAAUAUUAAAUUAAAACGAAGCAAGUGAGACGGUAGGUCUGGGCAAAAUACCCGGAACCGAAUACCCGAACCGAAAAACCCGAAAAAAUAUCCGAACCGAACCCAAACCGAUUUUUAAAAAUACCCGAAUGGGUCCUAGACCUCCUACCUGAAAAAAACCCGAACCGAACCCGAACAGAAUCCAAUACAUGUGGGUACCCGAAAACAAAUAUACACCUAAAAGUAUUAGUUAUAUUUAUAUUUAUAAUACCCAAAAUACCUAAAAUUACAAUCAUAAAUCCGAAUAUAUUAGGUAUUUUUGAGUAAUUCGGAUACAUUUGGAUAUAUUUGGUUAAAAAGUAACUAAUAAUGUAGUUUUCUUUUGGGUAAUUUUAGUAUUUUUAGAUAUUGUUGGUUAUAUUUGGGUAAAGAGUAACCAAUGUAUUUUCGAGAAAUCGGGUAUUUCGGUUAGAUUUGGGUAUAUAUGAGUUAAAAACCCGAACCCGACCCGAACCCGAAAAUAUUUCGGGUAUUUUUGGUUAUGUUCGGGUAAUUUGCUUUUUUUUUAUUAAAAUAUCCGAACCGAUCCGAACACGAACCGAACCCGAACCGAAUUUUUAGAAUAACCGAAUGGGUCUCGAACCCCUAACCGAAUAGACCCGAUACCCGAAAAAAAGAACCAAACGGGUUCGGGUACCCGAAUGCCCAGGCCUAUGAGACGGGUUUAAUUCAAUUGAUGGAAGAGCUAGAGUUAAGGUUAUUCCUUUCAGUAAAUCAUAACUACAAAUUAAACAGCAAGCAAGGGUUUAUUAAGCACCAUUCUUGAACUCAAAUCACAAAUAUCAAAUUAACCACCUCUCGAAUGAAUUAAUUCACAAUGCCUAUCAAUAGAAAUUCCACCUCUCGAAUGUAAAUUCCUAAAAUUAAGCAAGCAUUAAAGUCCAAAUUUGAUAUGUUCACAAAAGCACUAAACCACCUCUCGAAUGAGAAUAGUUCUCUUGCUCACCUAAGAUUAUUUCAGGAAAUAGAUGACCUCUCGAAUCUACCUAUAUUAUCAUAUGAGCUAGAUUCUAGGUGUACAGUCUAGAACUAGUAAUUAAAUCAAAUCUAGGUGAAGAACCCUAAAAUUACCCUACCAAUUGUUCAACUUAGCAAUUCAUCAAUACAUGGAAAAACCCUAAAUCUAACAGGUGAAUUACUCAGACAUAGCAAAAGAAACACAAAUCAUAAUCUGAAUAAAUUGCAUUAAAAGAGUUAAGAGAUAGAGUAAAGGAGUUCUGAAUCUCUCUGAAGGAGUCUGAUUCUUCUCUCCAAGCUAAUACAAAAUAUCUCUCCCAAAAUUAAAGCUUAAUUGUCUUCCUAACAUAAAAACCUAAUAAUAUAGUGUAAAACACGUCGGGGACUUUUUUUGCAAUAAACAGGAACAAUUGGGUGAUUCUGCAAUUCUUCAAAACUUGAUUAAACGUACAAUGCUUCUGAAAACGCGACGGUGUCGAUCGCCACUGAUGUGUCGGUCGACACCAAGACACUCUGAACGUUCCAAGUUGCUCUUGUUAGCUGUAAUGCUCCAAAUAUCCAGCUUUUGCUCCAAAAUUCAUCCAAAUAUGUAAUUACCUGUAAAGACUCAAAAAAAGACAAAAAUGACUAAAAAGACUCCAAAAUCACAACUAAUAUCAUGGUUAAAAUCAGUAAAAACCACGAUAUAUCACCAACCAUAAUGUCUGUUUCCUAAUUUGGCUUCCCAUUUUUCCCUCUGCACUAAUUCACUCUUGUUUAAUUUUUACUUUUUCUUUUAGUAUACGUGAAAUACUUAUCAUCUAUAUACAAUGGAAAUAUGAAGUUUAUGUUUGUAAUUAAUUAAAGACAAUAAUUUCAAUAAUAACAUGGUUUCUUUUUAACACUGAAAUUUAUAUAUCAUAUUCUCAUGUAACAUUUGAAUACUUUGUUAUUAAAUAUAUAUUUCUAAUUUCACUAUAUAAUAAAGAUUUAAAAAAUUUAUCAUGCUUAUGCCUUUUUAUUUUAAUGAUAAGAUGCUUUAAUUUAAGGAACCUACUUUCUGUUCAAUAUAAUAGUAUAUCUAGUAUUUUAACUUUUUUUUUAAUCAGUUUAUUUUUCUUGUUGAUUAACUUGUCAUUAUUUUACCAUGUAUAUAGAGUCUUGUCAUUCAACAAUAGUAUAUCUAAAUAGUAGAGGAUAUUUUGAUCAUUACGCAGUGAUUAUGUUUUAUAAAUCAUUAUUUUCGUGGUUUGCUUUCCUUUCUUUGUCUUUGAAUUUCUUGGUUAUUUUCUUUUAUCUAGGAAUUUACUUUUAUAUAUUACUGACGUUAGGUUUUCUUUAACUAGUGUAACUUUCUCUUUUACCUUAGCUUUUUUUUCAAACUCCUAUUAUGGCUGACGACUUGUGGAAUGAUCUUCAACAUAUGGUUUUGGGCCGAGAUGACCCAUAACUUUUUAUUCUCCAAGAAAUCUAUGAUGGAGUUUUAGCAAAAAGCGGACUAAGUUUAUUGGGAGGCCUCUAAAUCCCAGAGAUCAGAAAUUUAGAAGUGUGAACGCUUCCUCACAUCGUGUAUGGGAAUUAUUUUCUAUGCUCGUCCAAUUUUUGGUUCAUUCUGAAGUAGACUUGGUUGUUGUUCUUAGAAGAGAACCUUGGUUGUUUAAUGAUUGGUUUGUUGCUUUACAACGAUGGGAAGACUUUUCUGAUGAAGAUUUCCUUUCUUUUAUUGCUCUUUGGGUUCAAGUAAGAGUUAUAUGAUGUGUGAUGGUUUUUCGCUUCAAUCUUUUACCUCAAAAGACCACACGACUACUGCAAGUGCACAGUGAAUCGGUUGUAGUAUUUAAGGAUCGAAUCCCACAGAGAGAUAAGUAGUUCGGACGAACCUGUUAGACAAAGUAAAGCUAGGACAAAACAAUAAAAGAGGGGUUGUUGGUUGGUAUCACGGUUGCAAGUAAAAGUAAAUAAAAGCAAUAAGAAAGCAAGUAAAUAAAGCGAGUAAAGAAAGCAAGUAAUCAGUAAGAGACAAACGUUGGGCAUCAAGGGUAUCGCAGGGGGUUCAAUGAUCGUAAUCUAAGAAAUACUAGAAUUAAGUUUGUUUUACUUCCAAGUCUUGGACAUACGAAACACUAAGAUUCGGCUAACCCUAUGUUAUAGAAUUAGUCGGCUAAAAUCCUUAUACUCCGUUACCCAACAUACGCAGGCAACGACGCAUAUAUCAAAGCAAUAAGAUCAAGUUCAAUUCUAGUCCAUAAAGCCCUGUAACUAUGUGGUGUGUGCUUGUUAUAACACGAUACACAUUCGUAAGCUAUGUCUAGCGUAUUAAACAACCUUGUGAGCAAUUUAAACACUUGGGAUCACGAGUUAGGACAUGAAUCUAACUACAUGCAUUAAGAAACAUCUUACUUAGAAAGAAUACAAUGUAAACGAUCAAACAAAACCCUAAGUAUCGCCACCUAGACGAUCGAUCAUGUCCCUCCUUUGAUUAACCCUUUAAACCCAACUAGAAAACUACUCUAGCAUGGUUAAAGAGAUCAUCAAAGUAAGGUUUUAUAAACUCAUAAGAAAGAGAUGAAUAAGAACUGAAUAGAGUUUAGAGAUUACUUCUUUGAAUGUAGAAUACAAGAGGUAAGACUUCACCUUAAUAGAUCUUACAGUAAACAAGAGAAAAGAGAGAGAUUUGGUGGACUUCUAAGCUUCAAGGACGACGGUUGCAGCUCACGGCGAGGGCAGGGAAGAGCUUCUAAGACUUCACCUAGACACUUCGAAGGCACACUAGGUUUAAGGUUUUCAUCGGGUAUUUAUAGGUUUCGGAGACCAAGGAUUAGGUUUAGGGGUAAAAGCUUCUUUUCCCAUGAUUAAGUUAAGUGCAUACUCGAGUUCCUGGACAGGCUAGAAGCCUUAGUUACCGGGGUGGAGAGUAGAAGGAAGCCCGGGCUCGACCCUUGUGACCGGUGCGACCUAGAAGCUCCGGAACGGUUGCAUAGCUUCUGGACGGUCUGGACAUAUCUUCACUCUUCUAGUCAUAACUUCCAAAUGGCUCGAUGAAAUGCUCUAAUUCCACUCGAAGAGAAUCUUGACUCUUCUAGCUUUCCAUAGCCACCGAGAUCUCUUUAUUUGGUAAUAAGGAAGACCUCGAACGGACGCCAUACUUAUAACGUACAGAUGCUGUCUUGAAACGGGUUUUGAUCGCCUUUUGGACUUUAAAGCUCAAAAACUCUUAAAACCUUCUUGACUCCAUAAAUACUUGAAUAACACCUUCUUGGCUUUGAAGUCACUCCAAAUGUUCCCUAAAACAUCUACAUAUACAUUUUUACAGGGUUUUUUUGCAUUAAUUCAUUUGGAUCCGGGUUUUACCCGGGUUUAACUCUAUCCGGAUCUUGGAUAAUGAAUUUUAGGAAUGUUGUCUUAAAACCACAUUAAUUCUUAAUUAACACCUAAAUUGGAAAUAUAUAUAAUAUAUCUAAACUAACCAUAUUUGUUAUUUACCUUAACUACUUCUAACCAUAAUUAUUUAACUAUUUAUUUCUAUAUAGAAAGAAUAUGUGAUUAAAAUAAAUAUUUUGUAAAAUAUUUAUUUGGGAAAAAAUUGUUCUUACGAAAAUAAUUUAUUUUGUUAUAAAAAUUAAAUUUGUUAUUUGUAAUUAAAUUACAUAAAUAAUAAUAAUAAUUUGUCUACGCCAUCAAAUGAAAAUAGUUAGUUAUUUAAUUUUUUUAUUUAAUAUUACGUAAUUUUUAAAAAAUAAAUUCAACAAUAUAAUGUCAAUGGGUUUAAUUCUAGAGAUUUGAAAAUAUUAAAAAAGAUAUUAACCAAAAAUUAUCUAUCCUAAUUUGUUUCUAACAAUUUGGACACAAAUCUUUCAAAUCUUUUGAAAAUUUAAUGUGAUCACAUUUGUUACUAAAAUCUCGAUUAUAUUCCUAAAAUCUCGAGAAGAUCUUCCUUUAAAUCUGCAAAUUAUAAUUUUUGAAUUAAAUAAACUAACAAUACGAAUAUUCCUCAUAUAUUAGAGUACCAUAACGAAAUUAAUUCUUUAAUUAUACAUAUAUUUUCGAAAUUAUCUUAAAUGCUUACCAUUCCAAAAAUUAAAUUGAUUUCGAAUAUUUCCACAAUCUAAAUUAAUUACUAUAACAUACUUUAUCUCAACUAUUGUUCCUAAAAUCUUGCUUAAAUCUCGAUUUUAAAGAAACUAAUUACUCUAUAUAUAUAUAUCGAAAUAAUUAGAUUUGGAUCCUUUCUUUAUUUGAACGGUUUAUCAAAAUUAUAUUCCUAUAAUAGAUUGUAAAACAUUAAUGCACUAUUAUGAGAAUAUGAAUUUAAAGAAAAAUCUUUGAUAUUAAUACUCCUAAUAAAUAGCCGAUUUUAAUGGCAAAAAUCUUUCAUAUUAAUGCUUUCAAUCCACCUAAAAGAUAUAAAACAUUAAUGCACUAUUAUGAGAAUAUGAAUUUAAAGAAAAAUCUUUGAUAUUAAUACUCCUAAUAAAUAGCCGAUUUUAAUGGCAAAAAUCUUUCAUAUUAAUGCUUUCAAUCCACCUAAAAGAUAUUAUCCUAAAAUGGUUAGGAAUAUAUGUAGCAUAUUCUAGAUUUGUGAUAAUUUAAAGAUUUUCGAAUAUAUCAACGCCUUGCUAAUCAAGAUUUUGGAUAUUUUCUAACACAAAACCCUACUAACCUAUCAUAACUCUAUAAAUACUUGAUCGUUUCUACUACUUCUGAACACACAAAACACCAGUUGCAUUCUUUAACUUUCCAAUUUCUAAUCUUAAUGUGUUGUUUGAUUUAAUUUCUUGAAAUUGGAUUCGAUUAAACUUUGAAUUUUUGUUUCUAGGUUUAGAAAUAAAUCUAUUUUGAAUUUUAUGCGUUAGUCAUUUUAUGAAAUUUGAGGAAGAAGAUACAAUUCUUUUUUUAUAUUCAUCAAUUCUUUUGUUCAUAUACAUCGCUAGAGUCUUUGGAUAUUAUUAACUUUUUUUUUGUUCGUGUGCAGAUUCUUUGUGGUCGAUCAUGUUGGUGGUGAGUUACGACUACUCUCAAUGCUAGAUGCUUUGGUAACAAGUUCAUUUCUAUAUAAUAUGGAUUUUCCACUUACAGAUUUGGAAUGUCAGAUUUUGUGAGUUGAAAAACUAUUUAUGUUUCAAAGUGUAUAUCUAAGCUAUACAAAAGAAGUAUAUUUGACAUCUUUUUCUCUUUUUAUAUAUGUGACUGUAGCCAUUAAGAGUAUAAAAUAUCUGGAAAAUAUGAAGACCAACACAGAGACACCAAUUUGUAUCAAAAACAGGCAAUUACUCAUUUGACUAACUCUGGUUGUGUUAUACGUACGUUUAUUAUUCUUUCAAUUUGCUAACGACCUUAUAUGUGACUAUUUAGUAGAGCUGCUGAUUUGUAUAGGCAGAUUCUUCAGCUAAAGCCAUUGCUGGAGUACUUUAUUAAAAUUUCUGACUCAAAAAAUUUAUAUGUUUUGUUUUAUAUACGUUUAUUAUAUUUUCACUUUCACUUUGGCUAAUGAUCUUAUGUUUGACUAUUUAGUAGAGCUUAGCCUAAGGUGCAUUAAGUGAAUGCACCAUUUUACUAAAAGCAAUAGACACAAUGAACAAGGUAUCAUCCAUCUGUUUUCAUAUAUAUACUCGAUUUGACAAAAUUCAUGUUUGCUUUUUUAUUGUAUUCAAACCAAUAAUAAUCAUAUUGAGCUUACAUUUAUUGGGUGUGAAAUUGAAUCACCUUUUCAUUAGCAAUCUAAUAACUAAUGUAGUUUCAUUGUGACGUAGCUGCAUCACAUUGUCUCAAGAAUAUUGAGUCCUUUGAACAAGAUGAGAAAGCUUACCUGGAGAAGGCUGCCCUAGAGUUUGAUGAAGAAAAAAAACAUGGCCUGCAAAAUAACAAAAACGGUAGGACCAAAAUAUUUUGUUUUUUCUUUAGCCGUUCGAUUUAAUUACAAACUAGGAUCGGACCCGCGGUCCACCGCGGAGAAUAUUGAUUUACAUACGUUGAUUUUAAUAUUGUGCGUGUUUUUAGUAGAACGAAUCGUGUAAUGUACUUAUAAAUAUUCCUAAUAACAAAUUGUAAAGAAAAUAUUAAAUUGUUUAUAAUUAAACCAAUCGUAUUAAUUAUGAUUUACAAAAUGGAAUUUUGUGUUUUAGAAUUCAAAAAUUAGACGAAUCAUGGGAAUUAAAGCAGUCAAAAUAGGUCAAAAACCGUGGGUCGAGCCCAAAUCAUCUCACUAUAGGCCAGAUUUGGGAAAAUAUAUUAAACCCGCAAAUAAGCGGGCCACAUGGAUUGAUUCGCAGUGGGUCAUCGGUUUUCUUCCGGGGGUUGGCGGAUCAACCCGCAUGAUAGUAUUUAUUGAUAAAAAUACAAUUUAUUCAACAUGUGGUAGUUUAAAAAACUUUUAACAAAUGAAAUUCUAAUAUUUAUAAAUAUAAUGAUAUAUAAGAUUAUUUUCUCUAAAAACAUUUCAAUUUAUUUAUUUUAGUAGAAUUUUAAAUUUUGGUUACUCUAAAAUUAUUUAAACAAAAUCCACGGAUAACCCCGCAAAUCGGCAUACAUUCGCGCGACGGGGUUGUGUUUCAUAUAUGCUACCCUCGGGUCGUGCAGACAGACUAACUACAUGCCAAACUAUAUUUUGCCAAUUACAAAACAGGCUUAACGGGACGAAUCAACUCGUUUUGACAGCUCUAAUGGAAAUAUUAUUUAGUCAUACAACUCAAUGGAGUUUGGACAUAGGAAUUAUAGAAUACGUAUCUUAUUUGUUAGAUUAGAGAUUGAAAGGUGAAAUAUAAUGAUUAAAAAUAAUUAAUAUUUUUCAUGAUUCGUAAAAUUUAAUAAAUAUUUAUCAUCUUGUUGAAUAAUUCUAAAAAUCAUAUUCAAGAAAUCUUUAUAAUUUGAAAAUUAAACUUCUUUGGUAAACUAUAAGUAUGAUUGUAUGAAAAUACCAUAAUUUCGAUUUAAUCUAAUUACAUUAAAAUUAGUUACAUAGAUUUCAUAUCUAUUUAAUUUACACGACCAAAAUAAAAAUAUCUAUUUAUUUAAUUUAUAAAAUAGAUGGGUUAGUUGUGAUAAAUUUUUUAGAAAUCUCUAGAAGCAAGUAAGAUAUCUUUUAAUUAAUGAUAACUGGCUAAAAUAAGCAAAAUUAAUGAGAAAAACGUUGAUUGUUAUGGAAUUAGUUCCAAAAGUAUAUGAACAAAUAUAUUAUACGUAGUUAAUGUAUAAUAUUGUUCGGAAUAUGAUUUUAUAAUUAGUUACCAUAAGUACAAUCAAAUUUUAUUUGAUUUCCAUAAACAUUUGAUUUUAGUUCGAUUUUUCAUUAUUAAUUCGAAUUUAUAUUCCAAAAAAAUUUCAAAGAUCCGAUUUCAGAAUUUCGGGUCAAUUUUCUGAUUUUGACCCGACCCAUUUACAUUUGUACUUCUCUUUUAAUAGUAUAGAGAUAUUUGUGUUUCACUGUUUGAAGCUCAAGUUGUUACACGAGCAAUCAGAUUGUAUAAAAACAUUUAAAGGUUUUACAUUGAAAAAAUUAUUUACAAGGGUUCUUUUGUUUCUGAGAAGAUGAAUUGAAAGAUCAAGAAAGUGAGUUCUGAAAAGCAUUGUAUCAUUCUCUCCAACACCGAAAUAAGACUUUUGUAGUGAAUUCUGAAUCUAUUAUAUCAAAUAUGAACAAAACAACAAUAAUUUAAGCAAACCACAACACUCCUCAACCAGGUAACUCAUGUUCUUUGACUCUAAUGGAAAUUAGUUUUAAUAAGUUUCAUCAAUCUGAAAAUCAGAAAUUAAUUCUACAAGUAUCUAGAAAUUAGAUUCUCCAUUUCAAUUCAUAAUAUACAAAACUCAGUAAAACAAAAAACAAAAUUUUUUUUGAAAGAUCGUACACAGUAAUAAAUCUAUUCCUUAAUCUAUAUCUUACAGAAAAUCAGGGAAUAUGGAUAUUGUUUGAACAUGAGACAUGAACUCUAUCUCUUGGUCACAACGAAGAAGAUCAUCGAGAACUGAAGUAGAUUUAGAACGAUGGUUUGUGUGUCGUCUCACCUUCGAUCCGAUGCAAAUUAGAUACUCAUCCCCUUUAAUCAAUCGAUUAAUCCACAUGCAAGUAGCCUGAUUACAUAAAAACUCCAAAAUCAUAAGAACGGUUGAAGAAGACGAGAAGAUUCUCAAAAGAGAUUCUUAUUUUAUUUUCUAAUGCAACAUUUUCUGUUUUUUCAUAGAUAUUUCAAAUAAAAGUCCAAAGGGUAAAAUACAGAAAAGAAAAGUGAAGCCUAAUUAAGGCCCAAUACAUAAUUACACGUCUUUAAAAUUCGUUCAAUAAAAUUGGAUUGAUUCAACAUAAAUUAGUUUUCUUUUGAGAAAUUUGGCUGUAUAACCAAGAAAAAAAGCUUUAAUUCACUAUCUAACUAUUCUAACCAUAGAACUAUGAUAUUGUGUAUAUUACAUGUAUUAUUGACAAUUUUAACCCUACUCUAUAUAAAAUUAUAAUUUCUAAAUAGAUUACCAUGACUCCAUUACACUACCACCACCAUUGCCACGUUAUUGUAGUCACCACUUCCAUCGCCGCGAACACCAUGGCGCACCAUCACUACUACAACCACCACCAUCAUCUUCGUUACCACCACCACCACCGCGACCACAAUAACGUCACCACCACCACUAUUGCGACUAUGAUGACGUCACCAUCACCACUACCAUGUUGUCACCACCACAACCACGUCAUCACCGCCACUAUUACCAUCAUCUUCACCACCAUGCCGUCACCACCAUAACGACCACCAUAACGUCACCACCACCACAGCAAUCACCAUAACGUCACCAUCACCACUAUCACUAUCACUACCACCACCGCCGCAACCACCAUGACAGUCACCACCACCACUGCUACCUCCACCACCAUCGCCGUUGUCCAAACCACCACCGACGUCACCACCACCACCACUACCACAACUAUGUCAUCACCACCAUACCGUCACCAUCACCAUCACCGAGUUAUUACCAUCACCACCACCACUACUUACAUUUUAUUAAAAAUGUUUCGUUCUAUACUAUUUCAUUAGAUUCUAUACUAUCUCAUUUAGAUUCUAAAGUUUAACUUGGUAGAUUAGGUUUCAUAUGUACUAUUCCUAAAGAUAUAACAAUAUAAUUUCUGUCAUGCGUUUAAUUCGGUAUUUGGGUUCCCUAUAUUGUAUCUCUUAGGAUAUAGUGUUUAUUUUCCGAUGUACGUUUAACACAAAUUUAUGAAAAAUUAAUAAAUUAUUCUUAGUAAUAACAUAUUAUGCGAUUACAUUUUAUUUUACUCUAUACAAUUUCAUUUUAUGUAAUUCUAUUUAGACAUUAAAUUUUUAUCAUUAACCACCUUUUUCAUAAACUUAUCUGUUUUAAAAAUUUAAAUCAUGAUACAUUCAGAAAAGUAUAUAGAUUUUUUAUAGAAGAAUCAAGACUUUGAAAAUUUUUAUUAAAACAAAGAAAAUUGAGUUACAAUUAAAAGGGGUAAAGACAAAAUAUACUUCUCUCUCCUGCCCCUCAUCCUUGAACUCCAACGAUUGAGCUUUUUUCUGCCAGCUCAGCUGAAUGUCUUUCUCCUUUGGUGCUUCAUCUCGACACUAGUUUAGUCUUUUCCCUUGUCCCUUAUGUUACUUUCUUAAUAUUUUUGAAUAUAGUGCUAUAUUCUUAAUUUGAGAUUGUAUUAUGGUUAUAGAGCAAAUUCACCCUUUUCUUUUUCAGAGUUUUUUUUUUUCUAUUUUCUUAGGUAAAGCAUGAGACAUUAUUUGACUAUUUUUUAUACAAUUAGAGUAAUUUAAUUUGUCUUUCGAAAUUUUGUCUUUUUGGUUUAUUUUAACACAUUUAUAACACACGUUUAUAACACACAUAUAUAACACUAUAUAGCAUUAUCAAACAAUCUUAUUAUAUAAAGAAAACUUUAGUAUAUUCAGAUUAAAUAAUAAAUUAUAUAAGUAAUGAGUAUAAAUUUUAUCCCACUAAUAAAACUUACUUAAUUUUAAACUUUGGGAUAGUAAUUUAAUAACAUGUAUCUUAUUCGUAUAAAUAUUUCGUCAUAUAAAAGCCAAAUAAUACUUUAGGAAAUGUUUUAAUAAAAUUAUUAUUAAAAAGAAAAUUACAAAAUGAUUUUUAAUUUCACGGGAUGAAAUUAUAUGGUGGGACGGAUUUGGAUCAAUAUUAAUACGGGAUGGUAUACUACGGGUAAAAUCCUAGAAUUAAUAAUCAAAAUAUAAUUAUACAAUCUUAAACACUAAAUGUAAAAUAUCGUUAUGCGGUAUACUAUAUAUCUAUAGAUUAUCCUAAAAAUUUAAUUUUUUUAUUUAGUAAAAAUAUAGGCCCGCGGUGUACCGCGGGUUAACAUCUAGUUAGAAAACAAUAGCAAAUACGGGCGAAAAUCACAUGUUAUCAUUAUACCUCUUCCGUAUGUUUCUGAGACAAUAAUUAGCUUCAUUGCUAAUACUUUUAGAGAAGUUGUUGACCUUGAUUUCAUUGAAGAGACUACCACUCAGAUUUAAAUAAUAAUUGGAAUUAUAGAUCAAUUUUGUUUAUUUAGAAGAGUAAGAUUUGAAUAAGGGGAAGGGGCCAUAAUUCUUUGAAUAUGAAAAACUUGGAAGCUACUAUUGUCUCAUCAAUCACCACACUAGUCACUGCCUUUAUCUUACUCCUCCUAUUCUUCAUGAGAACACCUAAAUAUUCAUGUAUUUCAUGUAUGGAGGAGAGGGUUCUAAUAGUUAACAUUACUGAAGAGAUUCAUCCAGCUCCAAGUUUUGAUAUCACCUCUUAAACUCCAAUCUCUCAACUAAUCAUAUGCCUAAUUUGGAUGAAUUGUAGCAGCUAAUCUUCUUCAUAGUUUCCCUUCAUCAAGCUCCUCUUCUAUGUAAGUGAUAUCUCUGUAUUUUACCUCUUUUUAGCACACAUUUCUUAUGCAUUUAGCUUAGUUUUCUCCCCGAUUCAUUGCAUUCAUAGUCCUUUUCAUACUCUUUUCAUAACUUAGUACGAUUUGCAUUGCAUUGCAUAGCAUAUUGCAUAUUGGAUGUGUUUCAGGUACUAUGGAGCUUAUUUGGGACUUAAUGGAGCUAAGAGGUCGAGUUAGAGUCAAGGAAGUCAUUUAAGAGGAUCCAGAACCGUGCUCUACGUGGGAGCUCGAUGCAAGACAUCAGGAGGUCACCAAGGAGUGUGCUCGACGUGGGAGCUCGACCAAAGGUCGAGCAGGACAUCAGGAGGUCACCAAGGAGUGUGCUUGACGUGGUAGCUCGACCAGAGGUCGAGCAGGUCUGAUCGAGCAGGACAUCAGGAGAUACCAAUGAGUGUGCUUGACGUGGGAGCUCGACCAGAGGUCGAGCAGGCAAGUAAAAAGGAGCCAACUUUGAAGAACACACCUGCUCGACGUAUUUGCUCGACCUGACGUCGAGCAGGACCUGAGCCGACUUUCUAUUUUGUCGUUUUGCCAAUUAUGGCAACCUAGUACUUUUCUAUAAAUAGGGGUUCACCCUUUUAUCAAGAGGAGAUAUUCUCUUUACCCUUUGGUUUUUCCGUUUUUCUCUCUAAACCCUAGUUUGUAAUCGUUUUUCCCAUUGAAUCAUUGAGUUUUUGCACUUCGUUUCUUCAUCAAAGUUGUAGAUCUCUCUCUUAUCUAUAACAUACUUGCUUUUUAAUGAAUUCUGGGUUUGAAUCAUUUUCUGGGUUUGUUGCUAUGAUGUUCUUGAGUGUUCUUGAGUAGUUUUGCAAAGUUCUUAAGGAUGGGAUAGGUUGUUAGUGGAAUCUUCUGUUUCUUUAGCUAGAUAAGUGUAUAACUGCAUGAUUUCCCUUCUGGUUUAGUAGUUCUUAGUCCUAUUUCCUCUCUUAUCAAUUGGAAGUUGAUCUCAGACAUUUCCACACCCACAAGGUGUUUGAUGAAAUGUCUGAACCAACUAUUCCAGAGAUUUACAUACUCUAGCUCAUGAGAUUAGAUGUUUAGAAUGUUUAUUGACUAUAUUAGAUUGAAUCUUAAUGCCUGCUUGAUUAUAUUUCAUCAAUGAGAAUUGAGUUUGAAAGUGAUCUUGUUUGAGAAUCUUUGUCAUGAAAGUGGAUUGAUUUGUAUUUGAAUCUAUUGUCUAGGGAUAGCUUGAUUGAGUCUAUUAGCUAGUUAAAGGGAUAGAUAAAUCCAUUAUAACCAAUAACCCCAUUCUUAAGAGCUUGCCUUGUUUGAUUGCUUAAAUCUCGUUUCUGUUAGUCUUUAUUGUCCUGCUCGACCUGCUUGCUCGACGUGCUUGGUCUAGCAUAGUUUUCUGCAUUGAUGGGUUGUUAGUUUCCUUUUUAAAGCUUAUGCAUGGUAGUUCCUGGUUUGUAGUUCAUUUCUUGCUGCUUAGUUUUCUUUCUUAUGCUUUUGAAUUUGGUACUUGCAUGUUAAUUGGUUGCUUAGGUUGAAUAGAAACACACAAAACCUUUUCACAAUUGGCUUGACUUACUUGCUUUUUGUGCAUAUCUUGAAUGCUUGCAAUCACACUGAGAUUAGAUUGAUAACCUAAUAUACUACAAUGACAUGUGUAUUAGGAAUUGAUACUAAUUGAGCAAAAAUCGUACUAUCAGUAAGUCUCAUAUGAUCUUAUCUCGGCUAAAGGCUUUAAAACAAAACCAAAUAUGAGAUUGGAGCGAGCUAUAAACGCAAGAAAGGAAAGCAAAUCAAUAUGGAGCCAACAAAAAGUACUUACCAAUGUAGAAAAGAUCCUGGAGUGAGGUUAUAUCUACUAAUUCAAGACCCUCCAUGUUUUUCUAAAAGAAGGUUAACACUCUCAGAGAAAUAUCUGACAUUCUUCUCUGAGAUAUUUUGGAUAAGUCAAUCUUAGUUGAUAAUAAUUUCCACUUCACAGGUUAAGAUAGUGGAUACUUUGAUAUAUCUUUUAUGGUGUAUCGGUGUCUUUUCUUAUGAUGAAGGAAGGUAUUAGAUAAAAUUUUGGAAGGCCUCUUGAUGAAUUCUUUUUGAUGAUGAUAAUGUGGUGUGCAAGAAAGUUUUCAUAACACACGCAUAGGAAGUAUUCUCUAAAACCAUUUGCAAUGCUCAUGGGAAGUUGGGUCUUAUUGUGGAAGUUAUGAACAUGUCUUGCUUUACUAUCAUCGCCUUUGUUUUUUUAAGUUAGUUAGUCUUUAAGUCUAUUUUAUCAAGUACUUUGCCUCUCCAAAAUGGUUUCUUCACUAAUUGAAAAUGUUAUCUUUUUUUUUUUUCAAAGACUUAUUUUCAUUCAUCAACGUAAAACAAGGUUCAAAGUAGCCAAGGAUACACGGAUAAGAUGGCUCGAUACAAAGCACAAGUAGCAUAAAAAGGUAAAAGCAUAUGCUAUGCAAAAAAUAGCUAAUAUAGUUCGACGAAGGAUCCAUGACAGCUUGGAGACCAAAGCUAGGAAGCAAAUUAGCGAAAGUGCUAACACGGUUUUUCGUAGAAUCAUCCACGGACGAAGCGUUAGACGAUACAAUGGCCACUGUCAAUAGACUAAGUGAUGUUGAAGAGGGUUCCAUGGCCGAGUUAUUCGCCAGCACGAGAAAAGCUAGAUGGAUUUGCUCAUCAGCAAGUAGAAGGGUGACUACGGUUCUAUAGUCGGGUGGGUUUGGAGCUAAAGGGUUUAGGAAGCUUCGGUAAACACGGCUCCUUGGAGAUGGAGUUAUAAUGUCGUUCUUCCUCAAGCAUUUAAUUUCAUGAAUAAAAACCUUAAUGUUGUUGAUUAGCACUUGCUUGAACUAAGUAUUCAGAGGAAAUGGGAAUAUAGGAUUGAAGAGGCUUUGGUAACCAUCGCUCCAUGGAGACAAAAUCAUAAUGUCGGUCUUCUUCAAUCGAUUAACUUCAAAAUUCAAUCAUUUGGAUUCAUGCCCAAUAAACCUAUGUGAAUAUAGUGGCAGGGUUAUUAUAGAGUUCUUGAACAUCCAUAGCAACAAUGAUACAUUACGUUCCAUUUGAUGUCCUCUAUCAUAAGGAUUCGAUAAAAGAAACAGAGGUUGUCUUAGAGAUGGACGAUGAAGAGUUGAGAACAGACCUGGACUUUAGCAGAUAAUGUAUUGGAUUACACUUUUUAGACUUGGGCUUCAAAAAUCUUAAAUGGCCAAAAUUAAUAAAUCCUACCAGUUGUAACCCUAAUUUCACUUUGGCUAGUUAACGAGUAUAGCAGCCGUCGUACAGAGAUGAUGGAAGAUCUUGUGGUGAAGCAGGCAUCUCUGGUGAAGCUAGAGUCGGCGUUUGGUGAAUUUUGUCAAGAUUCGAAACAAGGGAGAAGAACCAGAGAUGAUUGGCCGUUUCGGGAAAGGAAGUCGGAUUCCAGAGAAGAAGCUUGCAGUGCGCCAUCGACGUCUCCACCAGGCACGACGCAUCUGACCGUCUAAUAGCCUGAUCUCUUGUCAUCAAUGAAGCAUGGUAUGAAGUUGUUUCUUGGGAAAGCGGUAUCACAUAUCCAUGGUUUGGUGGUUCUUUUAGAGUUGUUGCAUGUUGAGGGUGAGAGAUGGAGAUCGCCGGACACCAUCUUCUCCCUUUGUUUUUGGUUGUUGAGAAUCUCAGUAGAUGCCUUGGGUUGGAGAGGGAUUCAAAAGGAGAAAAAAAAUUGCUAACAAAAAAGAAAAUGAUAGAAGAUCUAGAGUGAUGAAGAGCAAGAUGGUCAAAGGAAAAUUCUUGACUCUGGUGUGUCAAAACUCCACCGAUACCGGAAUACAUGCCCGGAAAGAAAUUCUCGAUAUUAGUGUAUGAGAGAAAAACUUUUUUUCUUUUCUUAUUAUAUGGUUUUGUUAUCUAAAUAAUUCUUUACAAGGAAAAGAAAAAGCUAGCUUUUUUAUAGACUAUUCAGAUCUGAUAAAGAUUGUGUUUUUCCCAACCGAAUGGCUGGCUUUCUCAGUGUAUUUGGAGGAAUUCCUAAGCGCCAACGAAGGAUUUUCAAGUUUCUCUUUAUCUUUAAUUUCUCGCUGUGCAAAUGUUACAGCGGAUAAAUUGGCACGAAAAAUUCGUACCGAACCGUAUCAUAUCAAAUAUGUAAAUAAUAUCUAAAAGCAAUGGUUCUUUUAAAUAUUAAUUUUAAAGCUGUUGACAAACAAAAAGAUCUAGUUACAAGUAGAUUUAUGAAUACAAAAAAUUAGUGUUAAUUUAUUUUUCUUUGACCUUUUUUGUUCUUAUAAACAUCUGUUUCUUUAUUUUGCUAUGUUAUAUAUAGGAAAAAUGUCGAAAAAUGCGCCAACUUUCAAAUUUGGGACGAUUAAAGCAUGAACUCUCGAAAUGUCUCUUUAAUCACAAAGUUUCCAUUGACCUGUCUGAAAAUAGCUAAGUUUUUGUUGACCUGGCCAAAUUAGGCAUCGCGUUAAGUCUCCGUUAGAACGAUGCUGACGCUGUUAACAAUCCGUUAGAUUCUCCGUUCGAUCAAAACGACGUCGUUUUGAAGUUUUCAAACGACGUCGUUUCACCAGAAAAUAAGAAGGAAAAAUGGCAUCUCCAAAGAAUCAAACUGCUGACCUGUUACACUAAUAAGAGACACUCAACCAUUGGGCUACGGAAACAUUUUAAUGUUAGUACAAACAGAACGUGUAUAUAUACUAAAACCUGGUAACAUAAAUUAGGUAAAGAUAUAUGCAAUUAAUUAAAAAUAACAAACUUAAAAAAUAAUAAUAACCAAAAAUACAAAUAUUAAAUAUACUUAUCAUAGUAUAUGUAUCAAAAUCUCAAAUAUUAUUUUAUAAAUAAAGAUUUCUUCCAUAUUUGGAAAAUUAUUCUUUCUAAUAUAAAAAAUUUAAAUAUAUGACAUAAAAUUAAUCAUAUAAUUAUGCCUUAUAUGCACCAAUGAUACAUGCAACAACCACAUUAAACAUUUAUACAAAGUUUAGGUUUUUAUAAUUUAGGAAAUAAUAAUUUUCCAAAAUAGAAUAAAAUCUUUAUAUAUAUAUAAUUAAAUGUUUGUAAAUUUGAAAUAUAUAUUUAAGGUAAGUAUAUUUAAUAUGUGUAUAUGUUUGGUUAUUAAUUUGUUUUUAAUAUUGUUAUUUUAAAUUAGUUGCAUAUAUUUUUACCUAAUUUAUGUUACCAAUUUUUAGUAUAUAUACACGUUCUGUUUGUACAAACAUUAAAAUGUUCCCGUAGCCCAAUGGUUGAGUGUCUCUUAUUAGUGUAACAGGUCAGCUGUUCGAUUCUUUGGAGAUGCCAUUUUUCUUUCUUAUUUUCUGGUGAAACGACGUCGUUUGAAAACUUCAAAAUGACGUCGUUUUGAUCGAACGGAGAAUCUAACGGAUUGUUAACAGCGUCAGCGUCGUUCUAACGGAGACUUAACGCGAUGCCUAAUUUGGCCAGGUCAACGAAAACUUAGCUAUUUUUAGACAGGUCAACAGAAACUUUGUGAUUAAAGAGAUAUUUCGAGAGUUCAUUCUUUAAUCGUCCCAAAUUUGAAAGUUGGCGCAUUUUUCGACAUUUUUCCCAUUUAUCAAUACGUUUUGAUUUUCUCAAGUUUUUUUUUGACAGAAAAAAGUUUUGAUCUUCUUAAGAAACGAAGGUCCCAUGUUAAAAUAAAAAGUCUUACAAGUUAGGAUUCAUGGAUUUAUUAAUUUAGAUAUAGAUAAGAUACAUGAACAUAAUUUUCAUGACAAGAAAACAGAAACAUAACAAACAAAGAUAGAUGCACGGUUCUCCUGUCUUUAACCUCUCUCUAAGAGGAUAGGAACAUACAACAACAUUAAUUAAUAAUAGUCAGAACAAGAUCUGUUUUAUUUAACCGAUCCUCCUCACUUCUUCACCUACAAAUCAACAAAAUUUAAAUAAAUUAAACAAUUAUUGAAUAUAGUACAGGCCUCAAAUUUUGAUAAUCGACAAUAUUGGUAUUUUUUAUUUUUUUUUGCCAGAUCCAAAACUUAGGAGAUAUUUGGUCAUGAUUUAAACGUUUAGGAAAAAAGAAUAACCUUAAUCUUAUAUCUACAACUGAAUAAUACGUAGUUUUUCAAGAUCCGUAUUAUUUUUUCAAGAUCCAAAACUCAUAAGUAAAUAUUUGUUCAUGAUUUAUGUAUAUGAUUAAAAAGUAGAGAAAACAAACCUUAAUCGCUGUCGCUGUCACUGCUGCUGCUGUGGUGACCAUCAUCAUGAUGUUUCUUCUCCUUCUUGUCCUUCUUCUUUUUCUUCUCACCAUCGUGACUUUUGCCUUCUCCGUCGUGGCUUUUGCCUUCACCACCGUGGAUCUUGUCUUUGAGCUUGUCAACAAUACCUUCUUUGUGCUCUCCACUCUUGUGCUCGUCGACGUGCUUCUUGUGUUCCUCUUCCUUCUUGUGCUCACCUUCCUUGUUGCCUCCUCCAAUGUGGAGUGCAUCUCCGAUCUUGUUGAUGAGUCCUGCCAUAUCGUCUUUUUUUCUCUUUCUUUUGUAUUAAAUCUCUCUUUAUUUGUUUGGUUUCUUGACGAUUGGAUCUCAAAGGGUCUCUAUAUAUAGCCCCAAAUGGAUAAUUAAUACUAUAUUUUUAUUAUUUUUUUCUCUGAGUUUACUUUAUAGAAAGAGAGAUAUAUGGCAUGGCGAAGAUAAGAUUAAUUUUGAUACCAAAAAAAAAAAUGAAAAAUAAAAGAUAAGAUUAAUUCUUCCAAUGAGCUGUACUGUUUCUUUAAUUGGAAAUAAUGAUACAAUUAAUUGGGGUAGAUUAUAUUCCUUUAAAAAGAAAGAAGAUUAUAUUCUCUUAGAUAUUUUCAACUAUGUGGUUGCAAUUUUUUAUUUCUUUUAUAUAUAUUUUUAAAUGAUUCUGACUAUGUCGUCCAUAUUAGGAUUUUAGGUAGGGCUGGGCCGGAUCCGGAUAUCCGGCUUUUUUGGAGUAUCCGGAUCCGGAUCCGCCUUUUCAUUAUCCGGAUCCGGAUCCGUUCCACCCGGAUAUCCGUAAAAAGAGCCGGAUAUCCGCCGGAUAUCCGGAUCCGGGUUUUUUUUAUACAAUUUUUUUUAUUAAUAUAAAAUUUCAAGAAAAAUAUUUAAAAACAAAUAAUUUGAUAUAAAUAAUUAAAAAUAUUAUUAAAAAAAUAUUAUUCUUAUAUAAAAUAAUAGAAUUUAUUAAUAAAAUUUAAAUAAUAGUAAUAAAAUAUUAAAAAAAUAUUAUUAUUAUAUAAAAUAUCCCGGAUCCGGAUAUCCGGCUUUAAAUUUUCUAUUAUCCGGAUCCGGAUCCGGAUCCGACCGGAUCCGGAUCCGGAUCCGACCGGAUCCGGAUCCGACCGGAUCCGCUUUUUCAUUAUCCGGAUCCGGAUCCGCCCCACCCGGAUAUCCUAUUUUUCGGAGCGGAUCGGAGCGGAUCUCGGAUCGGAUCUCGGAUCCCGGAUAAUUGGUCUCACCCCUAAUUUUAGGACCAUAUAUAUAAUUUAAAGGUACAAAUAGUUUAUAGUAAAUAAAAAUUGGAUUAAACAAACCAACUCAUAUGAUUUUGACAGAAUUCAUGUUGAAAAAUUAUUUACAUAUAUAAAUAUAUAAUUUUUUCUUUUUCUCAAGAAACAAUCUAUUUAUAUUUAAUCAUAAUAUACAUAUACAUUUUUUUAAACAUUUUUGAAAUAAAUCCUGGAGUUGACACUUAUUUACAAUGUAAUGUCACUGACAUUAAUUCUUAACAUUUGUUUCUUUAAUUAAAUAUAUGUAAAUCUAAUUCGUUUGCCAAAAAUCUGGAGACAAUUUUUCCUAAUAUCUCUAUUCUCGACAAUGAUAAUUUAUACUCUAUUUAAAUUAAGAUUUUCAAUUCAAAAUCACUUACCAUAUAUUGCCCUAUAUUAUCAACAUAAAAUCGCCUAAACAAAUAUUCAUACCAACGAAUUUGAAGAAAUUUUUUAAUACUACUAACAAUUGGAAUUCAAAAAAUACGUAUAAUUUUUUUAAAAUAAAUAUUAUAAUUUAUACAUUCAAAAUCAAUAAAAUUUUUAUAAUAUUAUGAAUAUUUGAACAUAUCAACAUUUUAAACUAACACAUGACGGAUUAUACUACGGGACGAAAUUAUAUGGCGGGACAGAGUUAUAUGGCGAGGCAGUGUUAUAUGGCGGGGCAGAGUUAUAUGGCGGGACGGGUUUGAAUCAAAAUUAAUAAAAUUUUAAAAUAUCAUUAACCCGUCUUUUAAAUACGGGUUAAAUCCUGAUUUUAUUAUUUUGGAAGACCUGUAAUAUUAGACAUAUCGAAUCAGUCUAAUUUAGUUAAUAUUGUAUAAAACAAAAAUUGUUCCGUAGUAUACCGUUACUUAAUGGUAGUUAUAAACUAUAAAUUAUAAAAAUGAUAGAAUUUUCAAAUUUUUAAAUAUAAAACAUUAAUUAAAAAUUUAAAAAUCAUAAAUUUUAGAAAAAAUUACCUCCGGUGUACCGCGGGUCAAUUCCUAGUAUAUAAAACGUUUUAGAGAUGUCUACUACAACCAAAAAUCAAAUAUCAACCAAAUCAAACUCUUCAAAUCACAUUCUAACCUCAAAGAAGUCAGGACUUUCAAAAUAUGGCUAUUUGGGUUAAAGACUUAAAGUUUAGGUGCUAAUAUAAAGAUUUUAAAUUUUGUGAAAACGUAUCAAUACAUAAGAAAAUAACUCUACAUAGACAGUAUAUUUGGAAGAAAAUAAGUAAGAAUGGUUUAUUGGUUUAUUUUGUAUGAAAAUGUGAUAUAUUACAUUGGUGGAAAGUAUUAGGGAGCUAUAUGUAAAUAUAUUAUACUUAGGCUAUUAUGUUAAUUUUCCUAAGUAUGUUUAGAGUUUCCUGUGUAACAUUUAUAUAUACUCUCUUCUUAAUGUCAAUAGAACACAACAUUCUCUUUAUUCUCUUAUCCCUUUGGCAUGGUAGCAGAGUUAGGGUUUUAAGAAGAAAAUCAAACAAAGGGAAAAGAAGAGAAGAUGGUGGAUGUCGACGGCAGAGAGCUGGCGACAUGGAAGGCUGCGAAAGACGGCGGGAGCGGGCUCACGGUGGCGGAGAAGGCUAUGGCUUCGCCACUGUAUCUCCAUCCUUCUGAUGGACCGGGUAAUUUGAUCACUACUUUUCAAUUUAAGGGAAAAAACAAUGAAGAUUGGGCUAAGCAUGUGCGGAACGCCUUGCGAACGAAACGAAAAUUAGGGUUUAUUGAUGGGACUUUGGAGAAACCUACCAAGGAGGAUGAGAUUGAACAGUGGGAAGUGGUUAAUUCUAUGUUAAUCGCUUGGAUUAUGAACAUGGUUGAGCCGACUCUCAGGACAUCGAUUUCUAUGGUGGAUGAAGCUCAAGCGUUGUGGGAAGAUUUGAAGCUUCAAUUCUCUGCAGGAAACGGAUCGAGAAUCAGUCAGCUUAGGGCUGAUAUAGCAAACUGUAGACAAAAUGGGGAUACGGUAAUGGUGUACAAUGGGAGACUUAAGAAGAUGUGUGAUGAAUUGGUAAUUUACAAGCCUAUUCGAUCAUGUAGUUGUGGAGAACUGGCUGCUCAGUUGGAAGAAGACCGUAAUGAAGAGAGAACCAAUACUUUCUUGAAUGGCUUAGAUUCUGCGAAGUUUGGUAGGUGUGUUCUACUAUCACAAGUAUGGAACCCCUACCCAAGCUCUCACAAGUCUAUCAAAGGAUCAUUCGAGAAGAGAGACAACUCACGAUUACUAGGAAUCGUGAUGCAACUUCGGAGGCUGUGGGGUUUGCGGUCCAGGCUGCGCAACGGGGUCAAACUUCCAAUUUUUAUCGCGAGAAAGACGUGACAUGUACUCAUUCUGGUAAGUAUGGGCAUGCAAAGGCUGAUUGCUUUUAGAUAAUUGGCCUUCCUGAAUGGUGGGGAGAACGAGGACGCGACUACAAUGAUCGCGGUAGAGGUGGACGUGGACGUGGAGGACGUGGAGGCCAGUUUGGACGUGGUCGCGGGUUGGGUGGUAGGGCCAACACGGUCACGGGUGUUCAGGCAAAUAUUGUUGGGGGCAUACAAGCUAAUUCGACAAGGACACCGGCUGAUUUGGAUCGUCAAUCUCUACCCCAAAUGAGUGAUGAUCAAUGGAAUGCUUUCAAGAGUCUCUUUGCUUCUCAAAAUUCAAAUCCUAAUGAGAAGUUGAAUGGUAAGAAAGAAUGUAUUGAUUUUAUUAUUUAUACAGGAGCAUCACACCACAUGACUGGUAAUUUAGACUCUUUGUCUAAUGUGAUGAAUACCAAUCCAUGUAUGAUCGGCUUACCGGAUGGUGAUCAUGUGGUGUCCCACAACAGGGUGAUAUAUGUUUCGGGGGUGAUUUGUGGUUACAAGGAGUUUUGUAUUCUAAGGAUUUAACAUGCUCUUUGAUUUCGGUUGCAAAGUUGUUGGAAGUGGUUAAGGGCUCUAUUACAUUCACCGAUGAGUUGUGUGUUAUACAGGACCGUGCUAUGAAGACGCUGAUUGGAGUUGGUGAAGAGUGUGGGGACGUGUACGUGCUUCGAGGGGUGAUCGGUGCGAAGAUACACAAGACUGUGAGCUGUUCAGGAUCAUGGGAUUUACGGCUUCGUCGUCUUGGUCAUCCAUCUAGUCGUGUUGUUCCUUAUUUAUUGAGUCAUUUAGAUAUUGAGAAACAAGUGAGUUCAACAACAGUUUGUGACAUUUGUUUAAGAACAAAACAAACCCGUGAUUGCUUUCAUGAAAGUUCUAAUAAAGCUGCUGGAGUUUUUGAUUUAAUUCAUUGUGAUGUUUGGAGUGCUUAUCGAGUUUUGUCUACUUCGGGGGCUGCAUAUUUUCUGACAAUAGUAGAUGACUAUUCCAGAGCUGUUUGGGUGUACUUGUUGCGUGAGAAAAGUGAAGUAGCUGUGACUCUUAAGAACUUUUCAAGAUGGUAGAACGUCAAUUUGAAAAGAAGGUGAAAGUAGUACGGAGUGAUAAUGGAGGAGAAUUUAUGGGUCUCAGGUCAUAUUUUCUGGAAGAAGGAAUUACACAUCAAACCUCAUUGUGUCUAUACUCCUCAACAAAAUAGACGGGUGGAGAGGAAGCAUAGACAUAUCCUAAACGUGGCUAGAUCAUUAAUGUUUCAAGCUACAUUACCACGUAAGUUUUGGGGAGAAUGCGUUCUUACUGCGUGUCAGUUGAUCAAUCGUACUCCAUCUUCAGUUCUUGAUGGGAAGACACCGUAUGAGUUGUUGUUUGGUGUGGUACCUAAUUUUACUACCUUAUGAGUCUUCGGUAGCCUAUGUUAUGGUCGUAAUGUUUUACGUGAUAAGGAUAAGUUUGGGGAACGGAGUCGACGUUGUAUGUUUAUAGGUUAUCCAUUUGGUCAAAAGGGAUGGCGCCUAUAUGAUUUGGAGAAGUCUGAAUUCUUUGUAUUUCAAGAUGUGAUGUUUCAAGAAGACGUUUUCCUGUUUCAGUCAGAGGAGCCGCGAUCGAUCUAUCCAGUGCAGGGAUCGAUCGAUCCCUUACAUGUAGACGACGAGUUGGUUUUUCUAGGGACUUUCGGAUCGAUCGAUCCAAUGCAUGGAUCAAUCGAUCCAACGCAGCAUAGAGGAGACGGUGACAUUCAAGAAAUCCUAAAAGCUAACCGAUCGAUCGAUCCGGCAAAACGACUAGGGGAGACAGAGACGAACGGAUCGAUCGAUCCGCCUCCUGGAUCGAUCGAUCCCUUACCUGGUACGUCUUGCAGAGAAAAUUCGGGGUCUGAGGAUACUGGAAAGACAUUGGUUACUGCUUUAGAUGAAAGGGGGAGUGUUGAGAAAUCGAGGAAUGAUAAUUUGAAAGGGACAGUGCUUAAAGUUCGUCAAAGCGAGAGGGAAAAGAAACUUCUGGGUCAUCUAAAGGAGUAUGUUUUACACACUACACGUUGCUCAUCCGAUCAACCCACACUCUCACCUACCUCCUCCUAAUCAGCGUCUUCUGGUCCAGGGACGGUUAUAUAUCCCAUUGCAAAUUAUGUGAAUUGUAACCGAUAUUCUGAUUCACAGAGAGUGUUUCUGGCUGCUAUUACUGCUGUUUCGAUUCCUAAGUCAUAUUCGGAAGCAGUUAAGGAUGAUAAAUGCUGCAAUGCAAUGUCUGGAGAGGUGAAUGCCUUAGAAGCAAAUGAUACUUGGGAUAUUACUGAUCUUCCACCAGGAAAGAAGGCUAUUGGCAGUCAUUGGAUAUUUACAAUCAAGUAUAAGUCGAAUGGGGAAAUUGAGCGUUAUAAAGCUAGAUUGGUAGCUAUGGGUAACAGACAAGUUGAAGGCUUGGAUUUUGAUUAGACGUUUGCUCCGGUCGUGAAGAUGACAACUAUCAGAGAAUUUCUUAAAAUUGCAGCUGUCAAAGGAUGGGAGGUACAUCAGAUGGAUGUUCAUAAUGCGUUUCUACAUGGGGAUCUUGAAGAAGAGGUUUAUAUGAGAUUACCCCUAGGAUUCGUUUCUCAAGAUAAAUCGAAAGUUUGCAGGCUGAAGAAAUCUCUAUAUGGCUUGCGUUAAGCUCCACGAUGUUGGUUUGCUAAGCUUGUAAAAGCACUCAAAGGCUAUGGAUUUGAAUAGCAAGUAGCAGAUUACUCUCUGUUUACCUUGGUGCGUGGUUCUAUGCAGCUCUUUGUGUUGGUAUAUGUUGAUGAUUUAUUGAUUAGGGGAAAUGAUCUUGAAGGUAUUCAGGAGUUUAAGGGAUAUCUUAGUGAAUGCUUUCAUAUGAAGGACUUGGGGGCUAUGAAAUAUUUUUUGGGCAUUGAAGUAUCUCGGUCUCCUAAUGGCUUUUACUUGUCACAAAGGAAGUAUGCGUUGGACAUUGUAACUGAAUGUGGGUUGUUGGGAUGUCAACCAGUGUCUACUCCGCUUGAGCAGAACCAUAAGUUGCCAGAUGAUGAAGGAGAGUUUUAUGAGGAUGUCGAGAGGUAUAGAAGGCUUGUUGGGCGUUCGGUAUGUCUUACUUUUACUCGACCAGAAUUGUCUUAUGUUGUGCAUAUGUUGGCUCAAUUUAUGCACCAACUUCGUGCCAAACAUUGGGCUACAGUCAUACGAGUUGUGAGAUAUCUUAAAGGUUGUCCGGGUCAAGGUAUUGUGUUGAGUGCUGAUUCUAAUUUACAAUUGACAGCUUAUUGUGAUUCAGAUUUUUCUACAUGUUCUAUCUCUCGGAGAUCAGUUACAGGCUUAAUUGUUAUGUUGGGUGAUUCUCCGAUUGCUUGGAAGACAAAGAAACAAGAUGUGGUGUCGUUCUCUUCAGCAGAGGCUGAAUAUCGUGCAAUGAGUUUUACUGCUAGAGAGUUGAAAUGGGAUCGUGAGCUUUUGGGUUGUUUUGAAGUGUCUCAUCCGCAGGCGAUGCGUUUGUUUUGUGACAAUAAGGCAGCCUUACAUAUUGGUGCCAAUCCAAUUUUUCAUGAGCGGACGAAGCAUAUUGAGAGGGAUUGUCACUUUAUUCGGGAUGAAAUUCAGGAUGGUUCACUGGUUACUGCACAUCUUACCACUACAGAGCAACCAGCGGAUAUCUUUACUAAGGUUUUGGGUUCUCAAAAAUUUGCUUAUUUACGGUGCAAGUUGAGCAUGUAUAAUCUUCAUGCUCCAACUUGAGGGGAAGUAUUAGGGAGCUAUAUGUAAAUAUAUUAUACUUAGGCUAUUAUGUUAAUUUUCCUAAGUAUGUUUAGGGUUUCCUGUGUAACAUGUAUAUAUACUCUCUUCUUAAUGUCAAUAAAACACAACAUUCUCUUUAUUCUAUUAUCUUUGGCAGAAACCUUAGAGGUAAUGUUAUGGUGAUUUUAAUCGUCUGGCAUAUGAUAUUUUUUUGUCAUUCUGCUACUUUUUGCUUCACAAUGAUUGCAAUUGGGAAUAAACCUUACUUUAAUUUUGAAUGUUUUUUUUUUUUGUAAAAUUUUAUUUUAGAGUUUUGAGUGAUAAAUUUCUUUGAGUGUUUUAUCUAAGUAGAUCGUGAUGAUGAUACAGUAGCGAAUUGUGUAGUACACUUCUCUUAUAGAGAACUUUCAUCAAACUUAUAAAGUCGAAUAUUUUAUUACCUAAAUCAUUAUAACAAAUAUAUGAUGAAGACGUUGAAAUUAUAGGAAACCAAUUAGGUAACAACAAUUGCUUCUACUAGUUGUCAAAAUCCUUUUUUUUUGUUAACCGGCUUGUGCGGAUACCGAAUACAUGGCAUUAAACAUUUUUCUCACCGCGAACUGGGGAGUAUUUGAGUCCAAUCCUUGCACUUAAACCACUAGCCCCACACAAUGUUAGUAGUUAUUAGGGGUGUCAAAAUGGAUAAACCAAUUCAAACCAAUCCAUUAUCCAAUGAGUUUAGGCUUAAAUGGUUUAUGGGUUGAUCCAACUCAUUUGUUAAAUUGAUUGAGUCAAUCCAUUAAUCCAAUUAUUUGAUGGUUUAAUGGUUAAUUGAGUUGAUCCAUGAAAAUAAAAUAAUUAAUUAAUUAAUAAUUAUUAUCAUCAUAUAAUAUUACAAAUAAUAUUUAAUGAUAUAAAUGAAUUAUGAUAUCACGUUUUUGGCGGGAAAUCACAGAAUCACGUUUUUGUAGAAAAAUCCGAAAUCACGUUUUUGGCGGGAGAAAAUACGGAAUCACGUUUUUGGCGGGAAAAUGGGGAUCUUUUUCGUCGGAAAAAUGCGGAAUCACGUUUUUGGCGGGAAAAUUACGGAAUUAUGUUUUUGGCGGAAAAAUGUGAAAUUGCGUUUUUGGCGGAAAAAUUACGGAAUUAUGUUUUUGGCGGGAAAAUGUGAAAUCAUUUUUUGGCGGGAAAAUCACGAAUUCACAUUUUGGCGGGAAAAAUACGGAAUCACGGUUUUGGUGGGAAAAAUAAGAAAUCACGUUUUUGGCGGAAAAAUGUGAAAUCAUUUUUUGGCGGGAAAAUCACGAAUUCACAUUUUGGCGGGAAAAAUACGGAAUCACGGUUUUGGUGGGAAAAAUAGGAAAUCACGUUUUUGGCGGGAAAAAUCACGAAUUAACAUUUUGGCGGGAAAAUGCAGAAUAACGAUUUUGGCGGGAAAAUACGUAAUCAUAUUUUUGGCGGGAAAAUGCGAAAUCUCGUUCUUGGCGGAAAAAAUUAUGGAAUUGCGUUUUUGGCGGGAAAAUGUUGAAUCACGUUUUGGCGGAAAAAUUUAUUUCAUGGUUUUAAUAGUUAAAUCAUGUUUACUUUGGUUUACUAAAAUCGGUUUACACAUUUGAUUUGGUUAUAUUUGGUUUACACAUUUGAUUUAGAAUGUUUAAUCUUUAUUGGUUUGGUUAUGAGUAAUCCAUUAAUCCAUUCUAACAUAAACCAUUUCAAUCCAAUUCAUUAAACUCACUAAUCCAUUAAAUCCAUUAAUCCAUUAAGAUCCAAAUUUCUCAUUCAUUAUAUCCAUGGAUUGGAUUGGUUUGGAUUGAUCCAUUAACUUUUAUCCAUUUUGACACCCCUAGUAGUUAUCAAACUGAUUAAUUCUUGGCUAGAUUGAACAAUAUGCAAUGUUUUAAGAUCACUGGCCAGUAGAAAAAUACAUUGUUGUUCUAUGUUUUCUGAACAUUUAAAUUCCUAGAUAGUCCAAGUUUCAUGUUAGUUAAUUUAUUUCUCCUUUUUCUAAACGUUGAAUUAUUCAAGAAAUAUGAUAUUGAAAGUAUGUUAUCUAUAUUUUUUUUAAUCUAAAAAUCAUGCGCUUUUAGGAACUUAACGUCCACUUAGUUUAGGGACUUGAGUAUUCUAAUUGGUCCCCUAAGUGAUCGAGAUCAUUGGACACAAAGUCUUCUUGGUACAUGGGUUGAACUAUAGACGUUUGGUACAUCACAAAUUUUGUUCAUAUUAUUUCAGUUUAUUAAUUAGAAAGAUAUAUUUUUGUGUAUUUAUAAAAGGUAUAAUAGAAAUUUACAUACUUUUCUGAAUUUAUGUGAAAGAUGUUAACAUAAAACUUUUCUGAAUUUAUGAUUUUAAUGUAUAAUUUUUAACCAAUGCCCAUUGUAUCUAUUUAAAUGGAAUGAAAUUAAAAAAUCUUUAGUUUUGAUAGUUUAAUUUCACAGAACAAUAUUGCUUUGAAAAAAAAUUAAAAAUUAAAGUUAUAGAGAGAUAUGUUAGUUCGGAAUAUGAGAGAAAUGGAUGUAGACAAUCUUCAAAAUGUGAUAGGUGUGCUUAACACCUCAAACUGUAUAUGAAAGAUAACUACUCGGUCUAUGAUUGAAGUGUUACAAAAGUCAUAAAAUUAUAUUUAAGGUUUUCGAUGUUUGUAAUUCCUUAAAAAGACGUUUUACCAUUUUGUCUAUCAACCAAUAAUGUAAAAGUUAUGCACAACUUUGGUUCUUUUUCUACUUAAAAUGUUAUUAGUUUUUAAAAAAAUUAGAGUAAAAACUUUUUUUUGUUGAAUGUAAUAUUAAUUAAAAGAAUUGAAAAUAGAGUUAUGUAUACAAAGAAGAGCAUGCAACAACUGAACAAAUAGAGAAAAUACAUCAGAAGAGAAAAGAAAAAAACAGAACAUAAACCGGAUCGGAGACUAAGGACAUGGUUGAAUCUGGUUCCACCGGCUGAGCAACUUUUCAGGUCGGAUACGAGCAGACGUGUGUGACGAGAAGCAUGCCAAUGUUUGUUUUGGCGACGAGUGUCACUAGAUAACGAAUUGGGUCAGGACUCAGGAGGGUGACGGGUUUUGUUGAUAACAACACUCAUUCUUUCAUAUCAGACAUGGUAAAUAGUGGCUUGAAAUAGCAAUGGACCAAUAUUUUUUUUUGAUUGGGUAUGAAUAUAACAAAAAGUAAACCAAGAAAAGAAAAAGAAACGUGCAAACACAAAUAUGAUCAUUUUACAUGUAUCAUCGACUUAGAUCACGACGCAUAAGUACCAAACAGGGAAAACGGCCAAAAUCAACCCCAACUAUUUUCAUGUGGACUUUUUCAACCUAAACUUUGACCCUCUGCACUUAUCAACCCGAACCUUCGUGAAUUUCAAAUAACAAACCUGAACUAUAUAACUAUUAGCCAAUUUCAACAUAUACAUGUUAUUAUAUAAUGUAACAAACAUGAAUAAUGUAACCUUUUAACCUAUUGAAUAAAAUGAAUGAUUCAUAUACAAAAAAACAGAUAAUUACGGCUUAACAAUUCUAAUCGACAUUAACAAAUACAAAAAAAAUUAGGUUGAAGUUGGCUAAUGGUUACAUAGUUCAGGUUUUUUAUUUGAAAAUUAUUUGAGUUCGGGUUGAUAAGUGCAUAGGGUCAGAGUUUGGGUUCAAAAAAACCGCAUGGAAAUAGUUGGGGUUGAUUUUAGCCGUUUUCCCGUACCAAACAUGGAAGACCUUCCAAAUAGACCCAAAAGUGAGUAGUGUUUUACAGUAUCAAACAUGACAUAUGUGUCUAAUCUUCGAUGAGACAUUAUAGGUUGCCCUUAUACAAUGAUUCCGAUAAAAUAAUAUAGUUAUUUAAUUGAUGUAAUUAAAGAAAAAUAAUGUAGUGAUUCAAUUUAGUAAGUAAAUAAAAACUUAUUUCUUUAAUAUUGUCUUUUUUUUUUAAUAAUUAUCUUUAAUAUUGUCAAAUUAAACUAAAAAGAGAUUACAAAAUAUAACAAUUCUUGGUUGCCAAAAAAAAAAAGAACAAAAAGAAGAAGCAAUUAUUGAUACACGCAAACGCUGAAAAACAUAAGAAAAUAGAUUAAACAAGGGAACUCAAAAGCUUUUCUCCUAAAUUCCAAUAAACAUUUAGAGUGUCAAAAAAAUUUUGGAACACCACAACAAUGUCUCAUAUGACUUGGAUCUUAUUUUUAUUCUGCAUAUUUAUCUAUUUUCCAACAUACUAUCCCAACUAUUUAAAAAUUAUCGGAGAAUGACUUUUUUUUUUUGGUUCACAUAUUGGAGAAUGACAUUAUCAAAAAUCGUAUAAAUAUUAAAAAAAAAUACAUCUUAGGAAAAUAGAACCCUUUUCGUUUCCCAAGAAAAAGUUGACUAAAAACAAUUAAAAAAAUCCCAACCAUAAAAAAAAAAAUCCCAACCAUAUAAAAAAAAAAAUCCCAACCAUGUGGACUGAUGGGUAAAGGAUAUAAAUGACUCAUUAAAGGAUUAAAAAUGAGUCCGUAUAAUCUGUCGUGCAGUGAACUAUGAAUAAAUGCUAUAUAUGGUCGGCCACUUCAUUGUUAUAUUCAAGGAUCCUUUGUUAUAUAUUAUUGUCGGCUGUCGGCAAUAAUAUUAGUGACUUUGAAAAGUCUACAAUAAUAGUUGCAUUCUUUUAUAUAUAGUACUCACUUUAUUUUAUUUUUAAGUUCUCAUAUACAGAUUACUUAAUUUACAUUUUUUUAGAUAAAAAUAUUAUUUGGCUAGCCAUUAAUCGGUUCAUUAAGUCUUUUCCGGACAUAAUUGAAAAUUUUCUAGUAAAUUUCUAUCAAAAAGUGGGAAAGAAACAUUGAUCAAAUCAGUGGCUUUGGCACUCCCAACCUAUGUUAUGUGAAAGGACCCGAACCCGCUACACGGAGCUGGUCAACGUGUUGACUUCUUGGCCCGGCCCAAAUCAUCUUUAAAUGCAAACCCGCCAAUUAACAACGGAAAACGAACUCUUGACUUAACCAACCUGCAAAAGAAAGAGGGGUGAGCGAUUGAAAAUCACUUAGUGAGGACAAGCCUCAGUGCUCAUGAAGUCUUCAUACACAAACACGCUUAGACAAUCACAAAGUCUAAACCUAAGAUAAGCAGGCAAUCACGUGUCAAAGACACACACACAUCAAACAAAUGAGACUACGUCCCAUAACCACUACCAUAAAGGCAGGCAGGAUACGAACGUAUAACACACGCCGUCUACCCGUACAUAUUGGAUUCCUCGUGCCUGAGCACUUCUUCCGUGCAACCGGAUCCCUCGUGCCUCUUGCACUUCUUCCGUGCACCUCAUACUCGUCGGCUCGUCAGCCAUCCUGAUCUAUUCGGAAACGCGUCCAUAGACCAUCACACAACUACAAGGAUCUCUCCUGUAGGACUUUCUUUGCGGCUCACCACAUCUUCGUGCCAUUAGCACAUUCUCUCAUCACACAACAUUUAUUAAUUACCACACAAACAUGCAUUUCACAAAUCACACAACCCGCAUUAAAAUAUUUAUUUUCAUUUAUUUUCAUUUCUAAAAUACUAGUUCAUUUUAUAAAUAGGUAUAUAUCUACAUAUAAAUACGUAUAAAUAUAAUAUACAAUCACCAUCCAAAUAUAUGUUAGUUAUAAUGUAACAUAUAUGUAUGCUCAGCUUAACAUUAAACUAAGUAACUACAUAAACAUAUCAGUAUAUGAAAAAAACACCAACUAGUCCUCACUCUGCCAAUCGGGUUGAUUCUUCGGUUUAGCACUAGAAACAACGGGGACCGGUUCAAUAAUACUUCUCAGUCUACAACGGUUUACAUAACCGAUCGAAGAUUAUUUUCCAAUUAAUAAUCCAUGAUUCAAUCUAAUAACCAAAACUUGAUUUAAUUGUUUUUGGUAUUUUCCUCCAAUUAAAUUAGUUAGACUUUGUUUAAUAAUUAAACAAAACAAAAAUCUAAUAAUUUAAUAACACCACAAUUCAAUAAUCCAAGGUAACAUAAUUAAGUUUGGCUUAAUACCAAAACCCAACCGAGACUAAUCGUCACGAAGCCACCACUGUUACACGUGACCAACAAACCAAAGUCAUCUCACGCUUCCUCAAUAAUUAAGUUCGGUUAUGGUCUUUAAUCAAAUAAGAAUUCCUUGGUUUAGACUGGUUUAGAACUGGUUCAAAAUCCAAAACAAAACAACAUGAGCAACACGAGUUAUAAACCUUCGCCGUUUACCUGUUUCUGCAACUUUCAUGGACGGAUCUGCUCGACGUCGACACGACGGUUCAACCUUACAGCGAUUUGUCCUCACGGCUCAAAGAUCAAAAGCAAAACAAGAGAAUAGAUUAUAAGCUAACAUCAGAAACUUCUUCUGAAAGUUAUAGGAUAAGUUUAGGGUUUCCUUACCCUUAGAGGCAUUAACGGCUACGACUGCUCCAGUGACAGCGGCUGGCAUCUCCGGUGACACACGGUGGCUGUGGUGGUCCUCCUCUCCCAUCCUCUAGCAUUUCUAUGUCUUUGCCGUUUCUCUCUUACCAAUGGCUAGAGCCAAUCGAGCACCAACGGCGGGUUCAAACUUGGAACGAUGGCAACAACGGCUUGAUCUCAUGAAUGUCACAACGGAGACCAUCUCGGCGACGACGCAACAACUAUGAUUUGAAGUUACGAAGGCUUAGGAUUUUAGAUCGUAACUUCGACCGCUUUACAAAACGACCAUUAAUCCGACAUCUUAUAGAAUGAACUGGGCUUUCCGAAGUUUCCGUAAUAGAGUUAGUUUCGAUUGGUUCCAACUGAGCUUCUUCCCACAAUAUUUUUUCACUCAAAGCGUGAUUUAAAAUAUCUGUGGGGUCAGAUUGUAAUCCCUUAAAAACCUUUUUAUUCUUAUCCUUCCAUAUGAACCAUAAGAUCCAAGCAUAACAGUAGGAUUCUCCCACCCCCACCCCCCGAUCUAUCGAAGAUGGUAACCUCCAAUAAAGAUAAUCUAGAUUUGAAAAUUCCGAACUCAGAGGAAAACUACCUGAUUCCAUAGUAAUUGCGGAUAAUUCCCAUAUUUUCUGAGAAUGAGAGCACUCAAAUAAAGCAUGAUUUAUUGUUUCUUCUGCCAGCUCACACCUUUUACAGAUAGUAUCACAUCGAAUUCCUCUAUGUGCUAAUUUUGAAGUAACUGCUAGGGAUCCCGAAGCUAUUUUCCAUAAGAAAAGUUUUAUUUUUGGAGGGGUUUUGACUUUCCAAGCAUGUGCUUGUAAUGAUUUAUAAUUUGGGCCCCAUUCGAUCGUUUCUGCAAUCUCUCGAGCAACCCGAUAACCUGAUUUUACUGUAUAUCUUCAUGAUUUUGUAUGAUGCCAAAUAAGCCUAUCUGGCUUAUAAGCUUGACUAAUAGUCAUUCCGCUAAUAAACUGCAUAUCCACUGGAUCCAAAAAUUCUUGUAGAAUGGGAAGGUGCCAUUCUUUAGAAACCGGAUUAAUUAAAUGGUUAACCAUCAAACUUGGUAGCAAUGAUUUUCCUCUCCCAUUUGCCUGCCGUGGAUUAACAUCUGGAAUCCAAGGAUCUCGCCAUACCAAAAUAUUGAAACCCGAACCUAGUGACCAUCUAGCUCCCAUUUCAACUAGUCUUUUAGUCGAAUGGGGGGGGGGUGGUGGGAGAAUCCUACUGUUAUGCUUGGAUCUUGUGGUUCAUAUGGAAGGAUAGGAAUAAAAAGGUUUUUAAAGGAUUACAAUCUGACCCCACAUAUAUUUUAAAUCACGCUUUGAGUGAAAAAAUAUUGUGGGAAGAAGCUCAGUUAGAACCAAUCGAAACUAACUCUAUUACGGAAACUUCGGAAAUCCCAGUUCAGUCUAUAAGAUGUCGGAUUAAUGGCUCUUGGAAAUAUUUGGAUCCAACUAUGGGUUUAGGAUGGUGGUGUUUUCAGGGAACUGAACAAACGAUACUGCUCGGUGCAAAGUGUCUUCGGAGAUGUCCCUCCCCCCCUUCACUCGGAGAUGGAAGCCUUAAUUUGGGUUAUCAAGAAUAUACUUUCAAGAAGGAUCGAUUGUCAGGCGUUUGAAUAGAUUGUUCAGAGUUAGUCUCGAUGAUACAGUCACCUGAUGAAUGGCCCGCUUUCUCCAAUCUGCUAGAUGAGUUUGGUUCUCUCCAUGUCUAUUUCCCAGUCUUCUCGCUUUCUCUUAUCUCUCGUUUAUGUAAUGUUAAAGCAGACUGCUUAGCCCGUUCUUCUAGACUUUUAUUUUAUGAAGUUUCUUUUGUAGACUCUUUUCCUCCUAAUAUCGGCCGCUUAUCCGUCGAAACGGUCGUCUAGGCGCUAAUCAGGAGGAGGCCGCAGCGAUUUUGUCAAAACCGGUAAAAAAAAUUGGUGAUUCGAUCUUUUGUCAGUCUAGACCGUCUAGGCGGCCGCCUAGACAACGCCUAGCCCAUUUUUUUUUAAUUAAAAAUGUCAAACUUAUGCUUGUAUUUGUAUAAAAUUAAAACAUUAAAUAGCCCUAAAAGUAGUCCCCGAUUAAUCCCCUUAUAGUAUCCAUUUUUUGUUAGGCGCUAGGCCUGUUGGUGUCGGAUCUCGCAACUGAUCCGACCCGAGUAAUUAGUGGGCUUCAAAGACUAACGGGCCUUAAUAUUCUAUAAAGUCAAAGUCGCAUGUUGGACAGGCCCAGUCGAAGGCCCACUCAUUUCGAAUUAUCACUUUGGAGAAACGGAGCGACCUUGCGAAUUAAAGGAGAGGUGUUAAUUGCGGAUCCAUUGACUUGAAAGAUUCGAAAUGGAUGUAAUAAAAGAGACGCGAUUUGCGGCGUAAAAAGGGGGGAAUUUAGUUCCUAGGGAUCCCGAACUUGUAACUAUAAAUAGGAAUCGUGUAACAUUGUAAAGGGGAUUGGAAAUUUUUUACCAGAAAUAAUACAAAUACACUCUAAAAGCUUUUCUUGUAUUCUGACAAUCGAUAUUCGACCGCCGAGGCUAGAAACCCACAUAAUAUUGACGAAUUAAUCAAUUGCGGAUUCCGACAUCCGCAAUUUGGCGCUACAAGAGGGGAAUUCUAGUCUUUUACUCCAGAUUAUCGAUCGAACAGAGAUGUCAAGUGGCGCAGAUCAAGUCUCAGUUCUCGAAGAGAUUAAAAAAAUGCUCAAGGACCUAUUCGAGAAAUCCGAUCAGCAGCAGCUCGCCGCAAGUUGUUCUGAAGUCAGUUUAGCUCAUAACGCGUAUGUAGAUCGAGUUGAUACUAUUACGGAAGGGACCUUGCGAACAGGCGGACCACGGGGACCUUUGGAUUUUCACGAUCCAAACGCCUCAGAGACCCAGGAUCCUCGUACUGUCACUCCUGGUCAAGUUUUCUCAACUUCGUUGCCCCUGGGCUCCCAACGUGAACUCGGAGGUGGUUCUCAGCAACCAAAUGCAUCUACGGCGCCUCCUUUUGGUCCUUAUUCCUCGGCAGCAGCCGCGACAGUCAGGACACCUCUUCCUUUGCAUUUGGAAACUACCCCUCGUCAUCCGCAGUCCGAGCUCGACCAAACUUUUUCUCCAAUCAAUCCAGAGAUCUGAAAUUUGCAAAAUCAGAUUCGAGCAAUGAGUUCGAAAGAUCAUCAAGCUACCAGUUUGGCCCCGAGGUAGAUAGAGUGAUCAAGGAGACGAUGAGAAUUCCAUUUACACCAAGAAUUGCAGCACUAUGAAUCCGGGAUACGAGGGAAGUCAAGGUCCCAGGCUAUAAUGGUAAAGGAGAUCCUAACGAGUACCUGACAUCUUUCCAGGUAACUGCGGGACAGGUGCGUCUGGAACCUGACGAGAUAGAUGCUAGUUUGUGUAAAAACUCUGCCAAGAAUCUGUUCGGGCCAGCCCUGACAUGGUUCACUCAGCUCGAGGAGGAAUCAAUCGACAACUUCAAGUAACUGUCUACUACAUUUAUAAUGCGGUACGAGUAUAUCAUCAAGAGCGAUGUAACAGAUGCCCAGCUAUGGAACCUAUUACAGGGAGCCGGGGAGCCACUCCGCGACUAUAUCACGUCCUUCAAGGAGAUCGUGGUUCAAGUCCCUGGUUUAUCCGACUCCGCAGCUCUAGCUACCUUCAAGAAUGGUCUGUGACAUGAAUCUCGUUUUCGUGAAGAGUUAACGGUCAACCACUACAAGAAAUAUGGGCAUUCUUAACACACGGAAAAUGCUAUAAUAUCGUUUACAUAGCGGAUUCAUAAACGCUGUGUUUGCCGGAGCUAUCUUAGAGUGGUCACAUACAAUAGCGUUUUUAGGCUAUGCUAUUAAAUGUAUCCAUAUAAUAGUGUAUAAUAGAUGUUAUGAUUUCCUUUUUCGUAGCCCUUUUUUAAAGGUAUAAUAUAUUGUUUCAUUACUCUUUUUCUAGGUUAUUAUAUGUUGUUUAGUAGCUCUUAAUCUGAGCUAAAAUAUAACAUAUUACGUAUUAUAGCAUUUUGAUGAUGUUAUUUUUGCAAUUAAAUUUAACCCUUUUGCAUUAUAUAUAUUUAUAUAUAUUUUCUAGAUAAAUUAAAUUUGGUUAACAAUAUAUAUUAAAUAUAUUUAUUCCAUAGAAAAUUUAGAAAAAAAAAACAUAACAAGUCAUACAAAUUCUAAUCGAAAAAACAUAUUGUAAUCAAAUGAACACAUCAGAUUUUUUGUAAAUUAGCUUUGUUUUAGUAUAAUAACAAGUAUGAUUGCUAGAAGUUUGAAAUGAUUCUAGAAUUGGGUAUUUUACAUUUACUUUAUAAAAUAAAUAUACUGUAUAGUCAAUUUUUGGGUUUGUUUUAUUGUUUUGUUUUAUGUUUAUAAUGUGUAUAACGUUUUACAAAUAUCUGAUUUCUUUUUAUAUGUCUAUAAUUUUCAGCGACUAUUAUAUUUCAAGAACCUUACUUUCUUUUCAUUAAAAAUAUACAUGGUACACAACCAUAAUUUGAAUCACAUUUAAAAUAUUUAACAUAGACUUUUAAUUUUUUAAUAUUAUUCUUUUUACCUUUAAAUCACAAUGAUUUGUUAAAAUGAUAACUUAUAAUUUAUUUUAUACCAUAAUUUUAAUAUAAAAUUAUUAUUCCAAUCAUGUUAUUGGAUUUUGUAAAUUUUUUACUCAUUUUCGUAAUUGAAGGCUGAUAGCCAAAAACCCAAAAUCUCGAUGUUAGCAGAAAUCAAGGAAACACUACUUUACUAUUAUUUUAUAACGCAAUUACACCGUAUAAACGUAGAUAAAAUAGAAAUAUUUUUCACUACUACUUUUUUUUUAUUCCUCUUUUAUUUGAUAUACUCAAUUAACAUCAUUAUUUUGUUUAUAUAGUCAGACUAUAAUAUACAAACCAAAAUACCAAAUAGACAAGCUUAUUUAAAUAUAUAUUUAUAUUAUCUAUUGAUUUAACAAUCUUUACAAUUAGGAAUAUGAACUUUUCGUCCAAUUAAGAUAUUUUAUAAAUUUUAUUUAAUAAAAUUUUUUCCAUGUUAAUAAAAGCUUAUGUGUAUUAUUUAGUUUAAUUUGAUGGAUUGUACUUUUAAAAUGAAAUAUCAGCUUCUAGUAAGACAAAAAGUAAUAAAAGUGAUUAUAUACAUCUUGUGAUUUGUGGCUUGAUUAAGAAUAUAGUUAUUAAACCAAAUUCUAGUAGUUCAAAAUCAAAAUUUUGGUGGACGUGAUUAUAUAAACAUAUUUAUGUGUAAACUAAAUAGGAACAUGUUGAUUGUUGAGUUAUAUAGUAAACUUUUUUUUAUCAUAAAUGUCUUUAAUAUAAAUAUGUUAUGUAAAAAUAACUAUAGAUAUAAAGUUUAUAUUUA